AAAAAAACUCCUAGAUUGCGAGAAGUGACGUAUUGGGUCUCCGUAUCUGCUUGGUGCAGCGGCGGAGGUGUACGAGGAUGGCUCCCGUGUGGUACUUAUUAGAGGUCGUAAAGGAACCCUAACCAAGAGGGGUGGACGGCUCAGAUCGAGAUGCGCUGAGUUGGGCCUUAACUCUUUGGCCCAUAUGUAUUUGUAAGAGAUGAUGACCAGAAUACUUGGGAGCAACUUUCCUUGGGCCACAGGGGCCUGUAUGGGACUACUUCGCUCCUUAAAAUUUAGCCCCGCUUUCGAAAACGCAAGCCAAAUGGAUAGCUCCAUGAUAUACCGCUCCGUAAAAAAAACUAGAAUUUGAGAGUGUGUCGUGCAUCCAACCGCCGCCACGUGUCGCGUGUUGUGCGCAUAUUUGGGAUUUUAUUUUUUAUUUUUGCACAUGUUUUUGGAUUUUAUAUGGUUUUUUGGGCUUUUGCUUGGCUUCCUCUUUAUUUUGGCAUUUUUUUCCAGAAAGCAACGCAUUUGGGCGAGGAGCACAACAUGUGCUUCUCCGAGAAGCGCAGUUGUGCUUCCUAGAAAAUAAACACGGUCAUGAAAAGUGCAGCCUUGCUUCCGCGAGAAGAAUAUUUAUGCUUCCAAAAAAUGAAAAUUAGAGUAAUGCUUCCUUGAAAAAGGGAAAAGCACAGUUUGUGCUUCUGUGUGAGAACCACACAUUAUGCUUCUCCGAAAAAAGGGAAAAGCACAGAUUGUCCUUUUGCGUGAGAAGCACACAUUGCGCUUCUCCGAAAAAAGGGAAAAGAAAAGCCCGUGCUUCCUAAAAAAGGCUAAACUGAAACUAUGCUUCUGGGCUUCGGUUUUUAUUCCUUUUUGGGUUUUUAUUACCGUUUUUCUUUCAGUUUCCUACUUUUUCUUGGUUUUCUUUUUUUCGAAAAAAAGGUUUGUUGAAACAUUGACAUGGGAUCUAGUUUUGAAUCUGGAGGCAAGAAAUUCAACGGUGAAAACGGUUUGGGUUUGGAUGCAUGGUUCAAAAGAUGAACUAUUUUGAAAAAACAAAUCUAUAAAAAAAACUCCUAGAUUGUGAGAAGUGACAUACAUGGACUGCGGCUCUAGUUAGCAUCAUAGAAGGUAGAGAAUGACCUUUGAAAUGGGUACCUUUUAAUUAGUGAUUUUGAGAAUUUUGUAUCCUAUUGUUCAUACCUUCGUUUUGUUUACCCUGCAUUUGGUCCAUGUUCAUUUUAUAAGUCGUAUUUUGGCUUAUCAUAGAAAUUGUUUUUAAGAUACUUUUUUGAGUUUUUUUCAAGAUAUUAGUGAUCAUGCAAUUACGGGUGGACAUAUUAGAGCACCUAUAACCAUAACGCCACUUCCCCCUGAUGUCCAGACGAACAACUUGGACAUUGCCCGGAUCCAAAAACGCUACCCGACCGGGCCCCCCAAAGCCAACUUGUACGUUCGGGCUGUCUGGCAUCCCUCAUAUCCAACCUAUGUGUGACGGAUUUGAGCCUGCCUAGACGCACUCGCAUGUUGGACCAACAUGCAGGACCCCGUGCAGAAAUGCGUCGGUCUGCCCCGAGGCUUAAUAGUUUGUUGUUCGCAUUCAUGGCACCACUUCGGCGUGUCGUGUGAGAGGUCAAGCUCUGUCUAUUAAGUGAGACAAACCCUAGGCACCCUCACACCACCUCCCCCGGUCUGGGUAUUCACACCGUGUGCACGGCCACAUCCCGUCCGUGCCCGAGCUUGUCAUGUGAAAGGGUGUGCACAAAGAUCACAUACUACAAGCUUUUGCCGUCAGAUCGUCGCCCUCAGAUCGUGGCAGUGGUUCGUCUGCAUUGGCCAGGCAUGUAGCCUGCAUAGCGGACGCCCUUUCUCUGACCUCGGAUGAGGACGGGGAUUUAUGCUCGAAUGUGGCUAGGUGAUACAUCACCGUCGUAUCUAUAAUUUUUUAUUGUUUCAUGACAAUGUUUUACAACUUUCAUAUACUUUUGGCAACAUUUUAUAUCAUUUUUUGGAACUAACAUACUGAUCCAAUGCCAGUUCCUAUUUGUUGCAUGUUUUUUGUUUCGCAGAAAAUCCAUAUCAAACGGAGUCCAAACGCGAUAAAAAUUUAUGGAGAUUUUUUUUCGAAUAUAUGUGAUUUUUAGGAAGCGGAAUCAAAGCAAGACGAUGCCAGAGGGGCCCACAAGCCCUUGAGGCGCGCCCCCCUAACCAGGGCGCGGCCAAUGGACUUGUGGCCACCCCGAAGGUCGGUUGGAGGUGUCCUUUGGUCGCAUGGAAGCUUAUAUCCGGAUAAAAAAAACGUGUUAAUAUUUCAGCCCAAUCGGAGUUACGGAUCUCUGGAUAUUUAAGAAACGGUGAAAGGCCAGAAUCUGGGUCACGAAACAGAAGGGAGAGAGAGAGAGAGAGAGAGAGAGAGAGAGAGAGAGAUCCAAUUUCGGAGGGGCUCUCGCCCCUCCACCGCCCGCCGCCAUGGAGGCCAUGAACCAGAGGGGAAACCCUCCUCCCAUCUAGGGGAGAGGUCAAGGAAGAAGAAGGAGGAGGGGGCUCUCUCCCCUCACUCCCGGUGGCACCGGAACGCCGUCGGGGCAAUCAUCGUGUGACGGCAAUCUACACCAACACAUGUGUCAUCUUCCCCAACAUCUUCAUCACCUUCCCCCAUCUAUACAUUCAGCGGUCUAAUACGUCUCCAACGUAUCUAUAAUUUUUUACUGUUUCAUGCUAUUAUAUUAUCUGUUUUGGAUGUUUUAUAUGCAUUAAUAUGUUAUUUCAUAUUAUUUUUGGGACUAACCUAUUAACCUGGACCCCAAUGCCAGUUUCUGUUUUUUCCUUGUUUUCGAGCUUCGCACAAAAGGAAUACUAAACGGAGUCCAAACGGAAGAAAACUUCACGAUGAUUUUUCUUGGACUAGAAGACACCCAGGAAGACCCACGAGGCGACGACAAGGGUGGAGGGCGCGCCCAGGGGGUAGGGCGCGCCCCCUACCUUGUGGGACCCUCGGUGAUCCCCUGACCUAGAUCUUCCUUCUAUAUAUUUGUAAAUAUUCCCAAACCACCAGAAGCAUCCAUGAAAACACUUUUUCACCGCCACAACCUUUGAAGGAAAUAUGCCCUAGAGGCAAUAAUAAAGUUAUCAUUUAUUUCCUUAUUUCAUGAUAAUGUCUAUUAUUCAUGCUAGAAUUGUAUUAACCGGAAACAUAAUACAUGUGUGAAUACAUAGACAAACUGAGUGUCACUAGUAUGCCUCUACUUGACUAGCUCAUUAAUCAAAGAUGGUUAUGUUUCCUAGCCAUGGACAAAGAGUUGUCAUUUGAUUAACGGGAUCACAUCAUUGGAGAAUGAUGUGAUUGACUUGACCCAUUCCGUUAGCUUAGCCCUUGAUCAUUUAGUAUGUUGCUAUUGCUUUCUUCAUGACUUAUGCAUGUUCCUAUGACUAUGAGAUUAUGCAACUCCCGUUUACCGGAGGAACACUUUGUGUGCUACCAAACAUCACAACAUAACUGGGUGAUUAUAAAGGUGCUCUACAGGUGUCUCCAAAGGUACUUGUUGGGUUGGCGUAUUUCGAGAUUAGGAUUUGUCACUCCGAUUGUCGGAGAGGUAUCUCUGGGCCCACUCGGUAAUGCACAUCACUAUAAGCCUUGCAAGCAUUGUAACUAAUGAGUUAGUUGUGGGAUGGUGUAUUACGGAACGAGUAAAGAGACUUGCCGGUAACGAGAUUGAACUAGGUAUUAAGAUAUCGACGAUCGAAUCUCGGGCAAGUAACAUACCGAUGAUAAAGGGAACAACGUAUGUUGUUAUGUGGUUUGACCGAUAAAGAUCUUCGUAGAAUAUGUGGGAGCCAAUAUGAGCAUCCAGAUUCCGCUAUUGGUUAUUGACCAGAGACGUGUCUCGGUCAUGUCUACAUAGUUCUCGAACCCGUAGGGUCCGCACGCUUAAAGUUCGAUGACGGUUAUAUUAUGAGUUUAUGCGUUUUGAUGUACAGAAGGUAGUCCAGAGUCGCGGAUGAGAUCGGGGACAUGACUAGGAGUCUCGAAAUGGUCGAUAGGUAAAGAUCGCUAUAUUGGACGACUAUAUUCGGACUUCGGAAAGGUUCCGAGUGAUUCGGGUAUUUUGCGGAGUACCGUAGAGUUACGGGAAUUCGUAGUGGGCCUUAAUGGGCCAUACGGGAAAGGAGAGAAAGGCAUCAAAGGGUGGCCGCACCCCUCCCCAUGGACUGGUCCGAAUUGGACUAGGGAGGGGGCACCCCCUUCCUUCCUUCUCCUUCUCCCUUCCCUUUCUCCUACUCCAACUUGGAAGGGGGGAAUCCUACUCCCGGUGGGAGUAGGACUCCCCUAUGGCGCGCCCAAGAGAGGGCCGGCCCUCCCCUCCUCUACUCCUUUAUAUACGGGGGAGGGAGCACCCCAUGGAGACACAAAAAUCGAUCCCUUGGAUCUCUUAGCCGUGUGCGGUGCCCCCUCCACCAUAAUCCACCUCGAUAAUAUCGUAGCGGUGCUUAGGCGAAGCCCUGCAUCGGUAGAACAUCAUCAUCGUCACCAUGCCGUCGUGCUGACGGAACUCUCCCUCAAAGCUCGGCUGGAUCAGAGUUCGAGGGACGUCAUCGAGUUGAACGUGUGCUGAACUCGGAGGUGCCGUGCGUUCGGUACUUGAUCGGUCAGAUCAUGAAGACGUACGACUACAUCAAACGCGUUGUGCUAAUGCUUCCGCUUUCGGUCUACAAGGGUACGUGGACACACUCUCCCCUCUCGUUGCUAUGCAUCACCAUGAUCCUGUGUGUGCGUAGGAUUUUUUUUUGAAAUUACUACGUUACCCAACAGUGGCAUCAGAGCCUGGUUUUAUGCGUAGAUGUUAUAUGCAUGAGUAGAACACAAGUGAGUUGUGGGCGAUACAAGUCAUACUGCUUACCAUCAUGUCAUACUUUGGUUCGGCGGUAUUGUUGGAUGAAGCGGUCCGGACCGACCUUACGCGUACGCUUACGCGAGACUGGUUCUACCAACGUGCUUUGCGCAUAGGUGGCUGGCGGGUGUCAGUUUCUCCAAACUUUAGUUGAACUGAGUGUGGCUACGCCUGGUCCUUGAGAAGGUUAAAACAUCACUAACUUGACAAACUAUCGUCGUGGUUUUGAUGCGUAGGUAAGAACGAUUCUUGCUCAGCCCAUAGCAGCCACGUAAAACUUGCAACAACAAAGUAGAGGACGUCUAACUUGUUUUUGCAGGGCAUGUUGUGAUGUGAUAUGGUCAAGACGUGAUGCUAUAUUUUAUUGUAUGAGAUGAUCAUGUUUUGUAACCAAGUUAUCGGCAACUGGCAGGAGCCAUAUGGUUGUCGCUUUAUUGUAUGCAAUGCAAUCGCCCUGUAAUUGCUUUACUUUAUCACUGAGCGGUAGCGAUAGUCGUAGAAGCAAUAGUCGGCAAGACAGCAACGAUGCUACGAUGGAGAUAAGGGUGUCGCACCGGUGACAAUGGUGGUCAUGACGAUGCUUCGGAGAUGGAGAUCACAAGCACAAGAUGAUGAUGGCCAUAUCAUAUCACUUAUAUUGAUUGCAUGUGAUGCUUAUCCUUUAUGCAUCUUAUUUUGCUUGAUUGACGGUAGCAUUAUAAGAUGAUCUCUCACUAAAUUUCAAGGUAUAAGUGUUCUCCCUGAGUAUGCACCGUUGCCAAAGUUCGUCGUGCCCAGACACCAUGUGAUGAUCGAGUGUGAUAAGCUCUACGUCCAUCUACAACGGGUGCAAGCCAGUUUUGCACACGCAGAAUACUCAGGUUAAACUUGACGAGCCUAGCAUAUGCAGAUAUGGCCUCGGAACACUGAGACCGAAAGGUCGAGCGUGAAUCAUAUAGUAGAUAUGAUCAACAUUGUGAUGUUCACCAUUGAAAACUAAUCCAUUUCACGUGAUGAUCGGUUAUGGUUUAGUUGAUUUGGAUCACGUGAUCACUUAGAUGAUUAGAGGGAUGUCUAUCUAAGUGGGAGUUCUUAAAGUAAUAUGAUUAAUUGAACUUUAAUUUAUCAUGAACUUAGUCCUGAUAGUAUUUUGCAUGUCUAUGUUGUUGUAGAUCAAUAGCUUGCAUUAUUGCUUCCCUAUAUUUUUAUAUAUGUUCCUAGAGAAAACUAUGUUGAAAAAUGAUAGUGGCAAUGAUACAGACUAGGUCCAUGAUCUGAGGUGUAUCCUCAUUGCUGCACAGAAGAAUUAUGUCCUUGAUGCACCGCUAGGUGACAGACCUAUUGCAGGAGCAGAUGCAGACGUUAUGAAUGUUUGGCUAGCUCAAUAUGAUGACUACCUGAUAGUUUAGUGCACCAUGCUUAACGGCUUAGAAUAGGGACUUCAAAGACGUUUUGAACGUCAUGGACCAUAUGAGAUGUUCCAGGAGUUGAAGUUAAUAUUUCAAGCAAAUACCCGAGUUGGGAGAUAUGAAGUCUCCAACAAGUUCUAUAGCUAAAAGAUGGAGUAGAGUUGCUCAACUAGUGAGCAAGUGCUUAGAUUGUCUAAGUACUACAAUCGCUUGAAUCAUGUGGGCGUUAAUCUUCCAGAUAAGAUAGUGAUUGGUAGAGUUCUCUAGUCACCAUCACCAAGUUACUGGAACUUCAUGAUGAACUAUAAUGCAAGGGAUGACAAAAAUGAUUCCCGAGCUCUUCGUGAUGCUGAAAUCGACGAUGGUAGAAAUCAAGAAAAGAGCAUCAAGUGUUGAUGAUUGAUAAGACCACUAGUUUCAAGAAAAGGGCAAAGGAAAAGAAAGGGAACUUCAAGUAGAAUGGCAAGCAAGUUGUCACUCCCGUGAAGAAGCCCAAAGCUGGACCAAAGCCUGAAACUAAGUGCUUCUACUGCAAAGGAAAUGGUCACUGGAAGCAGAAAUGCCCUGAAUAUUUGGUGGAUAAGAAGGAUGGCAAAGUGAACAAGGGUAUAUUUGAUAUACAAGUUAUUUAUGUGUACCUUACUAGUGUUUAUAGUAGGCCCUGAGUAUUUGAUACUUGUUCGGUUGCUAAGAUUAGUAACUCGAAAUAGGAGUUAUAGAAUAAACAGAGACUAGUUGAGGGUGAAGUAACGAUGUGUGUUGGAAGUGGUUCCAAGAUUGAUAUGAUCAUCAUCGUACACUCCCUAUAAUUUCGAGAUUAGUGUUGAACCUAAAUAAAUGUUAUUUGGUGUUUGCGUUGAGCAUAAAUAUGAUUAGAUCAUGUUUAUUGCGACACGAUUAUUCAUCUAAGACAGAGAAUAAAUUUUUAUUUUGUUUACACGAAUAAAACCUUCUAUGGUCAUACACCCAAUGUUGAUGGUUUAUUGAAUCUUGAUCAUGGUGAUACACAUAUAAUAUUGAUGCCAAAAGAUGCAAAGUUGAUAAUGAUAGUGCAACAUAUUUGUGGCACUGCCGUUUGGGUCAUAUCAGUGUAAAGCGCAUGAAGAAACUCCAUAAAGAUGGAUUCUUUGAAUCAUUUGAUUAUGAAUCAUUUGAUGCUUGCGAACCGUGCCUUAUGGGCAAGAUGACUAAAACUCCGUUCUCCGGAACAAUGGAACAAGCUAGUGACUUAUCAGAAAUAAUACAUAUUGAUGUAUGCGAUCCAAUGAGUAUUGAUGCUCGUGGCGGGUAUCGUUAUUUUCUGACCUUCACAAGAUGAUUUGAGCAGAUAUGAGUAUAUCUACUUAAUGAAACACAAGUCUGAAACAUUUGAAAAGUUCAAAGAAUUUCAGAGUGAAGUGGAGAAUCAUCGUAACAAGGAAAUAAAGUUUCUACGAUCUGAUCAUGGAGGAGAAUAUUUGAGUUACGAGUUUGGCCUUCAUAUAAAACAAUGCGGAAUAGUUUCACAGUUCACACCACCUGGAACACCACAACAUUAUGGUGUGUCCGAAUGUCAUAACCGCACUUUAUUGGAUAUUGUGCGACGUAUGAUGUCUCUUAUCGGUUUACCACUAUCGUUCUGGGGUUAUGCAUUAGAGACAGUUGCAUUCACUUUAAAUAGGGCACCAUCGAAAUCCAUUGAGAUGACGGCUUAUGAACUAUGGUCUGGCAAGAAACUAAAGUUGUCGUUUCUUAAGGUUUGGGGCUGCGAUGCUUAUGUGAAAAAGUUUCAACCUGAUAAGCUCGAACCUAAAUCGGAGAAGUGCGUCUUCAUAGAAUACCCAAAGGAAACUGUUGGGUAGACCUAUUCGAAGGCAAGAUAUUCGUUGCUAAGAUGGAUCCUUUCUAGAGAAGGAGUUUCUAUUGAAAGAAGUGAGUGGGAGGAAAGUAGAACUUGAUGAGGUAAUUGUACCUUCUCCCUUAUUGGAAAGUAGUUCAUCACAGAAGACAGUUCCAGUGAUUCCUACACCAAUUAGUGAGGAAGUUAAUGAUGAUGAUCAUGAAACUUCAGAUCAAGUUGCUACCGAACCUCGUAGGUCUUCCAGAAUAAGAUCCGCACCAGAGUGGUACGGUAAUCUUGUUCUGGAAGUCAUGUUACUAGACCAUGAUGAACCUACGAACUAUGAGGAAGCGAUGAUGAGCCUAGAUUCCGCGAAAUGGCUUGAGGCCAUGAAAUCUGAGAUGGGAUCCAUGUAUGAGAACAAAGUGUGGAAUUUGGUUGACUUGCUCGAUGAUCAGCAAGCCAAGUUAAAUAAAUGGAUCUUCAAGAGGAAGAUGGACACUGAUAGUAGUGUUACUAUCUACAAAGCUCGACUUGUUGCGAAAGGAUUUUGACAAGUUCAAAGUGUUGAAUACGAUGAGAUUUUCUCACUCGUAAUGAUGCUUAAGUCUGUCUGAAUCAUGUUAGCAAUUGCCACAUUUUAUGAAAUCUGGCAAAUGGAUGUCAAAAUUGCAUUCCUUAAAUAGAUAUUUCUUAAAGAAGUGUUGUAUAUGAUACAACCAAAAGGUUUUGUCAAUCCUAAAGGUGCUAACAAAAUGUGCAAGCUCCAGCGAUCCAUCAAUGGACUGGUGCAAGCAUCUCGGAGUUGGAAUAUACGCUUUGAUGAAUUGAUCAAAGCAUAUGGUUUUAUACAGACUUUUGGAAAGACCUGUAUUUACAAGAAAGUGAGUGGGAGCACUACAGCCUUUCUGAUAAGUAUAUGUGAAUGACAUAUUGUUGAUCAGAAAUAAUGUAGAACUUUCUAGAAAGCAUAAAGGAGUGUUUGAAAGGAGUUUUUUAAAAGAAAGACCUCGGUGAAGCUGCUUGCAUAUUGAGCAUCAAGAUCUAUUGAGAUAGAUCAAGACGCUUGAUAAGAUUUUUCAAUGAGUACAUACCUUGAUAAGAUUUUGAAGUAGUUCAAAAUGGAACAGUCAAAGAAAGAGUUCUUGCCUGUGAUGCAAAGGUGUGAAGUUGAGUAAGACUUAAAACCCAACCAAGGCAGAAAAUAGAAAGAGAAUGAAAAGGUCAUUCUCUAUGCCUCAGUCAUAGGUUCUAUAAAGUAUGCUAUGUUGUGUACCAAAAUUGUUGUAUACCUUGCUCUGAGUUUGGCAAAGGAAUACAAUUUUGAUCUAAGAGUAGAUCACUGGACAGCGGUCAUGAAUAUCCUUAGUAAGGACCAAGGAGAUGUUUCUCGAUUAUGGAGGUGAUAAAAGAGUUCGUCGUAAAGAGUUACAUCGAUGCAAGCUUUUACACCGAUCCAGAUGACUCUAAGUCUCAAUCUGGAUACAUAUUGAAAGUGGGAGCAAUUAGCUAGAGUAGCUCCGUGCAGAGCAUUAUAGACAUAGAAUAUUUGCAAAAUACAUACGACUCUGAAUGUGACAGACCCGUUGACUAAACUUCUCUCACAAGCAAAACAUGAUCAUACCUUAGUACUCUUUGGGUGUUAAUCACAUAGCGAUGUGAACUAGAUUAUUGACUCUAGUGAACCCUUCGAGUGUUGGUCACAUGACGAUGUGAACUAUGGGUGUUAAUCACAUACUGAUGUGAAUAUUGGUGUUGAAUCACAUGAUGAUGUGAACUAGAUUAUUGACUCUAGUGCAAGUGGGAGACUGAAGGAAAUAUGCCCUAGAGGCAAUAAUAAAGUUAUUAUUUAUUUCCUUAUUUCAUGAUAAAUGUUUAUUAUUCAUGCUAGAAUUGUAUUAACCGGAAACAUGAUACAUGUGUGAAUACAUAGACAAACUGAGUGUCACUAGUAUGCCUCUACUUGACUAGCUCAUUAAUCAGAUAUGGUUAUGUUUCCUAGCCAUGGACAAAGAGUUGUCAUUUGAUUAAGGGAUCACUUCAUUGGAGAAUGAUGUGAUUGACUUGACCCAUUCCGUUAGCUUACCACUUGAUCGCUUAGUAUGUUGAUAUUGCUUCCUUCAUGACUUAUACAUGUUCCUAUGACUAUGAGAUUAUGCAACUCCCGUUUACCAGAGGAACACUUUGUGUGCUACCAAAUGUCACAACGUAACUGGGUGAUUAUAAAGGUGCUCUACAGGUGUCUCUGAAGGUACUUGUUGGGUUGGCGUAUUUCGAGAUUAGGAUUUGUCACUCCGAUUGUCAGAGAGGUAUCUCUGGGCAAACUCGGUAAUGCACAUCACUAUAAGACUUACAAGCAUUGUAACUAAUGAGUUAGUUGUGGGAUGGUGUAUUACGGAACGAGUAAAGAGACUUGCCGGUAACAAGAUUGAACUAGGUAUUGAGAUACCGACGAUCGAAUCUCGGGCAAGUAACAUACCGAUGACAAAGGGAACAACGUAUGUUGUUAUGUGGUUUGACCGAUAAAGAUCUUCGUAGAAUAUGUGGGAGCCAAUAUGAGCAUCCAGAUUCCGCUAUUGGUUAUUGACUAGAGACGUGUCUCGGUCAUGUCUACAUAGUUCUCGAACCCAUAGGGUCUGCACGCUUAAAGUUCGAUGAUGGUUAUAUUAUGAGUUUAUGUGUUUUGAUGUACCGAAGGUAGUCCAGAGUCCCGAAUGAGAUCGGGGACAUGACUAGGAGUCUCGAAAUGGUCAAAACGUAAAGAUCGAUAUAUUGUACGACUAUAUUCGGACUUCGGAAAGGUUCCGAGUGAUUCGGGUAUUUUGCGGAGUACCAGAGAGUUACGGGAAUUCGUAGUGGGCCUUAAUGGGCCAUACGAGAAAGGAGAAAAAGGCCUCAAAAGGUGGCCGCACCCCUCCCCAUGGACUGGUCCGAAUUGGACUAGGGAGGGGGGCGUCCCCUUCCUUCCUUCUCCUUCUGCCUUCCCUUUCUCCUACUCCAACUUGGAAGGGGGGGGGGAAUCCUACUCCCGGUGGGAGUAGGACUCACCUAUGGUGCGCCCAAGAGAGGGCCGUCCCUCCCCUCCUCUACUCCUUUAUAUACGGGGGAGGGGGCACCCCAUGGAGACACAACAAUUGAUCCCUUGGGUCUCUUAGCCGUGUGCGGUGCCCCCUCCACCAUAAUCCACCUCGAUAAUAUCGUAGCAGUGCUUAUGUGAAGCCCUGCGAUGGUAAAACAUCAUCAUCGUCACCACACCGUCGUGCUAACGGAACUCUCCCUCAAAGCUCGGCUGGAUCGGAGUUCGAGGGACGUCAUCGAGUUGAACGUGUGCUGAACUCAGAGGUGUCGUGCGUUCGGUACUUGAUCAGUCAGAUCGUGAAGACGUACGACUACAUCAACCGCGGUGUGCUAAUGCUUCUGCUUUCGGUCUACGAGGAUACGUGGACACACUCUCCCCUCUCAUUGCUAUGCAUCACCAUGAUCCUGUGUGUGCGUAGGAUUUUUUUUGAAAUUACUAUGUUACCCAACAACCUUCUGUUCCCGUGAGAUCCCAUCUUGGGGCCUUUUCCAGCACCCUGCUAGAGGGGUUUUGAUCAUGGAGGGCAUCUACAUUAACUGUAUUGCCCUUCCGAUGAAGCGUGAGUAGUCCACCACAGACCUAUGGGUCCAUAGCUAGUACCUAGAUGGCUUCUUCUAUCUCUUUAAUUCUCAAUACCAUGUUCUCCUCGAUGUUCUUGAAGAUCUCUCUGAUGUAAUCUUAUUUUGUAGUGUGUUUGUCGAGAUCUGAUGGAUUGCGGAUUUAUGAUCAGCGUAUCUAUGAAUAUUAUUUGAAUCUCCUCUGAAUUCUUAUAUGCAUGAUUUGGUAUAUUUGUAUUUCUCUUCAAAUUAUCGAUUUGGUUUGGCCAACUAGAUUGGUUUUUCUUGCAAUGGGAGAGGUGCUUAGCUUUGGGUUCAAUCUUGUGUGAUUUCACCCAGUGACAAAGUAGGGGUAGCGAGACACGUAUUGCAUUGUUGCCAUCGAGGAUAAAAGCAUGGGGUUUACAUUAUUGCUUGAGUUUAUUCCUCUACAUCAUGUCAUCUUACUUAAUGUGUUACUCUGUUAUUUAUGAACUUAAUACUCUAGAUGCAUGCAGGAGUCGGUCGAUGUGUGGAAUAAUAGUAGUAGAUGCAGGCAGGAGUCGGUCUACUUGAUACGGGCGUGAUGUCUAUAUUGCAUAAUCAUUGCCUUGGAUAUCAUCAUAACUUUUCCCUUUUCUAUCGAUUGCUCGACAGUAAUUUGUUCACCCACCAUAUUAUUUGCCUUCAAGAGAGCAGCCUCUAGUGAAACCUAUGGGCCCCGGGUCUAUUUUCCAUCAUAUUAGUUUCCGAUCUACUAUUUUGCAAUCUUUUACUUUCAGAUCUAUAAAUCAAAAACCCAAAAAUAUUUUAUCUUUUGUUUAUCUAUCUCUAUGAGAUCUCGCUUUUGCAAGUGACCGUGAAGGGAUUGACACCCCAUUUCUCGCGUUGGGUCCAAGUGUUUGAUUGUUUGUGCAGGUAUUGGUGAUUUGCGCGUUCUUCUCCUACUGGAUUGAUACCUUGGUUCUCAAACUGAGGGAAAUACUUAUCUCUACCUUGCUGCAUCACCCUUUCCUCUUCAAGGGAAAAACAACGGAAGCUCAAGAAUUAGCACGACCCACUCUCCUGUAGCCCGUUGUACUCUCUACCUGAUCAUGGUGCUUUAUGCUUCAUACUAUUAUCCAAUGAUAUGUUGCCAUCCUAUCAUGCUUGAGUAGAUUUUUGUUGUCCUAUCAGUGAUUGGUGAAUUGCCAUGAUUGGUUUAAUUUGCUUGUGGUUAUUAUGAUGUACUUUAGUGCCCAUCAUACGAGCGCGCGUGUGGAUCACACCAUAGGGUUAAUUCUAUGUUGAUAGGACUAUGUAUUCGAGGGCAAGGGUGACAGCAGCUUCAGCCUAGCAUAGAAAUUGAUGCAUACGAGAUUGAAGGGGGACCAAUAUAUCUUAAUGAUAUGGUUGGGUUUUACCUUAAUGAACAUUAUUAGUUGCGGAUGCUUGCUAAUAAUUCCAAUCAUAAGUGCAUAGAAUUCCAUGUAAAGGAUGACAUGCUAGCAGUGGCCUCUCCCACAUAAAAACUUGCUAUCGGUCUAGUAACAUAGUCAAUUGCUUAGGGACAAUUCCGCAACUCCUACCACCACUUUUCCAGACUUGCUAUACUAACUUAAUUGUUUAUUUAUCUAAAUAGUCCCUAGUUCUUACCUACAUGCUCUUUAUUAUCUUGCAAAACUAUCCCACAACACCUACAAAGUACUUCUAGUUUCAUACUUGUUCUAGGUAAAGCGAACGUCAAACGUGUGUAGAGUUGUAUCAGUGGUUGAUAAAACUUGAGGGAAUAUUUGUUCUACCUUUUAGCUUCUCAUUGGGUUUGACACUCUUACUUAUCGAAAGAGGCUACAACUGAUCCCCUAUACUUAAGGGUUAUCACUAGGCUAUCUCGUUGGUCCCAAUGGUUGACCACACCUGCCCUAGGUUUGCGGUAGUCGUUCCGCCUCAUCAUGGAUGAGAAGCACCUCAUGGUAGAGGUGGAGCUUGAGGCAGAACGAGCAGGCACUAUCGCUCUCACCAAGCUCUGCGUCGACCCGGUCUUCAUUGCUGAAAAUCGCGCCAUCUCGAGUCCAUUAAGGAUGAACAGGUGGUGUCAGGCUAUCAAUGAACCGUUGCACGAUCUUCAUCCAUGAUGGAGAGCAAUAAGAGACCUUUGUGGAUGAGGAUGAGGACGAUGAGGGCGAGCAGGUGCCUCCCACCACUGAGAAAUUAUGUAGGGCCUACUUUCUCUGCAUGUUCCAUAGUCCCUAUCCUCCCCCACUGCCCAAGUACAACAUGCUAGCCCAUGAAUCUUGUUUGACGCCUUACAUGUUUCAAAAAAAGAUUGUCAUGGCAUGCACAAUGAGUGAAUAAUGUCAAUAAACAUGAUGACAUGCCCCAUCUCUUGCCAAGUUGUUGUUGUGCCAAUGGUAGCAUCAAUAAAUGCAUCAAAAGAAAAAGGCAGUUGCCCCCGCUUUGCCCCCAGGGGCGACACGGGCGGAUCCUCAGUCUCGCCGCCACUAAUACCACUCCAACGUAUCUAUAAUUUUUAAUUGUUCCAUGCUAUUAUAUUAUCCAUAUUGGAUGUUUUAUAUGCAUUUAUAUGCUAUUUUAUAUUAUUUUUGGGACUAACCUAUUAACCUAGAGCCCAGUACCAGUUUCUGUUUUCCCCUUGUUUUUGAGUUUUGCAGAAAAGGAAUAUCAAACGGAGUCCAAAGGAGCUAAAAAUUUAUGGUGAUUUUUUAUGGACCAAAAGAAGCCCCCGAAGCAAAAUAGUUGGGCCAGAAGAGUCCCGAGUCAACGACAAGGGUGGAGGGCGCGCCCACCUCCCUAGGGCACCCCCUGCCUUGUCGCUGACUCAUGGACCCCCCUAACGUGAAACCGGCGCAAAAAAUUCCUAUAAAUCCAUAAACCCCCAGAAAGAAAACUAGUUUGGGAGUUCCGCCUCCGCAAGCCUCUGUAGCCACGGAAAACCAAUCAGGCGCCCGUUCCGGCACCCUGCCGGAGGGGGAAUCCAUCACCGGCGGCCAUCUUCAUCAUCCUAGUGCUCUCCGUGACGAGGAGGGAGUAGUUCACCCUCAGGGCUGAGUGUAUGUACCAGUAGAUAUGUGUUUGAUCUCUCUCUCUCUCUCUCUCUCUCUCUCUCUCGUGUUCUUGAUUUGGCACGAUCUUGACGUACCGCGAGCUUUGUUAUUAUAGUUGGAUCUUAUGGUGUUCUUCCCUCUCUACCUUGUGAUGAAUUGAAUCUCUUCCUUUGAGGUUUUGUUAUGUCGGAUUGAAUCUUUGGAUGUGAGAGCACUUGGUGUAUGUCUUGCGAUGGGAUAUCCGUGUUGACAAUGGGAUGUUCUAUUGAUCCACUUCAUGUAUAUUUUGGUUAUCAAAUUGCGGAUUCCUGUGGUGACAUUGGGGUAAUAUAUGCAUAGGGGUUGGUACACGUUUUCAUAUUCCUUUCUCCGAUAGAAAUCUUGGGAUACUUUUGAAGUUCUUUGUGUUGGAUUGAAUAUUAUGAAUCUGAAGUUGUUUGAUGCAUAUCAUAUAAUUGACCCACGAAUACGUGUGGUGACAUUGGAGUAUCUAGAUGACAUUAGGGUUGAUUGAUGUGUGUCAUGUGGUGUUAUUUUAGUAUGAACUCUAGGGCUGUUUGUGGCACUUAUAAGAAUAGCCCAAAGAUCGACCAGAAAGAAUAACUUUGAGGUGGUUUCGUACCCUACAAGCAAUUUCAUCUUAUGUUCUCCGUGAUAGGAGCUUUGGAGUGAUUCUUCGUUGCACGUUGAGGGAUUGUCAUAUGAUCUAAUUAUGUUAUCAUUGUUGAGAGAACUUGCACUAGUGAAAGUAUGAACCCUAGGCCUUGUUUCCAAGCAUUGCAAUACCGUUUUUGCUCACUUUUAUUACUAACCUUGCGGUUUUUUAUUUUCAUAUUACAAAGACCUAUAUCUACCAUCCAUAUUGCACUAGUAUCACCAUCUCUUCUCCGAACUAGUGCACAUAUACAAUUUACCAUUGUAUUGGGUGUGUUGGGACACAAGAGACUCUCUGUUAUUUGAUUGCAGGGUUGUUUGAGAGAGACCAUAUUCAUAAUAUGCCUCCCACGGAUUGAUAAACCUUAGGUAAUCCUCUUGAGGGAAAUUUGCUACUGUCCUACAAAACUCUGUGCUUGGAGGCCCAACACGAGUCUACAAGAAGUAGGUUGCGUAGUACUCCCUCCGUUCCUAAAUAUAAGUCUUUGGAGAGAUUCCACUAUGAACCACAUACGAAUGUAUAUAGAUGCAUUUUAGAGUGUAGAUUCACUCAUUUUGCUUCGUAUGUAGUCCAUAGUGAAAUCUCUACAAAGACUUAUAUUUAGGAACGGAGGGAAUAGACACCAAGCUCUUUUCUAGCGCCAUUGCUAGGGAGGUGAGUGCUUGAAGGUAUAUCUUGAGAUCUUGUAAUCGAAUCUUUUCGUUUCUUGUUUUAUCACUAGUUUAAUCUAUAAAAGAAAACUAAAAAAUUGAAUUAAGGUUGCCUCACAUGCUUCAUCUUUUUAAUGUCUUUCAUGAAAAUGAUGGAAUGGAAAAUUGUGCUCAAGUGUUAGAGGAAGAAGUCAAUAGAUUGUUUGGCACUAAAUCUUUGUAUGAUGAGCAUGAUUGCAAUGUUGUUAGUAUGAGUUCCUUGAAUAUCCAUGAUGCUAACGAUAUGCAAAGCUACAAGCUUGGGGAUGCUAUGUUUGAUGAAUAUGAUAUUUUUAGUCCCCCAAGUUUUGAUGAGAAUAUUUAUUAUGAUGAAAGCAUGACUCCUAUUUAUGAUGAUUAUAUUGAUGAAAGUGGGUUUGGAAGAGUGUCAACUUUAGUAAGUAAUGAUCCCACUAUUUUGGAGGGUGUUGAAUCUUAUUAUAAUGAUAAAAGUGGAUUUGGAGAGGCCAUGACUUUAUUUAGUGAUGAAUCCACUAUUUCGGAAGAGGUUCCAAUUGAUUAUGAGAACAAAAGUUGCUAUAUAUGAUGAUUAUUGUGAUGACAUGUAUGCUAUAAAGAAUGAUGAUAAUCAUGAAACUUGUCAUCUUGAUUUUAAUUUUCAAUUGGAUUAUGCCUCACAUGAUAGUUAUUUUGUUGAGUUUGCUCCCACUACUAUUGAUGAGAAGAAAUUUGCUUAUGUGGAGAGUAAUAAAAUAUCUAUGCUUGUAGAUCAUGAAAAGAAUGAUCUGUGUGGUGGUUAUAUUGUUGAGUUCAUUCAUGAUGCCACUAAAAAUUAUUAUGAGGGAGGAAUAUAUGCUUGUAAGAAUUGCGGUAAUAUCAACUUUCCUCUCUAUGUGUUGAAAUUCUUAAAGUUAUGCUUGUUUUGCCUUCCUAUGCUAGUUGAUUCUUGCUCCCAUAAAUUGUUUGCUCACAAAAUCCCUAUGCAUAGGAAGUGGGUGGGACUUAAAUGUGCUAGUCAUAUGCUUCACGAUGCUCCUGUUAUGUUUCAAUUCUUAUCUUUCAUGUGAGCAUCAUUGAAAUAAUCAUGCCUAGCUAGAAAGGCAUUAACAAAAAGCGCUUGUUGGGAGGCAACCCAAUAUUUACCCCUACUGUUUUUGUGUGUUCGUAUGAUUAUGUUACUGUAUUAAUCAUGUUUUAUAGCUUUUGUUUCAAUAAAGGGCCAAGUAAAGCCUUUGGGAUAGUGUGGAUGAUAGUUGACUUGAUUCUGUGCAAAAACAGAAACUUUUGCUCUCAGUCCAGGAAUUUUGAAAAUUCACUAGAAUGUGCUUUUGAUAUGAAUUUUCUACACAUUAAUGAUAUACAAAUUUUCUAUGUUGUUCUAAUUUUUCAGAAUCUUUGGAGAUACAGAAGUAUACGAAGUUUCCUGAUUACUACAGACUGUUCUGUUUUAAACAGAUUCUGUUUUCUAUGUGUUGUUUGCUUAUUUUGAUGAAUCUAUGAGUAGUAUCAGAGGGUAUGAACCAUGGAUAAGUUGGAAUACAGUAUAUAUAACACCAAUACGAAUUUAGAAUGAGUUCACAACAGUACCUAAGUGGUGAUUUAUUUUCUUAUACUAACGGAGCUCAUAAGAUUUUCUGUUGAGUUUUGUGUUGUGAAGUUUUCAAGUUUUGGGUAAAGUUUCAAUGGACUACGGAAUAAGGAGUGGCAAGAGCCUAAGCUUGGGGAUGUCCAAGGCACCCCAAGGUAAUAUUCAAGGAAGAUCCAAGCAACUAAGCUUGGGGAUGCCCCGGAUGGCAUCCCCUCUUUCGUCUUCGUUCAUCGGUAACCUUACUUGAGGCUAUAUUUUUAUCCACCACAUGAUAUGUGUUUUGCUUGGAGCAUCAUUUUCUUUUGUUUAUUUGCUUGUUGUUAUUCAGAGACAUGUUUUAUAUCUUUUAGUUCAAUAAAAAGGUCAAGUAUAGCCUUUACCAUGCUUAUUUUACAAGUCUAUAUGUUGCUGUUUGAAAAUAGAAAGUUUGAUGUUAUGUUUUGAAUAUUGGUGAAUAGUCAGAACAUGAUAAAAUCUUGAAAUUUUUACACAAUAAGGUACAACAAAUUUUCUAAAUUGUGGUAAUUUUUCAGAAUUUUUUGGAGUUCGGGAAGUAUGAUUCCUCUUGCAUUAUUUAUAGACUGUUCUGUUUAGACAGAUUGAUGUUAUGUUUGCAUUGUUUGCAUAUGUUUGCUUGUUAAUUAUUCUAUUUGAGGAUAGGAGUGUUGAAUAUGACGAGGCAUUUAGUAUGCAAUGUCAAAUUAUAAUUUUAGUGAUUCUCUACAGUAGAAAAUGAUAAGGUUUUGCAUUGAUUUAUACUAACUUAUCUCACGAGUUCUUGUUGAGUUUUGUGUGUAUGAAGUUUUUAAGAUUUAGGAAAACCGUGAUACAAGAGGAAUUAAGGAGGCACAAGAGCUCAAGCUUGGGGAUGCCCAAGGAAUCCCUAGUUAAUAUUUCAAGAAGUCUCAAGCAUCUAAGCUUGGGGAUGCCCCGGUUGGCAUCCCACCUUUCUUCUUCAACAAUGAUCGGUCAGUUUUGGUUGAGCCUAAGUUUUUGCUUCUUCACAUGAUAUGUGCUAUCCUUGCAAUGUCAUUUUAUUUUGUUUUGCUUGAUUUUUAAAUAAAAUACUUAAGAUCUAAAUUUUCUAAAUGGGAGAGAGUCUUCACAUAGCUAAAUAAUUGUUUGACUACUCAUUGAUCUUCACUUAUAUCUUUUUGGAGUAGUUUGUCAUUUACUCUUGUGCUUCACCUAUAUCCUAUGAGUAAAUGGUUGAAUGAAUUAGAUACCAUAAAUCUUAAUUUAUAUAUGUUUCAUAUGCUUAUACCGUGGGGAGUAAUGACUUCACUUAUAAGAAGUAGAGGUGGUAAAUUUAUUGAAAGUUAGCAAACAUAGUAUUGGUCAAUUGAACAAUUCAUCAAAGAAUAUUGAAGGAAGAGAGAUUUCACAUAUAAAUAUACUAUCUUGGACAUCUUCUAUGAUUGUGAGCCCCAUUAAUUAUUUUCAAACUUGAUCAAAUUAGUUGAAGUUGGACAAGGAAGACAACUUAAUGAGUUAUGUUUGGGUAUUUUUGUAUAGAAGUUAUAUUGCUAUGGAUCCUCCAACACGUGGUGCUUGAUUUUUAGAAUCUUUUGCUAGCCAAAUUUUUUGUACUAAGUAGAGUUACUACUUGUGCAUCCAAAAACCCUUAAACCAAGUUUCUUCCAUGAGUGUCCACCAUAUCUACUUAUAUGCGGUAUUUACCUACCGUUCCAAGUAAAUUUGCAUGUGCCAAUCUCUAAACCUUCAAAUAAUAAUAUGUUUUGUAUGCCCGAAUUGCUCAUGUAUCGACUAGGGGCUGUCAGUAUCUUCCAUGAUAGGUGGGUUAUUCUCACGAUGAGUGGACUCCGCUCAUCAUUCACAAGAAAAUGGUUGGUAACUGGGAUGCCCAGUUCCAUGCUCAAAUCAAAUCAAAUAUAAUUGCAAACAAAACUCCCCCAGUAUUGUUGAUAGUUGGACGAUACCCAUUGUUUUGGACCAGCCGUGGAAUGUGCUUGUUGGUGGUGGGGGAGUAAAAACUUUACCAUUCUGUUUGGGAACCGCCUAUAAUGUGUCUAGCAUGGAAGAUAACUCUUGGUCGUUAUGUUGACAAUGAAAGCAUACCUCUCAAAAUUGUUUUCAUCUCUGUUUUAAAAGCUUCAAGCUCUGGCACCUCUACAAGUUCAUGCUUCCCUCUAUGAAGGGCCUAUCUUUUACUUUUAUGCAAGAGUUAGUGGUAUUCCUUCUCAUUCCAACCUACUCUUUAGUUGGCAAGCACCAUGUGAUGGGGAAAGAUCUAAGCAUAUAUGGCCAUUCAAAUAUAUUUGAUCAUGAAUUAUUAUUGUUGACAAUUAUCUAUAUGAUAAAUAAGUUGGGAGGCGAAACAUUAAGCCCCUAUCUUUCUCUAUGUUCAAUGGAUGCUAUUUGUUCUAAAAAUAUGCUUUGAGUGGUAGCAACCAUGGAAGACUAUAUAGUUGAGUAUGUGGGAUUUGCUAAAUCAAAGCUCUUACAUAGACCCUUCCUGAAAAUAAGAUGAAUUGCAAUUGUUUGAUGACUGAGAGCAUAAUUUGUUAGUUUUCAAGAAAGUUUAUGGUCUAUGCUUUAACAUGUGAAUAGCUUGUUACUUGAUCAUGGGAAGCUUUAUGCUAUGAGCUACUGUUACGAUAUACAAUGAUGCUAGAAAAAGUGAUUAAAAUUAUCUUUGAUCAAACUUGUGCACUUGCUAGCAUUCCAUAUGAAAAAUUCUUUUUUUACCAUUUACCUACUCGAGGACGAGCAGGAAUUAAGCUUGGGGAUGCUUGAUACGUCUCCAACGUAUCUAUAAUUUUUUAUUGUUCCAUGCUAUUAUAUUAUCCAUCUUGGAUGUUUUAUAUGCAUUUAUAUGCUAUUUUAUAUUAUUUUCAAGACUAACCUAUUAACCUAGAGCCUUGUGCCAGUUUAUAUUUUUUCCUUAUUUUUGAGUUUUGCAGAAAAGGAAUAUCAAACGGAGUCCAAACGAGCUGAAAAUUUAUGGUAAUUUUUUAUGGACCAGAAGAAGCCCCCGAAGCAAAAGAGUUCGACCAGAAGUGUCCCGAGUCAAUGACAAGGGUGGAGGGCAUGCCCACCCCCCCCCUAGGGCACGCCCCCUUCCUUGUCGCUGACUCGUGGAGCCCCCCNNNNNNNNNNNNNNNNNNNNNNNNNNNNNNNNNNNNNNNNNNNNNNNNNNNNNNNNNNNNNNNNNNNNNNNNNNNNNNNNNNNNNNNNNNNNNNNNNNNNNNNNNNNNNNNNNNNNNNNNNNNNNNNNNNNNNNNNNNNNNNNNNNNNNNNNNNNNNNNNNNNNNNNNNNNNNNNNNNNNNNNNNNNNNNNNNNNNNNNNNNNNNNNNNNNNNNNNNNNNNNNNNNNNNNNNNNNNNNNNNNNNNNNNNNNNNNNNNNNNNNNNNNNNNNNNNNNNNNNNNNNNNNNNNNNNNNNNNNNNNNNNNNNNNNNNNNNNNNNNNNNNNGGGGGGGGAUCCAGCACCGAUGGCCAUCUUCAUCAUCCCGGUGCUCUCCAUGACAAGGAGGGAGUAGCUCACCCUCGGGGCUGAGGGUAUGUGCCAAUAGCUAUGUGUUUGAUCUCUCUCUCUCUCUCGUGUUCUUGAUUUGGCACGAUCUUGAUGUACCGCGAGCUUUGUUAUUAUAGUUGGAUCUUAUGGUGUUCUUCCCUCUCUACCUUGUGAUGAAUUGAAUCUUUUCCUUUGAGGUUUUUUUAUGUCGGAUUGAAUCUUUGGAUGUGAGAGCACUUGAUGUAUGUCUUGCGAUGGGAUAUCUGUGGUGACAAUGGGAUGUUCUGUUGAUCCACUUGAUGAAUGUUUGGGUUAGCAACUUGUGGAUUCCGAUGGUGACAUUGGGGUAAUCUAUGCAUAGGGGUUGGUGAUAUGUCUCCAAUGUAUCUAUAGUUUUUGAUUGUUCCAUGUUGUUAUAUUAUCAUUCUUGGAUGUUUUACAAUCAUUUUAUAGUAAUUUUAUAUCUUUUUUUGGGUACUAACCCAUUGACAUAGUGCCCAGUGCCAGUUGAUGUUUUCUUCUUGUUUUUACAUCGCAGGAAAUCAAUACCAAAGGGAGUCCAAACACAGCGAAAUUUUUGUGGAUUUUUUCUGGACCAGAAGACACCGCAUGGGCCAAGAAAGUACCUGAGGGGAGCUAUGAGGGGAGCACAACCCACUAGGGCACGCCUGGGGUCCAGGCGCGCCCAGGUGGGUUGUGCCCACCUCGGUGGCCUCCCGCACCGCCUCUUUGCUCUAUAAAUACCCCAAUAUUCCAGAAACCCUAGGGGAGUCGAUGAAAGUAAAUUCCAGCCGCCGCAAGUUCUAGAAACACCAGAUCCAAUCUAAACACCAUCAUGGAGGGGUUCAUCAUGUCCAUUGGUGCCUCUCCAAUGAUGCGUGAGUAGUUUUUUUGUAGACCUACGGGUCCGUAGUUAUUAGCUAGAUGGCUUCCUCUCUCUCUCUCCCUCUCUCUCUCUCUCUCUCUCUCUCUUGAUUCUCAAUAUAAUGGUCUCUUGGAGAUCCAUAUGAUGUAAGUCUUUUUGCGGUGUGUUUGUUGGGAUCCGAUGAACUUUGAGUUUAUGAUCAGAUCUAUGUUUUUAUCCAUGAAAGUUAUUUCAGUCUUCUUUGAUCUCUUAUAUGCAUGAUUGAUUAUAGCCUCAUAUUCCUUCUCUGAUAUUUGGGUUUUGUUUGGCAAACUUGAUCUAUUUAUCUUGCAAUGGGAAGAGGUGCUUUGUGAUGGGUUCGAUCUUACGGUGCUUGAUCCCAGUGACAGAAGGGGAAACGACACGGAUGUAUCGUUGUUAUUAAGGAUAACAAGAUGGGGUCUAUUUCUACAUAAAUAGAUCUUGUCUACAUCAUGUCAUCAUUCUUAUUGCAUUACUCUGUUUUUCCAUGAACCUAAUACAUUAGAUGCAUGUUGGAUAGUGGUCGAUGUGUGGAGCAAUAGUAGUAGAUGCAGGUCGGUCUACUAAUCUUGGACAUGAUGCCUAUAUAAUGAUCAUUGCCUGGAUAUCGUCAUGAUUAUUUGAAGUUCUACCAAUUUCUCAAUAGUAAUUGUUUUCCCAACGUUUGCUAUUUUUCUUGAGAGAAGCCAAUAGUGAAACCUACGGCCCCCGGAUCUCUUCUUUAUCAUGAUUGCCUUUGCGAUCUAUUUUCCUUUGCUUUUAUUUUCAGAUCUAUUAAACCAAAAAUACAAAAAUAACUUGAUGCACUUUAUUUUAUCUGCGAUCUAUUUAUCCUAUCUAUCACAACUUUAUCACGUCUUCUCGCCAAUUUAUGGCACCGUUACCCGAAAGGGAUUGACAACCCCUUUAACACGUCGGGUUGUGAGUAUUUAUUAUUUGUGUGCAGGGGCUGUUUACGUUGUGUUGCUUGGUUCUCCUACUGGUUCAAUAACUUUGGUCUCAUCACUGAGGGAAAUACCUACCAUCAUUGUGCUGCAUCAUCCCUUCCUCUUUGGGGAAAGAUCGACGUAGUUCAAGCAGGCAUCAAAAGGAAUUUCUGGCGCCGUUGUCGGGGAGGAUCAUCAACAUCAACCAGGUUCCUAAUCAAAAAAUCUCAUCUCCUCACAAUUUACAUUAUUUGCCAUUUGCCUCUCGUUUUUCUCUCCCCCACUUCACAAAAAUUUACCGUUUUAUUCUCCCUCUUUUUCGUUCGCCGUUUUCUCCUCAUAUCUGUUUUUGUGUGCAAUCUUGUUAACCACUUUUUGUCAUUAAGGAUAGUUCUUCCUCUAUUGCAUACACUCCCGAGAACGAGGUUCUUAACUUUAAACAAAGAGGAGGGGAGAAUUUAAAAGAUGCUUGGUAUAGGAUUUGCAAUGCUCAUAAUAUAUCUAUCCGUAAGCAAUCUACCGUUGUUCUUCUUCGUUGUUUUUAUGUGGGCGUCACCACUUGGUAUAGAUUCUUCCUUGAUACGAUUACCGGUGGAAAUUUCUUGACGUGUCCUUCUCUUGGUGCUUUUAAUGCUUUGGGAAAUUUAGUGGGUUCACCACCUCUCAUGAUCAAUGAAACAAUUGUGACCCUCGAGCAUGUUAUGGAAAGACUAGAUGCUAUUGAAAAGAAAAUGCUUACCAAAGAACAUAUUGAAAACUUGGAUAGAAAAAUGCAAAACUACGCUACUAAAAUUGGGUCAAAAGCGUGAGAAAUUUUAAAGUUGUUAGAAGAAAAGGGGACUGUAAUUCAUGAAAGAAUUGAAGAAAGCCCGUCUAGGAUUGAUAAGUUGGAAGAAAUCUUUAGUAAUCUAAUGAAUUCCUCAACUUUAUGCCGAGAAGUUUCGCUAUUUUACUUGCCAAUUCUCCAAAUAAAUCUGGUUGUGUGCUUGAAGAGUUGGGAACUAAAGAUGACAAAACUUAGAUCCUACGCAUUAUGCCUAGCUAGGGGCGUAAAAUGAUAGCGCUCGUUGGAAGGCAACCCAACUUGUAUCUUUUUGAUUUUUGGUUUUCUUGCUGUUCUAAAUAAAAUUCCAAUUAUGCCUCUCAUUAAAUGUCCUUUUGUGGUUUAAAUAAGUGUUUCUGCCAAGCACGGCCUUUGGGAUGAUUUGGGUGUGAGUUGAUUUGAUCUUGCUGAAAAACAGAAACUUUUGCGCUCACAAAAUUAUUUUUCAUUUUUAUCAGAAGAGUUAUUUUGGGUUGUUUCUUUUUGCAAAAGAUUAAUAAACAAAUUAUUCACGUCUUCCUAAUUUUUUAGAACUUUUGGAGUUACAGAAGUAUUCGAAAUAGUCUAAUUGCUACAGACUGUUCUGUUUUUGACAGAUUCUGUUUUCCUUGCAUUGUGUGCUUGUUUUGAUGAUUCGAUGGUUUUCUUUGAAGAGUUUUUGCCAUAGAAAAGUUGGAAUAUAGUAGAUAUAAUGCAAAAAUAAAAUAUGAAUGGGUUGCAACAGUACUUAUAGUAGUGGUUUGCUUUCUUAUACUAACGGAUCUCAUGAAGGUUUUGUUGAGUUUUGUGUGAUUGAAGUUUUCAAGUUUUGCGUGAUCUUGCUGAAGGAAAUAUUCCCUAGAGGCAAUAAUAAAGUUAUUAUUUAUUUCCUUAAUUCAUGAUGAAUGUUUAUUAUUCAUGCUAUAAUUGUAUUAACCGGAAACUUAGUACAUGUGUGAAUACAUAGACAAAACAUAUAGUCCCCAGUAUGACUCUACUUGACUAGCUCGUUAAUCAAAGAUGGUUAUGUUUCCUAAGCAUAGACAUGUGUUGUAAUUUGAUGAACGGGGUCACAUCAUUAGGAGAAUGAUGUGAUGGAUAUGACCCAUCCGUUAGCUUAGCAUUAUGAUUAUGUUAGUUUCAUUGCUACUGCUUUCUUCAUGACUUCAAGUUCCUCAGACUGUGAGAUUAUGCAACUCCUGAAUACCGGAGGAACACUUUGUGUGCUACCAAAUGUCACAACGUAAAUGGGUGAUUAUAAAGGUGCUCUACAGGUGUCUCCGAAGGUGUUUGUUGGGUUGGCAUAGAUCGUUGGCAUAGAUCGAUAUUAGGAUUUGUCACUCCGUGUUUCAGAGAGGUAUCUCUGGGCCCACUCGGUAAUACUCAUCACUAUAAGCCUUGCAAGCAUUGUGACUAGUGAGUUAAUUGCGAAAACCUUUCAGGAUGACGUUACUUAUGUCCAACGGAAACCUUUCAGGAUACCGUUCACACUAGGACACAAUGUACAACCCCAGAAUCUAUUUGUGGAAGCAGUGCGCCAUCCAUGUUACUAGAUGGUAGCAGUUCAGAGGCAACACCACCGGAGAGCAGUCUGGGCACAUAUAUUAUAGUGCUUGAGGCUCUACUAGAGGCAGAAAGAGAUGGUGUGGCUGCCAUGAAUGAGGUAAUCUUUAUCUUGACGCUGGAAAUUACGGAAUUAGCGGCACGCAUUAUGCAAGCAACCCAAGAAUUGGAGGAAGUAAGAAUGUUGCAUUUGAGAACGGAGGAGGUCCUGCUGUUUCUACUAUUUGAAGCCCAAGGUAAUCCCGGUUCUUAUUUAGAUACUAGUUGAAAUUGUCAUUAGAUUAUUGUACUUGCAUGUUGUGUCAUGUCUCCGAAUGGAUUAUGUUGCAAGACCCCCUAUGUUGUCCAUGUGUUGUAAUGAUCCGGAUUUUUUAGGUGAGGUAAUCCUCAAUACUUGUAUGAUUGAAAUAAGGUGAACUGUUUUUCGUGUGAGCAUAUUGUAUUGGAUGAAAUAAUUGUUUGACUCAGAGUGUAUCCAACCUACUGAAUUCGAAGAUCACGGCAUUUCUAAAUCAUAAUCAUAUAUAAAGGUGGAAUAAAUCUUUGUUGUGGUUUUGAAUAAAUAAAUACAAAACGUAUAAUUAUCUAUGGAUAUACGUAAUCGAAUACAAAUUGGAUUUGAAUUUAGUUUGCCAGGGCCCAGGGCAAAUGUGAAUGCUAAUUCUCCCAAGUUUUUAACGAAGCGGCUAAACACCCACUAUAACUUGUGGGCUGCCCGAAGCAAGUGUUUGCGAGAUGGAAAUUACUGUCUACCCCUGACACCUGACAUCCUUAUCGACCGGAUUUACACUACUGUCGAUAGGGGUAGACUAGUAACUUCAAUCAGACGCGACAUGACGGCCUCUGAGCCCAUUCAGACAUGGUGGGCGCCAAACGUGGGCGGCAAAACACAUUUGAUUCAAGCUCGUCUGAAAGACAUGUGUCUCUUCCUCCAUUUCCCCAUUCAUACACGGUGGGCGGCAAAACAAACUCUCCUCGUCCGAAAUUGAUGUAGGCUAAUAUUUUAAAUAGGGGCAGAUGUGUAACUAACAUCAGACGUGACACAACCGCCCUACCUGUCAGCCCCAUUCAUACACCGUGGGCGCCAACCGUGGGUGGCAAAACACCCUCUCCUCGCUCGAAAUAGUUACCGGAAAACAUUUGGGAGAUGCGAGAUUACCGUCCUAUCCCCAACCGACGCGAUGUCCGAAAUUUUAAAUGGGGGAUAAGCUCGUAACUUUCCCCCAUUUCAGAGAAGCGCGUCCCAAAGUUUGAGAUCCCCCCUCCCCCCAUUUCCCCAUUCAUACACCGUCGGAGGCACGACAACCUCCACACUGCGACCAACCUCCUCCGUCCACCACCCCAUCCUCCACCUUGCCGGAGCCGCUACCCCUACCCCGUCGUCCACUGCAAGAGAUGGACGUCUCUCAUCCAUGGCGCUGGACCAGGAUCCUUUCAUCGCCUCCUCUCGCUUCAUCAGCGCCGUCGUCCACCUUGCCGUUGGCGCUCCUACGACCGCCUCGUCCACGGCAACAGGAUAUAUCCCCCGACCCGGCUGUCUGCCGUCUAAAGUCUUCUUCCCCGCCACCGACAGCCAUCGCACCCGCAACACCCUCAACGUAUCAGCAUAGGCCUACACAACAUCGCAAGAGAGGUGGUACUCUUCCAUAUGUGCUUAAGUUAUUGAUCUCACCUGCAAAAUAGAUCGUAAUUUGUUUACUGUACUUUCCUUGUCCGUAUCAAAUCGUAGUGGCUAGUUGAAAGCAAACAUUGGUUGCGAAGUAGCUUUGCCCGGUUUGCACCUUUAGAUCCGCCAUAGCACGGGCACUAUACUCGUAAAGCUUAUGGUUUCCCCCCUUUAUAUUCACUACCAUCAUCGUAGGUGAUUCGUGUCGUGCUAGCACGGCUCCUCAAGACCUCAACCCAAAGCUUACGUGUUGAAAUACGAAUCUGAUAUGAUGCUCAUAUCACUAAAACAGAGAACGUUUAAUUGGUCACCUAAUGUUCCUAUAUUCGUUUCGAAAAGCAUGUGCGCCACCCACUGGUCCAGCUAGUUCCACUUUCCUGAUUUUCUCUUGAUGCUUAGGGUUUUCCCCUUUUAUCUACUAUACUAUGAUCUGCGUAGGUGCUUUCUGUCAUACUAGCAUUACUCCACCCUUCAAGCUAAACAACACGCACUCAGAAUUCGAAAGCUUAGUUGUUCAAAUAUGAUUGUGAUAUGAUACUGAUAUUAGUUAACCAACACAUUUAAUUGGUUAGCUAAAGGUCCCACUUGAGUUUCCAAAUGCAUGUCACGACAUAUAGAGAGACAACAUAAUUGCAUUUCUGUCACUUGUUGACCGUACUUUCUUGUCCAUACCAAAUCUUAGUUGUUAUUUCAAAGCAAACAUUGGUUGCUAACUACCCUUUGCGCGGUUUGCAGCUUCAGAUCUGCCAUCCCACUGCCACGGUCAACACUGUACUCAUCAUGCUUAUGUUUUCCCCAUUUUAUGAUGACCACAAUCAGCCUACGUGGUUCGUGUCGUAAUAGCACUGCUCCACCCAUCGAGCUAAACAAGCUUAGUUGUACAAAUUCAUAUAUGAUAUUAUUGCUGAUAUUAGUAAAACUGAGAGAUGUUUAAUUGGUUAGAUAAAUGUUCCUACUUUAGUUUCUAAAUGCAUGUGAGCCACAUAUGGAGAGACCGGAAAGAAUAGUAUUUCUCUGUGCGCUCUGGUUCAUCAUGGGUGGCCAACCGACAUUGUAUUGAAAGACUUGUAAUAUCUUCAAUCUGCUUGCUCUUCUACUCUUCUUUAAGAUGAUACUCUUCUCUUGCGGUCUACUGGUCAGGUCGAGUUGUUCUCCCUUAGUAUAUUUUGAAUCUUUCAGGUCAGGUCGACUUGUUCUUCUUUACUAUAUGUUGAAGCUGUCAUCUGCGAAGUGUCAUCAUUUCUGGAGCUCUGAUAUUUUGAGUAGUAGGCCACAUUAUAUUAAUGCACACAACAAAUUACAGCAUGCAUGUCAUCUUUUAAAAGAAUUGCAGAGAUAGCAGAAAGGGGUUUACAGGGAGGCAGUAUUGGAUUAGAAUCACUUCUGCAUUACAAAGAAAACCUCACUUGUUUUUAUGUUUUCAUGCAUGUCAGAUAUUGAACAUUAUCAAAAUGAAUAUGAGAAUGGGCGCAUGAGAGGAAUAUUGCGGAACAAUCCAUUGGCUAACAAACUUGGCAUGGUGGAGGAUGGCCUAUCUUAUUCACCCAUCAAGGUGCUUGCUCUAACUUUGCAAAGUUGUAUUGGUCGCACAUAUUUUGCAUCUGACCUCUUGCAUUACUUCCACUUUGUUACACCAUCUGCUUAGUUUAAGCAUCAUAUAUGAGUAUAUGCCAUACCUAUCCAUUUUCUGUACCUUUUCCAUGUGUCGUCACGCUAUGUUUUUCCAGUCAAAUCUUGUUCUUUCGUAAUAGAUGUCCAAAAGGAAGAGGGUGAGUGUAGAUCCUCAAGGAGUACAAACUAGGUAUUUGGAGAAGGUAGUGAUACCUGGUAAAUCAGAUAGAUCAGCAGCCACAGAAAACACAGGCCCAACUGUACCACACUUUACCCCUACUCCAGUGGCCAAACCCCUAUUAGAACUGCUGGGAGCCCAGCGUCAGGUACUGUCUAUGAUAUCAAUUCAAAAUUUGUACUCUUAAAUUUUUGCUUGUGCCUUACCUUCUCUCUUGUAUGAAAACUAAUUUCAGAUGAAUCUCCUUGCUCAAAGGAUCAUACAAUCUCAAAACAAUAAUGGGCUCUGCAUUGCUCUUGUGAGUACCUCUCUCCCUUUUGCCUUGUAAUGUUGUACUUAAUUAAUUGCUAUUUGAUUACGUAUCAUCAGUCUGCACCUGAGCCUCAUUAUCCUCUGUUUCUUCCAAUAUUAUUUGAUCUAUAUUUACUCUUUGCAAAAUGUAGAAUAAUGGCAACGCUUAUAAAGAAUUUUCUUUGGGGAAUUUAUUGAAUUAUCCUUCCACCAACAUGGAGAAGGGCUUUGUCCAGCCCGUGUUAACAUGUAAUGUAAGUUCAUCCUUCUCAGGCCUUCAAACUUUGUUCUAGUAUAUAUUUGGAUAGGCAUCAUUUCCUCCACUGCUGUUUGCUUUGUUGUUUACAUCUGGUUGGAUGUUUGCAACAACUACCAGUUUCAAAUUGUAGUUGUAAAAACAUGUUCCUUAUGCAGAACAGAUCCAUUUAUUUGCUUAUAUAAUUGUGAAACCUGUUACGUGUCUCCUUGUUUCUCUUUUAGAUUCGUAUCUCUUACGCCAGGCAGAAAUUUAGGGAAGAUAGUGAGCCAAACCAUCUUGAGGACAGCGAGAUGACCCCAAGGUCCUGUCUUGAUGAAGACAGUGAGUUGAAGCUACUCACCAGCAGGUGUGAGACAACCUCUGUGCAGUUGCUGCCUCAAUCAGUUCGACUUUUUCAGUCUCAACUUAAAGCGGAAAGGCUUGCUUCAACUCAGCUCCGACUUGAAGUCAAAGAUGCAAUGAAGAUGUCAGAGGACUGCCAUGCACACCAUCAUGCCUUAAAUCUAGUGUUGAUGCAUCUAUCGUUGACACAACUGAGGUCUACUCAGCUUCUUCAGCUGUUUGGGGGGGCCGACCUGGCCAGGCCUAGUGCCUUCUGAAGUGCUCUCAGUUUUGUAUAUUCUUUUGUCGGCGCAUUUAUUUGCACUGGUGGUGAAUUUUGAUGCCCAGUGGAUGUAAUAUGUGUGAUAGCCGUGAUAGCCUAGCAUAAGUUGCUUGCUUAUUUAUUUCCUUGUUGUCUUGUUUAUUUGUUUGCUUGUAGUCAUAGCAGUUCUUUUUCUGCGGUUUGCUAGUGGCUGCAAUAACAGUGGGCCUUCUACAGGCCAUAGAAACAGUGGGCCUUCUACGGGGCAUAGAAAUAAUGGGCCUUCUAUGGGCCAUAGAAACAAUGGGCCUUCUACGGGUCGUAUCAUCAAUGGGCCUUCUACGGGCCGUAUGAUCGGUUGGCCAAACAUGGGCCAAUAACAGGCCGCAAUAUGUUCGUAAACGGGCUAGAGUUGGAAUCAUCCGUUCAUGGGCCGACCAUAACGGGCCAUCGUUAAUAGGCCGUAUUUGAUGACGAUAUGAAAACGGCCCAACAUAUUAACGGACCACAAACGGGCCGAUUGUAACCACGGGCUGAAUUUGGCCCACAAGCAGAAAUUGAUAGUAACGGGCCGUAAGUAAACGAAUGCUGGAAAUGAGCCCAAGAAUAAAUGGGCUCUAAGAAGGCCGAAAGAUAACAUGGACUAGAAACGACCCAAUGGAAUAAUGGGCCGUUAAUGGGUAUAAAGUGAUACAUUGUUCAUUACGGGCCAGUUUCACCAUGGGCCGUUAAUGGGUGUAAAGUGAUACACUAUUCAUUACGGGCCAGUUUCACCACGGGCCGUUAAUAGGUCAAGAGUUACAUAGGGCCUCAUAUGGGCCGAAAGACGUCAUGGGCCAUACAUGGGCCAUAAGUGAAAACGGGCUGGAAUCAUAUUGGAUGGCCCAGAUGACGCUACUGGGCCUAAUUCGAAUAGGGCGUAACGGGCCUUGGGUUAGCGGGCUGUAAAUGGGCUAUAUGCGAACAUGCCGUUAACAGGCUUUACAUGGGCUGGCCCGCCAUCUUUUGACCAAGUCAAAUGGGCCGGCCUUUUCAUAGGAAUGGGCCUCUGUUGGGCCGUGCCACUUGUCGAUGUAUCAUAGGCGCCUUUUGUCCAAUGAGUGGAUGACAUCUGUCCCGAUGAUGAGCCGACACGUGUUUCCUCCAGCCAAUGAUGAUUUUACAUGUGGAAAAUCCCCAUUGGUCGGGGCUAUUAACGGGUUAUCGGAUCCAAAACCCAACCCGAUAGCUUAACAGUGUUCCAUUACGGUGGAUGCCACGUGUCGGUCACCCUUGACGAAAGCACUUCUGUGACGCGUGAUUUAUCGUCAUGGAAGUGGACACUUCCGUGAUGAUAAUUUUGGUAAUGUCAUGGAACACUUCUACGACAGCACAGGUAUGACUAUCUUGAUUCUGUCAUAAAUUUGUCAUGGAUGUACAUGCAUGACAAAGAACCCGACCUACUGUGACAAACACGUAUCAUCACGGAAGUGUAUUUUUUUGUAGUGUCUCCCUCUUCCUUCUUCUCCUACUCCAACUAGGGAAGGGGGAGACCUACUCCUACUGGGAGUAGGACUCCCCCCCUUGGGGGCGCCAUAGAGGGCCGGCCCUCCCCCUCCUCCACUCCUUUAUAUACGGGGGAGGGGGCACCCCAAAGGACACACAAGUUGACAAUUGUUUUAGCCAUGUGCGGUGCCCCCUCCAUAGAUUUCCACCUCGGUCAUAUCGUCGUAGUGCUUAGGCGAAGCCCUGCGCCGGUAACUUCACCAUCACCGUCACCACGUCGUCGUGCUAACGAAACUAUCCCUCGACCUCAGCUGGAUCUAGAGUUCAUGGGACGUCAUCAAGCUGAACGUGUGCAGAUCACGGAGGUGCCGUACCUUCAGUGGUAGGAUCGGUCGGAUCAUGAAGACGUACGACUACAUCAACCGCGUUGUCAUAACGCUUCCGCUUUCGAUCUACGAGAGUACGUAGACAACACUCUUCCCUCUCAUUGCUAUGCAUCACCUAGAGAUAGAUCUUGCGUGAUCAUAGGAUUUUUUUUGAAAUUACCGUGUUCCCCAAUAGUGGCAUCCGAGCCAGGUCUAUGCGUAGAUGUUAUAUUUACGAGUAGAACACAAAGAAUUGUGGGCGAUAAUAGUCAUACUGCUUACUAGCAUGUCAUACUUUGAUUCGGCGGUAUUGUUGGAUGAACCGGCUCAGACCGACAUUACGCGUACGCUUACGUGAGACUGGUUCUACCGACGUGCUUUGCACAUAGGUGGUUGGUGAGUGUCUGUUUCUCCAACUUUAGUUGAAUCGAGUGUGGCUACGCCUGGUCCUUGUUGAAGGUUAAGACGACACACUUGACGAAAAAUCAUUGUGGUUUUGAUGCGUAGGUAAGAACCGUUCUUGCUAGAAUCCCGUAGCAGCCACGUAAAACUUGCAACAACAAAGUAGAGGACGCCUAACUUGUUUUUGCAGGGCUUGCUGUGAUGUGAUAUGGUCAAGGCAUGAUGUGAUAUAAAUUGGUGUAUGAGAUGAUCAUGUUUUGUAACAAAGUUAUCGGCAACUGGCAGGAAUCAUAUGGUUGUUGCUUUAUUGUAUGCAAUGCAAUCGCCAUGUAAUUGUUUUACUUUAUCACUAAGCGGUAGCGAUAGUCGUAGUAACAAUAGUUGCCGAGACGACAACGGUGCUACGAUGGAGAUCAAGGUGUCGCGUGAUACGUCUCCAAUGUAUCUAUAAUUUUUGAUUGUUCCAUGCUAUUAUAUUACCCAUUUUGGAUGUUUAUGGGCUUUACUAUACACUUUUAUAUCAUUUUUGGGACUAACCUACUAAUCGGAGGCCCAACCCGAAUUGCUGUUUUUUUGCCUAUUUCAGUGUUUCGCAGAAAAGGAAUAUCAAAUGGAGUCCAAACGGAAUGAAACCUUCGGGAGUGAUCUUUUUGGAACAAACGCAAUCCAGGAGACUUGGAGUGGACGUCAAGUAGCAAACGAGGCGGCCACGAGGGUGCCCGGCGCACCCUAGAGGGGUGGGCACGCCCCCAACCCUCGUGGGCCCUUCAUGGCUCAACCGACCUACUUCUUCCUCCUAUAUAUAUCCACAUACCCUGAAACCAUCCGGGAGCACCACGAAAAACUAUUUCCACCGCCGCAACCUUCUGUAUCCGCGAGAUCCCAUCUUGGAGCCUUCGCCGGCGCUCCGCUGGAGGGGAAAUCGACCAUAGAGGGCCUCUCCAUCAUCACCAAGGCCUCUCCAAUGAGUUGCGAGUAGUUUACCACACACCUUCUCCAUAGUUAUUAGCUAGAUGGCUUCUUCUCUCUCUUUGAAUCUCAAUACAAAGUUCUCCUCGAUCUUCUUGGAGAUCUAUCUGAUGUAACUCUUUUUGCGGUGUGUUUGUCGAGAUCCGAUGAAUUGUGUGUUUAUGAUCAAGUUUAUCUAUGAGAAAUAUUUGAAUCUCCUCUGAAUUCUUUUAUGUAUGAUUGGUUAUCUUUGCAAGUCUCUUUGAAUUAUCAGUUUGGUUUACCUACUAGAUUGAUCUUUCUUGCAAUGGGAGAAGUGCUUAGCUUUGGGUUCAACCUUGCGGUGUCCUUUCCUAAUGACAACAGGGGCAGCAAGGCACGUAUUGUAUUGUUGCCAUCGAGGAUAAAAAGAUGGGGUUUAUAUUACAUUGCUUGAGUUUAUCCCUCUACAUCAUGUCAUCUUUCUUAAUGCAUUACUCUAUUCUUAUGAACUUAAUACUCUAGAUGCAGGCAGGAGUCGGUCGAUGUGUGGAGUAAUAGUAGUAGAUGCAGGCAGGAGUCGGUCUACUUGUUGCGGACGUGAUGCAUAUAUACAUGGUCAUGCCUAGAUAUUCUCAUAACUAAGCACUUUUCUAUCAAUUGCUCGACAGUAAUUUGUUCACCCACCGUAAUACUUAUGCUAUCUUGAGAGAAGCCACUAGUGAAACCUAUGGCCCCCGGAUCUAUUCUCUAUCAUAUAAGUUUCGAAUCUACUUUAUUUUGCAAUCUUUACUUUUCAAUCUAUAUCAUAAAAAUACCAAAAAUAUUUAUCUUAUCAUAUUAUCUCUAUCAGAUCUCACUUUUGCAAAUGGCCGUGAAUGGAUUGACAACCCCUUUAUCGCGUUGGUUGCGAGGUUCUUGUUUGUUUGUGUAGGUACGAGGGACUUGCAUGGAGUCUCCUACUGGAUUGAUACCUUGGUUCUCAAAAACUGAGGGAAAUACUUAUGCUACUUUGCUGCAUCACCCUUUCCUCUUCAAGGGAAAAACCAACGCAUGCUCAAGAGGUAGCAAGAAGGAUUUAUGGCGCCAUUGCCGGGGAGAUCUUCGCUCAAGUCAAGAGAUACCAAGUACCCAUCACAAACUCAUCUCCCUCGCAUUACAAUUUUUGUCAUUUGCCUCUCGUUUUCCUCUCCCCACUUCACCCUUACCGGUUUAUUCGCCCUCUCUUUUCCAUUAGCCUCUUUUUCGCUUGCCUCUUGUGUGCUUGUGUGUUGGAUUGCUUGUCACGGUGGCUCAAGAUAAUACUAAAUUGUGUGAUUUUUCUAAUACCAAUAAUAAUGAUUUCCUUAGCACUCUGAUUGCUCCUCUUAAUGAUGUUGAAUCUUGUGAAAUCAAUGCUGCCUUGUUGAAUCUUGUUAUGAAAGAUCAAUUCUCUGGCCUUCCUAGUGAAGAUGCCGCUACUCAUCUAAACAAUUUUGUCUAGUUGUGCGAUAUGCAAAAGAAGAAAGACAUGGAUAAUGAUAUUGUUAAAUUGAAGUUAUUUCCAUUUUUGCUUAGAGAUCAUGCUAAAACUUGGUUUUCUUCUUUGCCUAAAAAUAGUAUUGACUCAUGGAAUAAGUGUAAAGAUGCUUUUCUCUCUAAGUAUUUUCCUCCCGCUAAAAUCAUCUCUCUUAGAAACGAUAUUAUGAAUUUUAAGCAACCUGAGCAUGAGCAUGUUGCACAAUCUUGGGAGAGGAUGAAAUUAAUUAUUCGUAAUUGCCCUACACAUGGUUUGAAUUUAUGGAUGAUUAUACAAAAAAUUUAUGCCGGAUUGAAUUUUGCUUCUAGAAAUCUUUUAGAUUCGACCGCGGGAGGCACUUUUAUGGAAAUCACUUUAGGAGAAUCUACUAAAAUCCUAGAUAAUAUUAUGGUUAAUUAUUCUCAAUGGCAUACCGAAAGAUCUACUAGUAAAAAGUGCAUGCGAUAGAAGAGAUUAAUGUUUUGGGUGGAAAGAUGGAUGAACUUAUGAAGUUUUUUGCUACUAAGAGUGCUCCCAUUGAUCCUAAUGAUAUGCCUUUGUCUACUUUGAUUGAGAAUACUAAUGAAUCUAUGGAUGUGAAUUUUGUUGGUAGGAAUAAAUUUGGUAACAAUGCUUAUAGAGGAAGCUUUAAUCCUAGGCCAUUUCCUAGUAAUUCCUCUAAUAAUUAUGGUAAUUCCUACAACAAUUCUUAUGGAAAUUUUAAUAAGAUGCCCUCUAAUUUUGAGAAUAGUGUUAAAGAAUUUAUGAUCUCUCAAAAGAAUUUUAAUGCUUUGCUUGAAGAAAAAUUGCUUAAAGUUGAUGAAUUGGCUAGGAACAUGGAUAGAAUUUUUCUUGAUGUUGAUUCUUUGAAACUUAGAUCUAUUCCACUUAAGCAUGAUAUCAAUGAGUCUCUCAAAGCCAUGAGAAUUUCCAUUGAUGAGUGCAAAGAAAGAACCGCUAGAAUGCGUGCUAAGAAAGAUUGCUUUGUAAGAGUGUGUUCUUCUAAUUUUCAUGAUAAUAACGAUGAAGAUCUAAAAGUUAUUGAUGUGUCUCCUAUUAAAUCCUUGUUUUGCAAUAUGAACCUUAAUAAUGAUGGGAUUGGAGAUGAGUCAACUUUAGUUAAAAAGCGUCCCAAUGAUUUGGAGUCUUUUGAUCUUGAUGCUAAAAUUGGUAAAAGUGGGAUUGGAGAGAUUAAAACUUUACAUAGCAAUGAACCUACUACUUUGGAUUUCAAGGAAUUUAAUUAUUAUAAUUGUUCUUUAAUAGAUUGUAUUUCCUUGUUGCAAUCCGUGUUGAAUUCUCCUCAUGCUUAUAGUCAAAAUAAAGCUUUUACUAAACAUAUCGUUGAUGCUUUAAUGAAAUCUUAUGAGGGAAAACUUGAAUUAGAGGUUUCUAUCCCUAGAAUACUUUAUGAUGAGUGGGAACCUACUACUAAAAUUAAAAUAAAAUAUCAUGAAUGCUAUGCUUUGUGUGAUUUGGGUGCUAGUGUUUCUACGAUUCCAAAAAUUUAUGUGAUGUGCUAGGUUUCCGUAAAUUUGAUGAUUGCUCAUUCAACUUGCACCUUGCGGAUUCCACUAUUAAGAAACCUAUGGGAAGGAUUAAUUAUGUUCUUAUUGUUGCAAAUAGGAAUUAUGUGCCCGUGGAUUUUAUCGUUCUUGAUAUAGAUUGCAAUCUUUCUUGUCCUAUUAUUCUUGGUAGACCUUUCCUUAGAAUGAUUGGUGCAAUUAUUGAUAUGAAGGAAGGAGAUAUUAGAUUCCAAUUUCCAUUAAGGAAAGGCAUGGAACACUUUCCUAGAAAGAAAAUUAAAUUACCUUAUGAAUCUAUUGUGAGAGCCACUUAUGAAUUGAAUGCCAAAAUGGCAACACUUAGAUCUAUCUUUGCUUUUAUGCCUAGCUAAGGGCGUUAAACGAUAGCGCUUGUUGGGAGGCAACCCAAUUUUAUUUUUGUUCCUUGCUUUUUGCUCCUGUUUAGUAAUAAAUAAUUCAUAUAACCUCUGGUUAGAUGUGGUUUUAUGUUUUAAUUAGUGUUUGUGCCAAGUAAAACCUAUAGGAUCAUCUUGGGUGAAAGUUAAUUUGAUUCUGCUGAAAAACAGAAAGUUUUGCGCUCACGAGAAAAAAUCUAAUAAAUCACGGAAACACGAUUUUGAGUUGAUUAUUUUUUCAAUAGAUCAAUAUACAAAUUACCUAGGACUUCCUAUUUUGGUAGGAUUUUUAGGGUUCCAGAAGUAUUCGAAAGUUACAGAUUGCUAUAGACUGUUCUGUUUUUGACAUAUUCUGUUUUUCGUGUGUUGUUUGCUUAUUUUGAUGCAUCUAUGGUUAGUAUCAGGAGGUAUGAAGCAUAGAGAAGUUGGAAUACAGUAGGUUUAACACCAAUAUAAAUAAAUAAUGAGUUCAUUACAGUACCUUAAGUGGUGGUUUUUCUUUCUUGCACUAACGGAGCUCAUGAGAUCUCAUGUUGAGUUUUGUGUUGUGAAGUUUUCAAGUUUUGGGUAAAGAUUUGAUGGACUAUGGAAUAAGAAGUGGCAAGAACCUAAUCUUGGGGAUGCCCAUGGCACCCCAAGAUAAUUCAAGUACAACAAAAAGCCUAACCUUGGGGAUGCCCCGAAGGCAUCCCCUCUUUCGUCUUCGUCUAUCGAUAACUUUACUUGGAGCUAUAUUUUUAUUUACCGCAUGAUAUGUGUUCUGCUGGGAGCGUAUUGUAUGAUAUGAGUCUUUGCCUUUUAGUUUACGACAAUCAUACUUGCUGUACACACCUUUUGGGAGAGACACACAUGAUUCGGAAUUUAUUAGAAUACUCUAUGUGCUUCACUUAUAUCUUUUGAGCUAGACAGUUUUGCUCUAGUGCUUCACUUAUACCUUUUUAGAGCACGGCGGUGGUUUUAUUUUGUAGAAACUAUUGAUCUCUCAUGAUUCACUUGUAUUAUUUUGAGAGUCUUUUAAGAACAGCAUGGUAUUUGCUAUGGCUAAAAAUUGGUCCUAAUGUGACGAGCAUCCAAGUUGGGAAUAAUAAAAACUAUCAUAGGAAGUGAAUUGGAUGCUAUGAUCAAUUUAAUGCUUGAUAAUUGUUUUGAGAUAUAAAGGUGGUAAUAUUAGAGUCAUGCUGGUUGGGUAAUUAUGAAAUUGAGGAAUACUUGUGUUGAAGUUGGCAAAUCCCGUAGCAUGCAUGUAUGGUAAAAGUUGUGUAACAAAUUUAUUGCAUGGGGUGCUCUUUUGAUUGCCUUCCUUAUGUGUGGAGGUCGGGGGUGCGCGGUGGUUAACUCCUACCAACCUCCCCCCCUAGGAUCAUGCGUAGUAGUACUUUGCUUCGAGGGCUAAGAAAACUUUUGCAAUAAGUAUAUGAGUUCUUUAUGACUAAUGUGAGUCCAUGGAUUAUACGCACUCUUACCCUUCCAUCAUUGCUAGCCUCUUCAAUACCGUGCAUUGCCCUUUCUCACCUUGAGAUUUGGUGCAAACUUCACUGGUGCAUCCAAACCCUGUGAUAUGAUACGCUCUAUCACACAUAAACCUCUUUAUAUCUUCCUCAAAACAGCCACCAUACCUACCUAUUAUGGCAUUUCCAUAGCCAUUCCGAGAUAUAUUGCCAUGCAACUUUCCACCGUUCCAUUUAUCAUGACACGUAUCAUCAUUGUCAUAUUGCCUUGCAUGAUCAUGUAGUUGACAUCGUAUUUGUGGCAAAACCACCGUGCAUAAUUUUUCAUACAUGUCACUCUUGAGUCAUUGCCCAUCCCGGUACACCGCCGAAGGCAUUCAUAUAGAGUCAUAUCUUGUUCUAGUUUCGAGUUGUAAUUCAUGUGUUGUAAAUAAAUAGAAGUGUGAUGAUCAUCAUUAUUAGAGCAUUGUCCCUUACAAAAAAGAAAAAAAAGAAGGGCCAAAAAAGGAAAAAAAAGGGGGACAAUGUUACUAUCCUUUUCCACACUGGUGCUUCAAAGUAGCACCAUGUUCUUCAUAUAGAGAGUCUCUUAUGUUGUCACUUUCAUAUACUAGUGGGAAUUUUUCAUUAUAGAACUUUUGGCUUGUAUAUUCCAACGAUGGGCUUCCUCAAAAUGCCCUAGGUCUUCAUGAGCAAGCAAGUUGGAUGCACACCCACUUAGUUUCUUUUGUUGAGCUUUCAUACAUUUAUAGCUCUAGUGCAUCUGUUGCAUGGCAAUCUCUACUCCUCAUGUUGACAUCAAUUGAUGGACAUCUCCAUAGCCCAUUGAUUAGCCUCGUCAAUGUGAGACUUUCUCUUUUUUGUCUUCUCCACACAACCUCCAUCAUCAUAUUCCAUUCCACCCAUAGUGCUAUAUCCAUGGCUCACGCUCAUGUAUUGCGUGAGAGUUGAAAAAGGCUGAAGCGCGUUAAAAAGUAUGAACCAAUUGCUUGGCUGAAAUCGGGGUUGUUCUUGAUGGGAGUAUUUUGUGUGAUGAAAAUGAAACAUAGCCUAACGAUAUGAUUUUGUAGGGAUGAACUUUCUUUAGCCAUGUUAUUUCGAGAAGACAUGAUUGCUUAGUUAGUAUGCUUGAAGUAUUACUAUUUCUUAUGUCAAUACGAACUGUUAUUUUGAAUCAUUUGGAUCUGAACAUUCAUGCCACAAUUAAGAAAAUUACAUUAAGAAAUGUGCUAGGUAGCAUUCCACAUCAAAAAUUCUGUUUUGAUCAUUUACCUACUCAAGGAGGAGUAGGAAUUAAGCUUGGGGAUGCUUGAUACGUCUCCAACGUAUCUAUAAUUUUUGAUUGUUCCAUGCUAUUAUAUUACCUAUUUUGGAUGUUUAUGAUACACUUUUAUAUCAUUUUUGGGACUAACCUACUAACCGGAGGCCCAGCCCGAAUUGCUGUUUUUUUGCCUAUUUCAGUGUUUCGUAGAAAAGGAAUAUCAAUCGGAGUCCAAACAGAAUGAAACUUUCGGGAGUGAUCUUUUUGGAACAAACACAAUCCAGGAGACUUGGAGUGGACGUCAAGCAGCAAACGAGGCAGACACGAGGGUGCCCGGUGCGCCUUAGGGGGGUGGGCGUGCCCCCACCCUCGUGGGCCCCUCGUGGCUCAGCCGACCUACUUCUUCCUCCUAUAUAUAUCCACGUACCCUGAAACCAUCCGGGAGCACCACGAAAAACUAUUUCCACCACCACAACCUUCUAUAUCCGCGAGAUCCCAUCUUGGAGCUUUCGACGGUGUUCCGUCGGAGGGGGAAUCAACCACAGAGGGCCUCUCCAUCAUCACCAAGGCCUCUCCGAUGAGUUGUGAGUAGUUUACCAUAGACCUUCGGGUCCAUAGUUAUUAGCUAGAUGGCUUCUUCUCUCUAUUUGAAUCUCAAUACAAAUUUCUCCUCGACCUUCUUAGAGAUCUAUUCGAUGUAACUCUUUUUGCGGUGUAUUUGUCGAGAUCCGAUAAAUUGUGGGUUUACUAUCAAGUUUAUCUAUGAGAAAUAUUUGAAUCUCCUCUGAAUUCUUUUAUGCAUGAUUGGUUAUCUUUGCAAGUCUCUUCGAAUUAUCAGUUUGGUUUACCUACUAGAUUGAUCUUUCUUGCAACGGGAGAAGUGCUUAGCUUUGGGUUCAAUCUUGCGGUGUCUGAGGGAGUCCCGGAUUAGGGGGUGUCUGGAUUGUCGGACUAUGACCUUUGGCUAGACUCCUGGACUAUGAAGAUACAAGAUUGAAGACUUCGUCCCGUGUCCGGAUGGGACUUUCCUUGGCGUGGAAGGCAAGCUUGGCGAUACGGAUAUGUAGAUAUCCUCCCAUUGUAACCGACUCUGUGUAACCCUAGCCCUCUCCGGUGUCUAUAUAAACCGGAGGGUUUUAGUCCGUGGGACGAACAACAAUCAUACCAUAGGCUAGCUUCUAGGGUUUAGCCUCUCUGAUCUCGUAGUAGAUCUACUCUUGUACUACCCAUAUCAUCAAUAUUAAUCAAGCAGGAGUAGGGUUUUACCUCCACCGAGCGGGCCCGAACCUGGGUAAAAACAUCAUGUCCCUUGUCUCCUGUUACCAUCCGCCUAGACGCAUAGUUCGGGACCCCCUACCCGAGAUCCGCCGGUUUUGACAUCGACAUUGGUGCUUUCAUUGAGAGUUCUGUUGUGCCGUCUCCAUCAGGAAGGAUGCCUCAUCCCGUCUUUAAAGACGGCGCUGUCGCUAAAGGAGCUUUGGCUAUCGGCCAAACUCUCCGGCUAGGCGGUUUUCUUAUGACCGCCUGUUCGGCCGCCGCGCCGACAUGACUUCUCGGGUCAUCGAAAGCAAUCUCCACGUCAACUCGGAACUCGCCGAGCAGUUAGAUCCGAUGGAGCUCUUUUCCUUAAACGAGCUCUUGGAUCGCAUCGCCGCCCUGGGAGUCGCUACAGACUACGAUCAGAUUGGGCUUAAACCCGAUCUAAGAGAGAUUAACUCUCCCCAGGUCACCCACCAUGUCGCAGUGGUGGAGGAACAACGCGUCAAGUCUUCAUCUAUCUUAAGGACUAGUUAUGUCCGGAUUCCCGACCCCUCCAAGCCGGAUACCCGCGGAGGGGAGGACGUCACUCAAGCCCUGAACCUAAAGUCAGGCAGCGGGCUAGAUUCAUUGGACAACAUCCAAGAACCCAAGCUUCCGAGUUCGGAAACUCCUUGGCCCCUGAGUCUCAGAUUGGGCGAGGUUCCGGAUUUAAUUCCACCCGCCCACCCAAAUAUAAGGGAUCUAUCCCAAAUUCGGCAAGCGCCCGCAGAAAUAGUACACCAUUACUGGGCCAGAUUCCUCCUGGUUAUGAACAUGAUAAAGGACUUCCGCGAGGAGGAUGCAAUUUCAUUCUUCUGCAAUAAUUGCACGGACAACGGAAUCCUCAACGCCGUAAGUCGCCGUGAAAUUACACGCUUCGCCGACUUGGCAUCCAUAGUAUGAAAGUACUGUGCGAUGGAAAGCGCCUGGAAAACCGAAAUAAAAUUUUGGGACAAUCCGGCCCUGAAUACAACCCCAGUCCGAAAUAAAAGGGUGCAUUAUCACCAGGCACCUGGGUUAAACACCAAAAAGCAAAAACCCUCUAUAGGGCAUGGAACCGUACUGGAGGGAUGGCUCAAUGGACCUUGUAAAAUUCAUAGUACAUAGGGCACCACACAAACUCAUAGCCUUAGAGCAUGUUGGAUACUCCGGCAGGUGGCCAGGAGUGGCGAGGAGCUUCUAACUCCAAAAUUCACAGAGCACCGGCCCAGGGAUACCAGUACAGUAUUAACAGUCUUUGAGACUUUCGCAUCAAAUAAUAUGCGGAAACGAACACUCCGCAACCUUGCCGAAGUCUACCAAGUAGCAAUAAUAAACCCAUGGAGUGACACAGAUAUUACCUUUAAUGCCAGUGAUGAACCUAAAUUCCGAACAGCCCGAGCACCACGCAUUGGUCCUCAGUCCAAUAGUGGACGGCUUUCGCCUUACCAAGGUACUCAUGGACGGUGGCAGCGGAUUGAACCUCAUUUAUGAGGAAACCCUUCAAAAAAUGGAAAUAGACUGGAGCCGCAUUGAGCGAAGCAACACAACCUUUAGAGGAAUAAUCCCCGGUCGGGAAGCGUGCUGUACAGGAAAAAAUCACACUGGAUGUGGUGUUCGGCAUGCCGGAUAAUUACCGGUCCGAGGAGGUCACGUUUCAAGUGGCCCCGUUCAGCAGCGGGUACCACGCUCUAUUAGGGCGAGAGGUUCACAAUUUUUCAAGCUAUACCCCAUUACGGGUACAUGAAACUCAAAAUGCCCGGACCCAACGGAAUCAUCACUCUUGCUAGCGACCCGGACAUAGCACUCCACGUCAAAAAUAAGACAGCCGCACUGGCCCUUGAGGCACUAUCCGAAGCCCUGGCGGCCGAGGAACUGACUGCGCUGCGCUCCAUGGUGAACAGGGAUGAUGUGAUACUCGAUAAGAGAUCCAAGUCCACCUUCUUUAAACCGGCGGACGAAAUAGUAAAAUUCCAAGUCCAUCCAAUGGACCCUACAAAAACGGCCUCCAUCGGGGCACACUUAAACCCUGAUGUAGACACCGCACUACGAGAAUUCCUACGCGAAAAUUGGGACAUUUUUGCAGGCUCUUCGGCGUUUCUCCGAACCUAAGAGACAAGCCAUGGGAGAGGAGCUAGACAAACUACUGGAGGCCAGAUUCAUCAGAGAUAUAAAACAUCCGGACUAGCUAGCAAACCUGGUGAUGGUACCAAAGAAGGACAAAUCCUGGCGCCUCUGCGUCGAUUUCAAGGACCUCAACAAGACUUGCCCAAAGGAUCCCUUCACCCUCCCCCGCAUCGAUCAAAUUAUCAACGCUACCGCAGGACAGAUUCAUUGUUUCCUCGACGCAUACUCCGGCUACCAUCAAAUUAAGAUGGCAGAGCCAGACCAAGCCGCAACGGCAUUCAUCACCCCAUACGGCCCAUUCUACUUCAACAAAAUGCCCUUCGGGCUCAAAAACACCGGCGCAACAUAUCAGCGCAUGAUUCAGACAUGUCUGGCAAACCAGAUCGGCAAAAUAGUAGAAGCGUACAUAGACGACGUGGUCAUCAAAACCAAGCAUGUCGAAACUCUAGUAGAUGACUUGAGGCUCACAUUCGAUAACCUCCGAACAUAUGACAUCAAGCUCAACCCGGAAAAAUACGUUUUCGGCGUACCAGCCAGAAAGCUCUUGGGCUUCAUUGUAUCCGGUAGAGGAAUUGAAGCAAACCCAGCCAAGAUCCGAGCUCUGUCACAAUUGGAUAUUCCAAAGGACCUCAAACAAAUACAAAAAUUGACUGGAUGCGUGGCGGCUCUAAGCCGCUUUAUCUCCCGCUUGGGAGAAAAGGCAUUACCCCUUUAUUGCCUCCUCUGGUGCACCGAACACGACGGAUGCCGCCACGGUCGGACUCGAAGAAAUAAAAGCCACAUUGGAAACAAACCCGGUCCUGGCCGCGCCCAACAUCGGCGAUCCAAUGCUAUUAUACAUUGCGGCAACUUAUCAAGUUGUAAGCGCAGUACUCGUCGUCGAACGAGAAACGGACGGACACAAAUUCCCCCUUCAAAAACCAGUUUACUACGUGUCCACUGUCCUCACUCCAUGCAAUUCACGGUACCCACAUUAUAAGAAGAUAGCGUACGCGGUGUUUAUGGCAUCCUGGAAGCUGCGACUACUUUCAAGAGUGUUUGAUAACAGUAGCCUCCGAAGUACCUCUUAACGAUAUUAUAAACAACCGUGAAGCGACGAGCCGGAUUGCCAAAUGGGCCAUUGAGCUCCUCCCGUUCGACAUAACCUAUAAGCCACGGCGAGCUAUCAAGUCGCAAGGUUUGGCCGACUUCAUCGCCGAAUGGACUGAAGCCGAACUCCCUAAAGAGUACGACACAUAUUCCAACUAGAUCAUGCACUUCGACGGCUCCAAAAUCUUAGCUGGUUUGGGGGCUGGCGUCGUUCUGACGUCCCCAAUAGGAGAUACAGUUCAAUAUGUACUCCAGAUAAUGUAUAUGGACUCCAACAACGCAGCCGAAUACGAGGCCCUUCUACAUGGUCUCCGGAUGGCAGUCUCCAUGGGCAUCCAACGCCUAGAGGUGCGUGGGGAUUUGAACCUCCGAAAAUGGUAGCUUAUCGCAAACAUUUUCUUGGAAAGGCUAUUCAAGCCAUCCGUACUAUGGGAAGGGGAAUCCGGAAAUAACAGCCCAGACCCAACCGCACCGCCCGACACCGAACAUUCUGACACAACGGGAGGCUAUGCCAACGAAGUAACAUCCUUAGCCCAUGUAAUAAUGGCAGUCAUUGCCCCGUGGAUAGAACCAUUCCUAGCGUACCUAACUAGGCAGGAACUUCCCGAGGACCAAAACGAGGCACGCUGCAUAGUGCGACGAUCUAAAGCCUAUAAAGUCCAUGAAGGAAAGCUUUAUAAGAAAAGCACUACCGGAGUCCUUCAAAGGUGUAUCUCCGAAGAGGAAGGGCGGAAUCUUCUGGCUGAAAUUCAUGCUGGGCUCGGCGGGCACCACGCCGUAGCCCGGGCCCUUGUAAGCAAGGCCUUUCGUACAAGAUUUUAUUAGCCGACGGCCCGGGCAGAUGCUCAGGACUUAGUCCAACGAUGCGUCGGUUGCCAACUCUUUGCUAACCAAAGCCAUAUGCCACCCACCGCCCUCGAAACUAUACCCAUCACCUGGCCCUUUGUGGUCUGGGGGCUUGACAUGGUUGGACCCCUUAAAGGAGGAACCCACAAACAAAAAUACCUACUGGUCAUGGUGGACAAAUUCACCAAAUGGAUAGAGGCCAAGCCUGUUAAGAUGGCCAAAUCCGGACCAGUGAUAGACUUCAUAUCAGGGGUCGUACACUGUUACGGUGUCCCCAACAGCAUCAUCACUGAUAAUGGCACGAACUUUACGACCGACGAGGUCAAACUCUGGUGCAAAAACAUGGGCAUCAAGCUCGACUACGCUUCAGUCUAUCACCCACAAACUAACGGUCAAGUCGAGCAAGCAAAUGGUCUAAUAAUGAGUGGCAUCAAACCUAGAUUAGUGCGGUCCCUCAAGGAAUCUAACACGCACUGGGUAGAGGAGCUCGACUCCGUACUCUGGGGGCUGUGGACCACUCUGAAUCGCACAACCGGAUUCACACCAUUCUUUAUGGUAUACGAUACAGAGGCAGUUCUGCCCUGCGACAUAAUUCAUGACUCACCUCACGUGCGCAUGUACGAAGAAAGAGAAGCCGAACUCGAUCGGCAGGACAACUUGGACGCCUUGGAGGAGGAGCGUGACAUGGCAAAAGCCUGUUCAGCAUUCUAUCAACAGCAGGCUCGAAGAUAUCAAAGCAGAGAAGUACGGGCCAAAACUUAUAAUGUUGGUGAGUUAGUUAUAUGCCUGCUGGACAAGAAAAAGGACAAACUCAAGCCCAAAUGGGAAGGUCCCUUCAUUAUUGACCAAGUCCUCACUUGUGGAGCGUACUGUCUGCGAGAUGCAUCGGAUAACCGACUCGAGCCGAGCCCAUGGAACGCAGCCCGUCUCCGAAGAUUCUACGCCUAGCCCCGGACUCUGUGUUCGUCUCCUUCCUCUGUCCAUUUAUUAUACAUUAGUUGUCUUAUAUUUCUCUACUUCUCCCUCCUUUUCUCUUACAGCCUUUAAGGGCUUGUUCGUGCCUUGUUCGCACACAAUUGACGCGCUAUCCGCGCUCAUCAUACCUGGGGGCUUCUUUAACAAAAGCUUGUUUAUACAGGGCCUCAUGCCCAACACAUGUGUCACACUUCCGCAUGUACCUUUUUUCUCACCAUUAUAUGCAUCCAUAUGACUUAAGUUUUGGCCAAGCUGGGUUGCCUGGCUCAUGUGCUUACCCCUACGUUCCCGAUUGUUCGGCUAGGCGGUAAAGGGAGCACCUCUGCGAUUGUUACUGCCGGGUCAGCCGGAUGUGUACCUCAGACUGGGUGAAGUCGAAAGCUAGUGUUCUUAAGGGAAUAUUCGGUCGGUGAACUAAAGAUGAUUUCCAACUCGUUUAUCUAUCCGCCCCCAGAUGCUUUUCUUCUCUUUUCGCAGUCCGGACAUGCACUUUAGGGCAUGCCUCCCCAGGGAAAGGAACCCCUAACGGAACUAUUCUCCCUGGAAGAUGUUUCUUACUAACCAUGUAAUAUAACAUAACUAGUUGGGCACUUGUCUGUUCAAGCACUAAUGACCCCUACGCCUGGUCUCCACGCAUGCCCUAGUUCUUACAUAACCGAGAGGGUAUUCGGACACACUCCGGACUAUCGGGUCCCGAGGUUGAAGCGAGAAGGUCCGCCAUGACAAACGAUCUACAAUCCGGCUAGAAGGCAUUUUAUAUGUCAUUUUAAAUUACAUAGUCAAUUUGACUAGGUAUAUUCCUCUUCAAUACCAUCCAACAGGUUGUCUAGUUUACAGUCCUGUUGGGAAUAUUUGGCGGCCAACUCUACCUGGCUGUACACUAAACUCACAGGGAUCUCCUUCCCAUCGGGCCCCACAGGUCCGACCUCGGCCAUGUGGUUUGGGUCGGACUUCGUGUACCGCGUCUUCACCAUGGCCCAGGCUUCCCUGGCGCCUUGACGGCAGGCCGAUAUCUUCCAUAAUCGGAAGCGCCGCCACGCUCCCUUCAGCUUCUUUGCAAGCUCUCCAAGGCCUUCGGGCAUGGAGACGGAUGGCCACAAGGCCUGGAUGACACCUUGCAUUACCUGCCGAACUCGUUCGUGCAGUUGUAAGAGCUCAGGAAGAAGGUCACCCAUAGAACCGGGCAUUUCCUCGGCACGCCGACCUGUCAGCAUACCUACAGACAUAACUCUGUCAAUCGACUUCCUCGCCGAACUCUUUUUCGAAGUUCGUUCAAGCACUUACUAAAAAUGUCACGUCGAAGCCGCCGAUUCUCCUUCACGGAGUCCGACAGCUGAGCACGAACAUCCUUUAGUUCCUCGCCCAGCUGGGUGUUGGCAUCUUGGAGCUUAUUCUUCUCUUGCCUCACCCUUGUAAGCUAUCUCGCCGGCCUUUAACCGGCGCAAGAGUUGUUGCUUGUCCGGAUCCACUCCGGCGCCAUCUGCAAUGUUAUCGUCAAAUUUGCACACAUGCCGCCCUUCACAACAUACUUAUCUUUCGAAGCAUAUAUUACCAGAGGGGGUCUCCUUGGUCUCCCCCGCUGCGGCUAGUGUGGCCUCAAGUUGGGCUUUGCACUUUUCCAGCUCCUGGGACAGUUGGGUAUUCUUUUCUGUAAGAUCCUGCAUAACAAAUGAUCCUUAAAUCAGUUAUUCUAACUGUUUCAAGUCUUGGGGGCUACUGACAUAUAUAACCAUCAAUUUUUCUCACCCGUAUGUCUUUUACAUACUACUCUGUGGCUCCGGCUAGACCAUUUUGAGCGGCACGGAGGUAUGCAUAUCCCGUAUUAAAGGCAUCCAAUGCCUCCUGGGAUAAACAAGCGUCACGAAGAACUGUCCGGCGACGCCUGUGGUUCAUGGCACUCUCCACCUCGGAAUUGGUGGCAGACAGCCCGUCCGCAUCCUCUGUCGGAGGAGCGCCCGAUGCGCGCCUCGUGUUCGCCUCCGCUUCCGGACCCGGCCUUGGAGCCUGGCCGGUGGAGGCGCGAUUGGCAACCUCUCCGGAUAUAGUCCGGCGAGUGCUCUUUUUCCUGAAGAGAGCACGAGCGUUAGUAUACCUUGAGGGAAUAAAACCUGGGAAUAAAAUCGCGCGCCAUACCACUGCACCGGCGUCUCAAUCCGGACCGCACUUCUUUUCAGCCUGCCAGGCCUUGAUGCCCCUUGUUGGCUAGCCACCGCAGGCUCGGCCCUCCGCCUCAAGGACUUCCCCUGCAAAAACACCAUUGGUAUACGGUGGUCAAAAAUAAGCACGGGUGCAUCAUCUUAAAAGUACGGGGACUUCAGUCUCGGUUACUUGUGAGGCUAGAAGUAGUCCGGGAUAAUCGGUCGUAAUGGCCACUAAGGUGUUGUCCUUGCUCAAUUGAUGAAACACCCCAUCGAUCAGCUCCACAGAUAAGUCCGGGUCCUCUUGGGAGUCUGGAUUGAAGGACCGUUCCGGGUCCUCGGGUUGUGUAGGAGGGCUGUUUAUCUCCUUUACAGCCUAGCGUAGCUCCUGCAUUGAAAUUGCUAGGCUGAAUACUUAACUAUGGGAAUAUGAAACAGAUGGGCGAGUGAAAGUGCCUGCUUACCCAGCUUGGAGGAUUUUACAUAGAAAAUCCGCCCGUGGGUUGGCACGGAGGAAUUCCUCCUCUUCUCCCUUGUACAAAGUGGACAAGAUCUUUAUUAGAGCGGCAGCCGAUUCCGGCCCCUUACGGCCGCACCGGGUGUCGUCGUCCUCCCCGUUGAAAUCCCACAUGGGGUGGCCUCUAUACUGAAGCGGCUGCACCCCCCGCAUAGUGCAUGUGGCCAUGACCUCGAUCAUGGUCAGUCCGGAAUGAGCUAACAACCUUAUCCAGCUCAUCAGGUAAAGGACGUCCUUGUCAUUUUCCUUCUGAGGGCUCCGUGGACGCCAGCUUAGGCGCUUCUUCAAAGGAGCAUUAUUAAACUCAGGGAGGCCGAUCCGAAUAGGGUCCGGCAGGGGGACAUCUUCUAUAUAAAAUCAUUCUGAGGGACAGUCUUCGGACGCCUUCUUUGGGGUUCCGGAUAGAUAUCCGGUCCAGGCGAUGCGCCAUAGUUUGGCUCCGCCCACUUGAUAUAUCGACCCCUCCUGAGAAUGGGGCACAAGGCAGAACAACUUCUUCCACAGCGCGAAAUGGGCCUCGACGCCCAGAAACAGCUCGCAAAGGGCUAUGAAGCCCGCAAUAUGCAAUAUGGAGGCAGGCGUAAGGUUGUGCAACUGGAGGCCGUAGAACUCCAGGAGCCCCCGGAGAAACAGAUGAAUUGGAAAUCCGAGCCCUCUUAUCAAAUAAGAGACAAGGCAUACCCGCUCUCCUUUGGAGGGAUUGGGGACGCUCUCCGCUUGCUCUCCACCAUUAUAGGUGGCAAGCCCGGCUCGAACCGGGACCAUGUAGGCUGGGGGGAGAAACCCCUUGGUUUGGAGCACCACUAGCUCAUUGUGCGGGACGGAGCAUCUCUCCCAAUCUCCAGGCUGAGGGAUGUGGGGGCGAGAGGAGGAGCUGCAUCGACUGGCCAUGAUGGAAUGGAUCUCUGUCGAAUGCACUCCGAUGAAUGCUCGCGGAGGGAAGAUGGUGUGAUUCUGAUCUAAAUCCCCGUCUCUUUUAUAGGCGGCUCAUUUGCACAGCUAGGGGGGUAAAUGAAAAAACACCCUAGCUUUUCGCAUUCUCUUCACACGUGGAAGAUGGCCAUUAUUGGGCGCAGAAGCCAAGGAGCGCAACAUUCAUCAUAAGCUGGACACUAUUCAACAGGUAUAUGGAAUUUGGAGAAGAACCCGCCUUGCAAUGCCGAAGACAAAUCUGCGCGCCGGACUCAUCGUCAUUGAAGCCCUGUUCGGGGGCUACUGAGGGAGUCCCGGAUUAGGGGGUGUCCGGAUUGCCGGACUAUGACCUUUGGCCGGACUCCUGGACUAUGAAGAUACAAGAUUGAAGACUUCGUCCCGUGUCCGGAUGGGACUUUCCUUGGCGUGGAAGGCAAGCUUGGCGAUAUGGAUAUGUAGAUCUCCUCCCAUUGUAACCGACUCUAUGUAACCCUAACCCUCUCCGGUGUCUAUAUAAACCGGAGGGUUUUAGUCCGUGGGAUGAACAACAAUCAUACCAUAGGCUAGCUUCUAGGGUUUAGCCUCUCCGAUCUCGUGGUAGAUCUACUCUUGUACUACCCAUAUCAUCAAUAUUAAUCAAGCAGGAGUAGGGUUUUACCUCCACCGAGAGUGCCCAAACCUGGGUAAAAACAUCGUGUCCCUUGUCUCCUGUUACCAUCCACCUAGACGCACAGUUCGGGACCCCCUACCCGAGAUCCGCCGGUUUUGACACCGACAGUGUCCUUUCCCAGUGACAGCAGGGGCAGCAAGGCACGUAUUGUAUUGUUGCCAUCGAGGAUAAAAAGAUGGGGUUUAUAUCAUAUUGCUUGAGUUUAUCCCUCUACAUCAUGUCAUCUUGCUUAAUGUGUUACUCUGUUCUUAUGAACUUAAUACUCUAGAUGCAGGCAGGAGUCGGUCGAUGUGUGGAGUAACAGUAGUAGAUGCAACAGGAGUCGAUCUACUUGUUGCGGAUGUGAUGGAUGCCUAUAUACAUGAUAAUGCCUAGAUAUUCUAAUAACUAUGCACUUUUCUAUCAAUUGCUCAACAGUAAUUUGUUCAUGCACCAUAAUACUUAUGCUAUCUUGAGAGAAGCCACUAGUGAAACCUAUGGCCCCCGGGUCUAUUCUCUAUCAUAUAAGUUUCCAAUCGACUUUAUUUUGCAAUCUUUAAUUUUCAAUCUAUAUCAUAAAAAUACCAAAAAUAUUUAUCUUAUCAUAUUAUCUCUAUCAGAUCUCACUUUCGCAAGUGGCCGUGAAUGGAUUGACAACCCCUUUAUCGCGUUGGUGGCGAGGUUCUUGUUUGUUUUUAUAGGUAUGAGGGACUUGCGUGGAGUCUCCUACUGGAUUGAUACCUUGGUUCUCAAAACCUGAGGGAAAUACUUACCCUACUUUGCUGCAUCACCCUUUCCUCUUCAAGGGAAAAACCAACACAUGCUCAAGAGGUAGCAUCGCGCCGGUGAUGAUGGAGAUCAUGACGAUGCUUUGGUGAUGGAGAUCAUGAGCGCAAGAUGAUGAUGGCCAUAUCAUGUCACAUAUUUUGAUUGCAUGUGAUGUUUAUCCUUUAUGCAUCUUAUUUUUCUUAGAACGUCAGUAGCAUUAUAAGAUGAUCCCUUACUAAAAAUUUCAAGGUACAAGUGUUCUCCCCGAGUAUGCACCAUUGCUAUAGUUCGUUGUGCGGAGACACCAUGUGAUGAUCUAGUGUGAUAAGCUCUACGUUCACAUACAACGGGUGCAAGCCAGUUUUGCACACACAGAAUACUCAGGUUAAACUUGAUGAGCCUAGUAUAUGCAGAUAUGGCCUCGGAACAUUAAGACCGAAAGGUCGAGCAUGAAUCAUAUAGUAGAUAUGAUCAACAUAGUGAUGUUCACCAUUGAAAACUACUCCAUCUCACAUGAUGAUUGGACAUGGUUUAGUUGAUUUGGAUCACGUGAUCACUUGGAUAAUUAGAGGGAUGUCUAUCUAAGUGGGAGUUCUUAAGUAAUAUGAUUAAUUGAACUUUAAUUUAUCAUGAACUUAGUACCUGAUAGUAUUUUGCAUGUCUAUGUUGUAGUUGAUCAAUGGCUCGUGCUACUGUUCCAUUGAAUUUUAAUGCGUUCCUAGAGAAAGCUAAGUUGAAAGAUGAUGGCAGCAACUACACAGACUGGGUCCAUAACUUGAGGAUUAUCCUCAUUGCUGCACAAAAGAAUUACGUCCUGGAAGCACCGUUAGGUGUACCACCCGCGCCCGCAACUGCAGACAUUGUGAAUGCCUGGCAGGCGCGUGUUGAUGACUACUUGAUAGUUCAGUGUGCCAUGCUUUACGGCUUAGAAUCGGGACUUUAACGACGUUUUGAACGUCAUGGAGCAUAUGAGAAAUUCCAGGAGUUGAAGUUAAUAUUCCAAGCAAAUGCUCGAAUUGAGAGAUUUGAAGUCCCCAAUAAGUUCUACAGCUGUAAAAUGGAGGAGAAUAGUUCCGUCAAUGAACACAUACUCAGAAUGUCUGGGUACCACAACCACUUGACUCAACUGGGAAUUAAUCUUCCUGAUGAUAGUGUCAUUGAUAGAGUUCUUCAAUCACUGCCACCAAGCUACAAAAGCUGCGUAAUGAACUAUAAUAUGCAAGGGAUGAACAAGACUAUUCCCGAGCUCUUCUCAAUGCUAAAGGCUGUGGAGGUAGAAAUCAAAAAGGAGCAUCAAGUGUUGAUGGUCAACAAGACCACUAGUUUCAAGAAAAAGGGCAAAUGGAAGAAGGGGAACUUCAAGAAGAAUGGCAAAAAGGUUGUUGCUCAAGAGAAGAAACCCAAGUCUGGACCUAAGCCUAAAACUGAGUGCUUCUACUGCAAAGGGACUGGUCACUGGAAGCGGAACUGCCCCAAGUAUUUGGCGGAUAAGAAGGAUGGCAAAGUGAAAGGUAUAUUUGAUAUACAUGUUAUUGAUGUGUACUUAACUAAUGCUCGCAGUAGCGCCUGGGUAUUCGAUACUGGUUUUGUUUCUCAUAUUUGCAAGUCGAAACAGGGGCUACGGAUUAAGCGAAGAUUGACUAAGGAUGAGGUGACGAUGCGCGUGGGAAAUGGUUCCAAAGUCGAUGUGAUCGCGGUCGGCACACUACCUCUACAUCUACCAUCAGGAUUAGUUUUAGACCUGAAUAAUUGUUAUUUGGUGCCAGCGUUGAGCAUGGACAUUAUAUCUGAAUCUUGUAUAAUGUGAGACGGUUGUUCAUUUAAAUCAGAGAAUAAUGGUUGUUCUAUUUAUAUGAGUAAUAUCUUUUAUGGUCAUGCACCCCUACUGAGUGGUCUAUUUUUGUUGAAUCUCGAUAGUAGUGAUACACAUAUUCAUAGUGUUGAAGCCAAAAGAUAUAAGUUUAAUAAUGAUAGUGCAACUUAUUUAUGGCACUGCCGUUUGGGUCAUAUUGGUGUAAAGCGCAUGAAGAAACUCCAUGCUGAUGGAAUUUUGGAAUCACUUGAUUAUGAAUCACUUGGUGCUUGCGAACCGUUCCUUAUGGGUAAGAUGACUAAAACUCCGUUCUCCGGAACAAUGGAACGAGCUACUGACUUAUUGGAAAUAAUACAUACUGAUGUAUGCGGUCCAAUGAGUAUUGAAGCUCAUGGCGGGUAUCGUUAUUUUCUUACCUUCACAAAUGAUUUAAGCAGAUAUGGUUAUGUCUACUUAAUGAAGCAUAAGUCUGAAACAUUUGAAAAGUUCAAAGAAUUUCAGAGUGAAGUGGAAAAUCAUCGUAACAAGAAAAUAAAGUUUCUACGAUCUGAUCGUGGAGGAGAAUAUUUGAGUUAUGAGUUUGGUCUUCAUUUGAAACAACAUGGGAUAGUUUCACAAUUAACGCCACCUAGAACACCAUAGUGAAAUGGUGUGUCCGAACGUCGUAACCGUACUUUAUUAUAUAUGGUGCGAUCUAUGAUGUCUCUUACUGAUUUAUCGAUAUCAUUUUGGGGUUAUGCUUUAGAGACGGCUGCAUUCACUUUAAAUAGGGCACCACAAAAUCCGUUGAGACGACGCCUUAUGAACUGUGGUUUGGUAAGAAACCAAAGUUAUCGUUUCUUAAAGUUUGGGGCUGCGAUGCUUAUGUGAAAAAGCUUCAACCUGAUAAGCUCGAACCCAAAUCGGAGAAGUGUGUCUUCAUAGGAUACCCAAAGGAAACUGUUGGGUACACCUUCUAUCACAGAUCCGAAGGCAAAAUCUUUGUUGCUAAGAAUGGAUCCUUUUUAGAGAAGGAUUUUCUCUCGAAAGAAGUGAGUGGGAGGAAAGUAGAACUUGAUGAGGUAGUUGUGCCUUCUCCCUUAUUGGAAAGUAAUUCAUCACAGAAAUCAGUUUCUGUGAUUCCUACACAAUUAGUGAGGAAGCUAAUGAUGAUGAUCAUGAAGCUUCAGAUCAAGUUACUACCGAACCUCAUAGGUCUUCUAGAGUGAGAUCCGCACCAGAGUGGUGCAGUAAUCCUGUUCUGGAAGUCAUGUUACUAGAUCAUGAUGAACCUACGAACUAUGAGGAAGCGAUGAUGAGCCCAGAUUCCGCAAAAUGGAUUGAAGCCAUGAAAUCUGAGAUGGGAUCCAUGUAUGAGAACAAAGUGUGGACUUUGGUGGACUUGCCCGAUGAUCGGCAAGCCAUAGAAAAUAAAUGGAUCUUUAAGAAGAAGACCAACGUAGACGGUAAUGUUACUGUUUAAAAAGCUCAACUUGUUGCGAAAGGUUUUCGACAAGUUCAAGGAGUUGACUAUGAUGAGACUUUCUCACCCGUAGCGGUGCUUAAGUCUGUCUGAAUCAUGUUAGCAAUUGCUGCAUUUUAUGAUUAUGAAAUUUGGCAAAUGGAUGUCAAAACUGCAUUCCUGAAUGAUUUCUGGAAGAAGAAUUGUAUAUGAUGCAACCAGAAGGUUUUGUCGAUCCAAAGGGUUCUAACAAAGUGUGCAAGCUCCAUCGAUCCAUUUAUAGACUGGUGCAAGCCUCUCGGAGUUGGAAUAAACGCUUUGAUAGUGUGAUCAAAGCAUAUGGUUUUAUACAGACUUUUGGAGAAGCCUGUAUUUACAAGAAAGUGAGUGGGAGCUCUGUAGCAUUUCUGAUACUAUAUGUGGAUGACAUAUUGUUGAUUGGAAAUGAUAUAGAAUUUCUGGAUAGCAUAAAGGGAUACCUGAAUAAGAGUUUUUCCAUGAAAGUCCUCGGUGAAGCUGCUUACAUGUUGGGCAUCAAGAUCUAUAGAGAUAGAUCAAGACGCCUAAUUGGACUUUCACAAAGCACAUACCUUGAUAAAGUUUUAAAGAAGUUUAAAAUGGAUCAGUCAAAGAGAGGGUUCUUGCCUGUGUUACAAGGUGUGAAGUUGAGUCAUACUCAAUGCCCGACCACUACCGAAGAUAGAGAGAAAAUGAAAGUCAUUCCCUAUGCUUCAGCCAUAGGUUCUAUCAUGUAUGCAAUGUUGUGUACCAUACCUGAUGUAUGUCUUGCUAUAAGCAUAGCAGGGAGGUACCAAAGUAAUCUCGGAGUGGAGCACUGAACAACGGUCAAGAACAUCCUGAAAUACCUGAAAAGGGACUAAGGAUAUGUUUCUGGUUUAUGGAGGUGAAAAAGAGCUCGUCGUAAACGGUUACGUCGAUGCAAGCUUUGACACUAAUCCGGAUGACUCUAAGUCGCAAAUUGGAUAUGUAUUUUUAUUGAAUGGAGGAGCUGUCAGUUGGUCCAGUUCCAAAGAGAGCGUCGUGGUAGGAUCUACGUGUGAAGUGGAGUACAUUGCUGCUUCGGAAGCAGCGAAUGAAGGAGUUUGGAUGAAGGAGUUCAUAUCCGAUCUAGGUGUCAUACCUAGUGCAUCGGGUCCAAUGAAAAUCUUCUGUGACAAUACUGGUGCAAUUGCCUUGGCAAAGGAAUCCAGAUUUCACAAGAGAACCAAGCACAUCAAGAGACACUUCAAUUCCACCCGUCAUCAAGUGUCGGAGGGGGGCAUAGAGAUUUGCAAGAUACACAUGGAUCUGAAUAUUGCAGACCCGUUGACUAAGCCUCUUCCACGAGCAAAACAUGAUCAGCACCAAAGCUCCAAGGGUGUUAGAAUCAUUACAAUGUAAUCUAGAUUAUUGACUCUAGUGCAAGGUGGGAGACUGAAGGAAAUAUGCCCUAGAGGCAAUAAUAAAAAUAUUAUUUAUUUCCUGAAUUCAUGAAGAAUGUUUAUUAUUCAUGCUAUAAUUGUAUUAACCGGAAACUUAGUACAUGUAUGAAUACAUACACAAAACAUAUAGUCCCUAGUAUGCCUCUACUUGACUAGCUCGUUAAUCAAAGAUGGUUAUGUUUCCUAACCAUAGACAUGUGUUGUCAUUUGAUGAACGGGAUCACAUCAUUAGGAGAAUGAUGUGAUGGACAUGACCCAUCCGUUAGCUUAGCAUUAUGAUCGUGUUAGUUUCAUUGCUACUGCUUUCUUCAUGACUUAUACAAGUUCCUCAGACUAUGAGAUUAUGAAACUCCCUAAUACCGGAGGAACAGUUUGUGUGCUACCAAACAUCACAACGUAAAUGGGUGAUUAUAAAUAUGCUCUACAGGUGUCUCCGAAGGUGUUUGUUGGGUUGGCAUAGAUCGAGAUUAGGAUUUUUCACUCUGUGUUUCGGAGAGGUAUCUCUGGGCCCAUUCGGUAAUACUCAUCACUAUAAGCCUUGCAAACAUUGUGUCUAAUGAGUUAGUUGCAGGAUGAAGUAUUAUGUAAUGAGUAAAGAGACUUGCCGGUAACGAUAUUGAACUAGGUAUUGAGAUACCAACGAUCAAAUCUCGGGCAAGUAACAUAUCGAUGACAAAGGGAACAAUGUAUGUUGUUAUGCGGCUUGACCGAUAAAGAUCUUCAUAGAAUAUGUAGGAACCAAUAUGAGCAUCCAGGUUCCACUAUUGGUUAUUGACCGGAGAUGUGUCUCGGUCAUGUCUACAUAGUUCUCGAACCCGUAGGGUCCGCACGCUUAACGUUUGAUGACGAUUGGUAUUAUGAGUUUAUGUGUUUUGAUGUACCGAAGGUAGUUCGGAGUCCUGGAUGUGAUCACGGACAUGACGAGGAGUCUCGAAAUGGUUGAGACAUAAAGAUCGAUAUAUUGGAAGGCUAUGUUUGGACACCGGAAAGGUUCCUAGAGGUUCGGGCAUUUUUCCGGAGUAUCGGGACAUUACCGGAACCCCCCGGGGAGUCAAUGGGCCUUAAUGGGCCAUAGUGGAAGAGAGGAGGAGGCGGCCAAGGUGGGGCGCCCUCCCCCAAGCCCAAUCCGAAUUGAGAGGGGGGCCGGCCCCCCUUUCGUUCUCUUCCUAUCCCUCUUCCUUCUUCUCCUACUCCAACUAGGGAAGGGGGAGACCUACUCCUACUGGGAGUAGGACUCCCCCUCUUGGGCACGCCAUAGAGGUCCAGCCCUCCCCCUCCUCCACUCCUUUAUAUACGGGGGAGGGGGCACCCCAAAGAAACACAAGUUGACAAUUGUUUUAGCCGCGUGCGGUGCCCCCUCCACAGAUUUUCACCUUGGUCAUAUUAUCGUAGUGCUUAGGCGAAGCCCUGCGCCGGUAACUUCAUCAUCACCGUCACCACGCCAUCGUGCUGACGAAACUCUCCCUCGACCUCAGCUGGAUCUAGAGUUUGUGGGACGUCACCGAGCUGAACGUGUGCAAAUCGUGGAGGUGCCGUACCUUCAGUGCUAGGAUCGGUCGGAUCAUGAAGACGUACGACUACAUCAACUGCGUUGUCAUAACGCUUCCGCUUUUGGUCUACGAGGGUGCGUGAUACGUCUCCAACGUAUCUAUAAUUUUUGAUUGUUCCAUGCUAUUAUAUUACCCCUUUUGGAUGAUUAUGGGCUUUAUUUUACACAUUUAUAUCAUUUUUGGGACUAACCUACUAACUGGAGGCCCAGCCCGUAUUGCUGUUUUUUUGCCUAUUUCAGUAUUUCGAAGAAAAGGAAUAUCAAACGGAGUCCAAACGGAAUGAAACCUUUGGGAGCGUGAUUUUUGGAACGAAGGUGAUUCGGAGAACUUGGAGUGCAAGCCAAGAAGCAGCCGAGGCGGCCACGAGGGUGGAGGGCGCGCCCACCCCUCCUGGGCGCGCCCCCUGUCUCGUGGGCCCCUCAAGCGGCCACCGACGUACUUCUUCCUCCUAUAUAGGCCUACAUACCCCGAAAACAUCCAGGGAGGCAUCGAAGAAAUAUUUCUACCACCGUAACCUUCUGUAUCCACGAGAUCCCAUCUUGGAGCCGUCGCCGGCGUUCUGCCGGAGGGCGAAUCCACCAUGGAGGGCUUCUACAUCAACACCAUAGCCCUUCCGAUGAGUUGUGAGUAGUUUACCACAGACCUUCGGGUCCAUAGUUAUUAGCUAGAUGGCUUCUUCUCUCUUUUUGGAUCUCAAUACAAUGUUCUCCCCCUCUCUUGUGGAGAUCUAUUCGAUGUAAACUCUUUUUGCGGUGUGUUUGUCGAGAUCCGAUGAAUUGUGGGUUUAUGAUCAAGUUUAUCUAUGAAUAAUAUUUGAAUCUUCUCUGAAUUCUUUUAUGUAUGAUUGAGUUAUCUUUGCAAGUCUCUUCGAAUUAUCGGUUUGGUUUGGCCUACUAGAUUGAUCUUUCUUGCCAUGGGAUAAGUGCUUAGCUUUGGGUUCAAUCUUGCGGUGUCCUUACCCAGUGACAGAAAGGGUUGCAAGGCACGUAUUGUAUUGUUGCCAUCAAGGAUAAAAAGAUGGGGUUUAUAUCAUAUUGCAUGAGUUUAUCCCUCUACAUCAUGUCAUCUUUCUUAAUGCGUUACUCUGUUCUUAUGAACUUAAUACUCCAGAUGCAUGCUGGAUAGCGGUCGAUGUGUGGAGUAAUAGUAGUAGAUGCAGGCAGGAGUCGGUCUACUUGUCACGGAUGUGAUGUCUAUAUACAUGAUCAUGCCUAGAUAAUCUCAUAAUUAUUCGCUUUUCUAUCAAUUGCUCGACAGUAAUUUGUUCACGCACCAUAAUACUUAUGCUAUCUUGAGAGAAGCCUCUAGUGAAACCUAUGGCCCCCGGGUCUAUACUUUAUCAUAUAAGCUUUCAAUCUACUUAUAUUUUCAUCUUUAUUUUCUGCAUCUAUAUUAUAAAAUACCAAAAAUAUAUUUAUCUUAUCAUAUUAUCUCUAUCAGAUAUCACGUUCGCAAGUGGCCGUGAAGGGAUUGACAACCCCUUUAUCGCGUUGGUUGCGAGUUCUUUGUUUGUUUGUGUAGGUUCGUGGGACUUGUGAGGAGCCUCCUACUGGAUUGAUACCUUGGUUCUCAAAAACUAAGGGAAAUACUUACGCUACUGUGUUGCAUCAUCCUUUCUCUUCAAGGAAAACCAACGCAAGCUCAAGACGUAGAAGUACAUAGACAACACUCUCCCUCUCAUUGCUAUGCAUCACCUAGAGAUAGAUCUUGCGUGAUCGUAGGAUUUUUUUGAAAUUACCGCGUUCCCCAACACUUAUGAUGGAUGAAGGAAUAAGGAUUAACAAAAGGCUAAGCUUGGGGAUGCCUGAGGCACCCCAAGAUAAUAUUCAAUAAGUAGAAAGCAACUAAGCUUGGGGAUGCCCCCGAGUGGCAUCCCCUCUUUCUUUUAACAACCAUCGGUAUUUUACUUGGAGCUAUAUUUUUAUUUGUCACAUAUUAUGAGUUUUUCUUGCACCAUCUUAUAUGAUAUGAGUCUUUGCUUGUUUUGCUUUGUGUUUCAAGUCCUUAAUCCUUGCUGGACACACCUUUUUGAGAGAACAAAAAAUUAUGCUAUGCUUGCUCCUAUGCUUCACUCAAAUGUUUAGUGCCAUGUAACUUCUCUAUUGCUUCAAUUAUAUUUUUUAGCACGGUGUGCUUUGUUAUUUUGAAUAAAUGCUCUCAUGCUUCACUUAGAUUUAUUUGGGAGUUAGUAAAAAAAUUAAAAAAUUCUCUCUUGCUUCACUUAGAUUAUUUUGAGAGAAAGAAAAAUUAUGCUCAUGUUCUUCACUUAAAUCUGUUUGAGCUUAUUAAAAGCAACAUAUGAAAAUAGUCCCAAAGUGAUAGAUAUCCAAGGAGGAUAUAAUAAAAACUUUCAUGAAGAUCAUUGGACAAAAUAAACUUGGUUCUUAGUAAUGGUUUUGAGAUAUGACGAUGUGAUAUCUGAGUCAUGUUGAUGAGUAAUUAUGCAUUAGUAAGAAUAUUCGUGUUAAGGCUUGUGAUUCCCUAUGGAAGCACGAAAAUGAAGGAAAUAUGCCCUAAAGGCAAUAAUAAAGUUAUUAUUUAUUUCCUUAUUUCGUGAUAAAUGUUUAUUAUGUUGGGAACGCGGUAAUUUCAAAAAAAGUCCUACGAUCACGCAAGAUCUAUCUAGGUCAUGCAUAGCAACGAGGGGGAGAGUGUGUCCACGUACCCUUGUAGACCGAUAGCGGAAGCGUUAAGUAACACGGUUGAUGUAGUCGAACGUCUUCGUGACCCAACCGAUCAAGUACCGAAUGCAAGGCACCUCCAUGAUCUGCACACGUUCAGCUCGGUGACGUCCCUCGAACUCUAGAUCCAGCUGAGGUCGAGGGAGAGUUCCGGCAGCACGAUGGUGUGGUGACAGUGAUGAUGAAGUUACUGGCGUAGGGCUUCGCCUAAGCACUACGACGAUAUGACCGAGGUGGAGAACUAUGGAGGGGGCACCGCACACGGCUAAAGAUCAACUUGCGUGUCUAUGGGGUGCCCCCUGGCCACCUAUAUAAAGGAGGGGAGGGAAGAGGUGGCCGGCCCAAGGGGGGCGUGCCUGAUGUGGGAAUCCUACAAGGACUCCCCAGUCCAAGUAGGAUUCCCCUCCUCUUUCCUAUUCCUAGUAGGAGAAGGAGGGAAGGAGGAAGAGGGGAGAAGGAAGGAGGGGGGCCCCGCCCCCUCCUAGUCCAAUUCGGACCAGCCCAUGGGGGGGGCGGCCACCCCUUGAGGCCCUUCUCUCCUUUCCCGUACGGCCCAUUAAGGCCCAUUACUUCCCCCGGCGAAUUCCCGUAACUCUCCGGUACUCCAAAAAAUACCCGAAUCACUCGAAAUCUUUCCGAUGUCCGAAUAUAGCCUUCCAAUUUAUCAAUUUUUACGUCUCGACCAUUUCGAGACUCCUCGUCACGUCCGUGAUCUCAUCCGGGACUCCGAAUAAACUUUGGUCAUCAAAUCACAUAACACAUAAUACAAAUCGUUAUCAAACGUUAAGCGUGCGGACCCUACGGGUUCGAGAACUAUGUAGACAUGACCGAGACACAUCUCCAGUCAAUAAGCAAUAGCGGAUCCUGGAUGCUCAUAUUGGCUCCUACAUAUUCUACGAAGAUCUUUAUCGGACAAACCACAUAACAACAUACGUUGUUCCCUUUGUCAUUGGUAUGUUACUUGCCCGAGAUUCGAUCGUCGAUAUCAUCAUAACUAGUUCAAUAUCGUUACCGGCAAGUCUCUUUACUCGUUCCGUAAUGCUUCAUCCUAUAACUAACUCACUAGUCACAAUGCUUGCCAGGCCUAUAGUGAUGAGUAGUACCGAGAGGGCCCAGGGAUACCUCUCCAAAACACGGAGUGACAAAUCCUAAUCUCGAUCUAUGCCAACCCAACAAACACCUUUGGAGACACAUGUAGAGCACCUUUAUAAUCACCCAUUUACGUUGUGACGUUUGGUAGCACACAAAGUGUUCCUCCGGUAUUCGGGAGUUGCAUAAUCUCAUAGUCUGAGGAACAUGUAUAAGUCAUGAAGAGAGCAGUAGCAAUGAAACUGUAACGAUCAUAAUACUAAGCUAUUAGAUGGGUCAUGUCCAUCACAUAAUUCUCCUAAUGAUGUGAUCCCGUUCAUAAAAUGACAACACAUGUCUAUGGUUAGGAAACAUAACCUUCUUUGAUUAACAAGCUAUUCAAGUAGAGGCAUACUAGGGACACUAUGUUUUAUAUAUGUAUUCACACAUGUACUAAGUUUCCGGUUAAUACAAUUCUAGCAUGAAUAAUAAACAUUUAUCAUGAAAUAAGGAAAUAAAUAAUAACUUUAUUAUUGCCUCUAGGGCAUAUUUCCUUCAGCCUCCCACUUGCACUAGAGUCAAUAAUCUAGUUCACAUCACCAUGUGAUUUAACAUCAAUAGUUCACAUCUGUAUGUGAUUAACACCCAUAAUUCACAUCGCCAUGUGACCAACAACCGAAGGGUUUACUAGAUUCAAUAAUCUAGUUCACAUUGCUAUGUGAUUAACACCCAAAGAUUACUAAGGUGUGAUCAAGUUUUGCUUAUGAGAGAAGUUUAGUCAACGGGUCUGUCCAUUCAGAGCCAUAUGUAUUUUGCAAAUAUUCUAUGUCUACAUUGCUAUAUGUGGAGCUACUCUAGCUAAUUGCUCCCAGUUUUAAUAUGUAUCCAGAUUGAGAGUUAGAGUCAUCUGGAUUGGUGUAAAAGCUUGCAUCGACAUAACUCUUUUAUACGACGAACUCUUUAUCACCCCCGUCACCGAGAAACAUUCCCUUAGUCCUUACUAAGGAUAGUUUUGACCGUUGUCCAGUGAUCUACUCUUAGAUCACUAUUGUACCCCCUUGCCAAACUCAUGGCAAGGUACACAAUAGGUCUGGUACACAACAUACUUUAUAGAACCUAUGACUGUGGCAUAGGGAAUGACUGUCAUUAUCUUUCUAUCUUCUGCCGUGGUCGGGCUUUGAGUCUUACUCAACUUUACACCUUGUAAUAUAGACAAGAAAUCCUUGUUUGACUGAUCCAUUUUGAACUCUUUCAAAAACUUGUCAAGGUAUUUACUCAGUGAAAAAUCUUAUCAAGCGUCGUGAUCUAUCUAUAGAUCUUGAUGCCCAAUAUGUAAGCAGCUUCACCGAGGUCUUUCAUUGAAAAACUCUUAUUCAAGUAUCCCUUUAUGCUAUCCAAAAAAUCAAUAUCAUUUCCAAUCAACAAUAUGUCAUCCACAUAUAAUAUUAGAAAUGCUAUAGAGCUCCCACUCACUUUCUUGUAAAUACAGGCUUCACCGCAGGUUUGUAUAAAACUAUAUGCUUUGAUCAACUCAUCAAAGCGUAUAUUCCAACUCCGAGAUGCUUGCACCAGUCCAUAGAUGGAUCACUGGAGCUUGCACACCUUGUUAGUACCUUUAGGAUUGACAAAACCUUCUGGUUCCAUCAUAUACAACUUCCAGAAAUCCAUUCAGGAAUGCUGUUUUUACAUCCAUCUGCCAAAUUUCAUAAUCAUAAAAUGCAGCAAUUUCUAACAUGAUUCGGACAGACUUGAGCAUCCCUACGGGUGAGAAAGUCUCAUCAUAGUCAACUCCUUGAACUUGUCGAAAACCUUUUUGCGACAAGUCAAGCUUUGUAGAUAGUAACACUAUUAUCAAUGUCCAUCUUCCUCUUGAAGAUCCAUUUAUUCUUAAUGACUUGCCGAUCAUCGGACAAGUCCACCAAAGUCCACACUUUGUCCUCAUACAUGGAUCCCAUCUCAGAUUUCAUGGCCUUAAGCCACUUCGCGGAAUUUGGGCUCAUCAUCGCUUCCUCAUAGUCCGUAGGUUCAUCAUGGUCUAAUAACAUGACUUCUAGAAUAGGAUUACGAUACCACUCUGGUGCAGAUCGUACUCUGGUUGACCUACGAGGUUCGGUAGUAACUUGAUCUGAAGUUUCAAGAUCAUCAUCAUUAGCUUCCUCACUAAUUGGUGUUGGAAUCACUAGAACUGAUUUAUGUGAUGAAUUACUUUCCAAUUCGGGAGAAGAUACAAUUACCUCAUCAAGCUCUACUUUCCUCCCACUCACUUCUUUUGAGAGAAACUCCUUUUCUAGAAAGGAUCCAUUCUUAGCAACGAAUAUCUUGCCUUCGGAUCUGUGAUAGAAGGUGCACCCAAUAGUUUCCUUUGGGUAUCCUAUGAAGAUGCACUUCUCCGAUUUGAGUUCGAGCUUAUCAGGUUGAAGGUUUUUCACAUAAGCAUCGCAACCCUAAACUUUAAGAAACGACAACUUUGGUUUCUUGCCAAACCACAGUUCAUAAGGCGUCGUCUCAACGGAUUUUGAUGGUGCCCUGUUUAAUGUGAAUGCUACUGUCUCUAUUGCAUAACCCCAAAAUGAUAGUGGUAAAUCGGUAAGAGACAUCAUAGAUCGCACCAUAUCUAAUAAAGUGUGGUUAUGACGUUCGGAGACACCAUUACACUGUGGUGUUCCAGGUGGCGUGAGCUGUGAAACUAUUCCACAUUGUUUUAAUGAAGGCCAAACUCGUAACUCAAAUAUUCGCCUCUGCGAUCAAGUAAUAGAAACUUUAUUUUCUUGUUACGAUGAUUCUCCACUUCUCUCUGAAAUUCUUUGAACUUUUCAAAUGUUUCAGACUUGUGUUUCAUUUAAGUAGAUAUACCCAUAUCUGCUCAAAUCAUCUGUGAAGGUCAGAAAAUAACUAUACUCGCCACAAGCAUCUACACUCAUUGGACUGGAUACAUCAGUAUGUAUUAUUUCCAGUAAGUCAGUAACUCGUUCCAUUGUUCGGAUAACAUAGUUUUAGUCAUCAUGCCUAUAAGGCAUGGUUCACAAGUUUCAAAGGAUUCAUAAUCAAGUGAUUCCAAAAGUCCAUCUUUAUGGAGUUUCUUCAUGCGCUUUACACCAAUAUGACCCAAACGACAGUUCCACAAAUAAGUUGCACUAUCAUUAUCAACUUUGCAUCUUUUGGCAUCAAUAUUAUGAAUAUGUGUAUCACUACGAUUGAGAUCCAACAAACUAUUUUCAUUGGGUGUAUGACCAUCAGAGGUUUUAUUCAUGUAAACAAAACAAUAAUUACUCUCUGACUUUAAAUGAAUAACCUUAUUGCAAUAAACAUGAUCAAAUCAUAUUCAUGCUCAACUCAAAUGCCAAAUAACAUUUAUUUAGGUUCAACACUAAUCUCGGAAGUAUAGGGAGUGUGCGAUGAUGAUCAUAUCAAUCUUGGAACCACUUCCAACACACAUCGUCACUUCACCCUUAACUAGUCUCUGUUCAUUCUGCAACUCCCGUUUCGAGUUACUAAUUUUAGCAACUGAACCGGUAUCAAAUACCCAUGGGUUGCUAUGAACACUAGUAAAGUACACAUCAAUAAUCUAUAUAUGAAAUAUACCUUUGUUCACUUUGCCAUCCUUCUUAUCCGCCAAAUAUUUGGGGUAGUACCACUUCCAGUGACCAUUUCCUUUGCAGUAGAAGCACUUAGUUUCAGGCUUAGGUCCAGCUUUGGGCUUCUUCACGGGAGUGACAACUUGCUUGCCAUUCUACUUGAAGUUCCCUUUCUUUCCCUUUGCCCUUUUCUUUAAACUAGUGGUCUUGUCAAUCAUCAACACUCGAUGCUCUUUCUUUAUUUCUACCUUCAUCGAUUUUCAGCAUCACGAAGAGCUCAGGAAUUUCUUUCGUCAUCCCUUGCAUACUAUAGUUCAUCACAAAGUUCCAGUAACUUGGUGGUGGUGACUAGAGAACUCUGUUAAUCACUAUCUUAUCGGGAAGAUUAACUCCCAUUUGAUUCAAGCGAUUGUAGUACCCAGACAAUCUAAGCAUAUGCUCCCUACUUGAGCUAUUCUCCUUCAUCUUUUAGCUAUAGAACUUGUUAUAGACUUCAUAUCUCUCAACUCGGGUAUUCGCUUGAAAUAUUAACUUCAAAUCCUGGAACAUCUCAUAUAUUCCAUGACGUUCAAAACGUAUUUGAAGUCCUGAUUCUAAGCCGUAAAGCAUGGUAGACUAAACUAUCAAGUAGUCAUCUUACUGAGCUAGCCAAACGUUCAUAACAUCUGCAUCUGCUCCUGCAAUAGGUCUGUCACCUAGCGGUGCAUCAAGGACAUAAUUCUUCUAUGCAGCAAUGAGGAUAAACCUCAGAUCACAGACCCAGUCCACAUCAUUGCUACUAUCAUCUUUCAACUUAGUUUUCUCUAGGAACAUAUAAGAAACAUAGGGAAGCUACAAUGUGAGGUAUUGAUCUACAACAUAAUUUGCAAAAUACUACCAGGACUAAGUUCAUGAUAAAUUAAAGUUCAAUUAAUCAUAUUAAUUAAGGACUCCCACUUAGAUAGACAUCCCUCUAGUCAUCUAAAUGAUCACGUGAUCCAUAUCAACUAAACCAUGUCCGAUCAUCACGUGAGAUGGAGUAAUUUUCAAUGGUGAACAUCACUAUGUUGAUCAUAUCUACUAUAUGAUUCACGCUCGACCUUUAGGUCUUAGUGUUCCGAGGCCAUAUCUGCAUAUGCUAGGCUCAUCAAGUUUAACCCGAGUAUUCUGUGUGUGCAAAAAAUGGAUUGCACCCGUUGUAUUUGAACAUAGAGCUUAUCACACCCGAUCAUCACGUGGUGUCUCGGUAUGACGAACUGUCGCAACGGUGCAUGCUCAAGGAGAACACUUGUACCUUGAAAUUUAGUAAGGGAUCAUCUUAUAAUGCUACCGACGUUCUAAGAAAAAUAAGAUGCAUAAAGGAUGAACAUCACAUGCAAUCAAAAUAUGUGACAUGAUAUGACCAUCAUCAUCUUGCGCUCAUGAUCUCCAUCACCGAAGCAUCGUCAUGAUCUCCAUCAUCACCGGCGCGACACCUUGAUCUCCAUCGUAGCAUUGUUCUCGUCUCGCCAACUAUUGUUACUACGACUAUCACUACCACUUAGUGAUAAAGUAAAACAAUUACAUGGCGAUUGCAUUGCAUACAAUAAAGCGACAACCAUAUGGCUCCUGCCAGUUGCCGAUAACUUUGUUAUAGAACAUGAUCAUUUCAUACAAUAAAUUAUAUCACAUCAUGUCUUGACCAUGUCACAUCACAGCAAGCCCUGCAAAAACAAGUUAUACGUCCUCUACUUUGUUGUUGCAAGUUUUACGUGGCUGCUACGGGCUUCUAGCAAGAACCGUUCUUACCUACGCAUCAAAAACACAACGAUUUUUCGUCAAGUGUGUUGUUUUAACUUUCAACAAGGACCGGGCGUCACCACACUCGAUUCAACUAAAGUUGGAGAAACAGACACCCGCUAGCCACCUAUGUGCAUAAGCACGUCGGUAGAACCAGUCUCAUGAACGCGUUCAUGUAAUGUCGGUUCGCGCCGCUUCAUCCAACAAUACCAUCGAAUCAAAGUAUGACCCGUCGGUAAGCAGUAUGACUAUUAUCACCCACAACUCUUUGUGUUCUACUCAUGCAUAUAACAUCUACGCAUAGACCUGGCUCAGAUGCCACUGUUGGGGAACGCGGUAAUUUCAAAAAAAAUCCUACGAUCACGCAAGAUCUAUCUAGGUGAUGCAUAGCAACGAGGGAGAGAGUGUGUCCACUUACCCUCAUAGACCGAAACAGAAGCAUUAUGUAACGUGGUUGAUGUAGUCAAACGUCUUCGAGACCCAACUGAUCAAGUACCGAACACACAGAACCUCCGUGAUCUGCACACAUUCAGAUCGGUGAUGUCCCUCGAACUCUAGAUCCAGCUGAGGCUGAGGGAGAGUUCCAUCAGCAUGACGGUGUGGUGACGGUGAUGAAGUUACCAGCGCAGGGCUUCCCCUAAGCACUACGACGAUAUGACCGAGGUGGAAAACUGUGGAGGGGGCACCGCACACGGCUAAAGAUCAACUUGUGUGUCUAUGGGGUGCCCCCUGGCCACAUAUAUAAAGGAGGGGAGGUGAAAGGACAUGUGGUGCCCCCAUGUGUGGUUUUGGUAAUUGAUGACACUCUCUAUGGACUAAUGGUUGCAUUGAGUUAUAUUUGAAGGAUUUGUCCAUAGGCUCUUCUUGAAGUCCAUGUGUUGCUUUCAAGGAGUUUAUGUGUUGACCAAGGUGCUAUUAAGGAAGUAUCCAAAGAUUGGUUAUGUGAGUGUUGUGCUUAUUGCAAGCAUGUCUUGAAGAAGAAGAUUGUGUGAUCAUUCAUGCUUACCUUCAAGACAUCAUCCAAAUGAAGAGAGUUGGAAAGAUUCAAGGUUGAUCAAUACUAAGUCAAGAGUGAAUCAAGUUGAUCAACUCACAUAGCGUAGAAGAUGUACCGAGAGGGAUCAGUGAUCCCAUGGUAUGGUAAGCAUUGUCCACUGUGCUUUGUGUACUAGCCCAUGGUCUAUGUGAGAGUUCUAUGUGGGGUUAGGUAUGUGUUCAUGGGCUUGCGUCAAGAGGAAGAUAUCACUCAACCCAUGGAGAAGAAACAUCAAGUGGUGAUCAUCAUCAAGAUUGCCGUGUGAAAGUUUAAGUGGAGCAUCACGAAGAGACCAAAUGCUUGAAGCUUGCCAUCCAUUUUGGUGUCAAUGGACUUGUGAAGAUGUGCCGAAGAGUGGCUCGCCCAUAGUGGAGUAUGGGGGGGCAAUCAUCUAGUCUUCAUCGACCCAACGCAAUCAAGAAAGGUUGUAUUAACAGGAAACUUAGUACAUGUGUGAACACACAGACAAAACAUAGUGUCCCUAGUAUGCCUCUACUUGACUAGAUCAUUAAUCAAAGAUGGUUAUGUUUCCUAACCAUAGACAUGUGUUGUCAUUUGAUGAAUGAGUUCACAUCAUUAGGAGAAUGAUGUGAUGGACAUGACCCAUCUGUUAGCUUAGCAUUAUGAUCGUAUCAGUUUCAUUGCUACUGCUUUCUUCAUGACUUAUACAUGUACCUCAGACUAUGAGAUUAUGCAACUCCCGAAUACCGAAGGAACACAGUGUGUUCUAUCAAACAUGACAACGUAAAUGGGUGAUUAUAAAGAUGCUCUACACGUGUCUCUGAAGGUGUUUGUUGGGUUGGCAUAGAUCGAGAUUAGGAUUUGUCACUCCGUGUUUCAGAGAGGUAGGGCCCUCUCGGUAAUGCUUAUCACUAUAAGCCUUGCAAGCAAUGUGAUUAAUGAGUUAGUUGCAGGAUGAAGCAUUACGGAACGGGUAAAGAGACUUGCCAGUAAUGAGAUUGAGCUAGGUAUGAUGAUACUGACGAUCUAAUCUCGGGAAAGUAACAUACCGAUGACAAAGGGAACAAAGUAUGUUGUUAUGCGGUUUGACUGAUAAAGAUCUUCGAAGAAUAUGUGGGAACCAAUAUGAGCAUCCAGGUUCCGCUAUUGGUUAUUUAACGGAGAUGUGUCUCGGUCAUGUCUACAUAGUUCUCGAACCCGUAGGGUCCGCAGGCUUAAUGUUCGAUGACGAUUUGUAUUAUGAGUUAUGUGAUUUGAUGAACUGAAGUUUGUUUGGAGUCCCGGAUGAGAUCAUGGAUAUGACAAGGAGUCUCAAAAUGGUCGAGACAUAAAGAUUGAUAUAUUGGAAGGCUAUAUUCGGAGAUCGGAAUGGUUCCGGAGAAGUUCGGGUAUUUUCCGGAGUACCAGGAGGUUACCGGAACCACCCCGGGAGAAGUUAUGGACCUUAUGGGCCAUAAGAGGUAAGCACACUAGCCCACAAGGGGCUGGUGCACCCCCCCCCUUGGGCAGGAGGCCGAUUAGGACUAGGAGAAGGGGACGACCCCCCUUCCUUCUCCUUCUCCCUUCCCCCUUUCCUACUCCAUGUGGGAGGUGGAAUCCUACUAGGACUAGGGAGUCCUAGUAGGACUCCACACCUUGGCGCGCCCCCCUAGGGUCGGCUGCCUCUCCCUCUCCCUCCUUUAUAUAUGGGGACAGGGGGCACCCUAGAACACACAAGUUGAUCUUUUAGCCGUGUGCGGUGCCCCCGUCCACAGUUACACACCUCGGUCAUAUCGUCGUAGUGCUUAGGCGAAGCCCUGCGCUGGUAACUUUAUCAUCACUGUCGCCACGCCGGCGUGCUAAAGAAACUCUCCCUUGGCCUCAACUGGAUCAAGAGUACGAGGGACGUCAUCGAUCUGAACGUGUGCUGAACACGGAGGUGCCGUAUGUUCGGUACUUGGACCGGUUGGAUCACGAAGAAGUUCGACUACAUCAACCGCAUUAACUAACGCUUUUGCUUUCGGUCUACGAGGGUACGUGGACACACUCUCCCCUCACAUAGAUAGAUCUUGCGUGAUCGUAGGAAAAAUUGAAAUUACCACGUUCCCCAACAGUGGCAUCCGAGCCAGGUCUAUGUGUAGAUGUUAUAUGCAUGAGUAGAACACAAAGAGUUGUGGGCGAUAAUAGUCAUACUGCUUACCACCAACACCUUACUUUGAUUCAGCGGUAUUGUUGGAUGAAGCGGCCCGAACCGACAUUACAUGACCAGGUUCAUGAGACUGGUUCUACCAACAUGCUUUUGCACAUAGGUGGUUGGCGGGUGUCUGUUUCUCCAACUUUAGUUGAAUCGAGUUUGAAUAGGGCCGGUCCUUGUUGAAGGUUAAAAAAGCACACUUGACGAAAAAUCAUUGUGGUUUUGAUGUGUAGGUAAGAAUGAUUUUUGCUAGAAGCCCGUAGCAGCCAAGUAAAAUUUGCAACAACAAAGUAGAGGACGUCUAACUGGUUUUUGCAGGGCUUGCUGUGAUGUGAUAUGGUCAAGACAUGAUGUGAUAUAAUUUGUUGUAUGAGAUGAUCAUGUUUUGUAACAGAAUUAUCGGCAACUGGCAGGAGCCAUAUGGUUGUCGCUUUAUUGUAUGCAAUGCAAUCGCCAUGUAAUUGUUUUACUUUAUCACUAAGCGUUAGCGAUAGUCGUAGUAACAAUAGUUGGCGAGACGACAAUGAUGCUACGAUGGAGAUCAAGGUGUCACGCUGGUGACAUGGAGAUCAUGACGAUGCUUCGGUGAUGGAGAUCAUGAGCACAAGAUGAUGAUGGCCAUAUCACAUAUUAUGAUUGCAUGUGAUGUUUAUCUUUUAUGCAUCUUAUUUUGCUUAGUACGGCGGUAGCAUUGUAAGCUGACCCCGUACUAAAUUUCAAGGUAUAAGUGUUCUCCCUGAGUAUGCAACAUUGCUACAGUUCGUCGUGUCGAGACACCACGUGAUGAUCGGGUGUGAUAAGCUCUACAUUCACAUACAACAGGUGCAAGCCAGUUUUCCACACGUAGAAUACUCGGGUUAAACUUGACGAGCCUAGCAUAUGCAGAUAUGGCCUCGGAACACUGAGACCGAAAGGUCGAGCGUGAAUCAUAUAGUAGAUAUGAUGAACAUAGUGAUGUUCACCAUUGGAAACUACUUCAUCUCACGUGAUGAUCGGACAUGGUUUAGUUGAUUUGGAUCACGUGAUCAUUUAGAUGACUAGAGGGAUGUCUAUCUAAGUGGGAGUUCUUAAGUAAUAUGAUUAAUUGAACUUUAAUUUAUCAUGAACUUGGUCAUGAUAGUAUUUCGCAAAUUAUGUUGUAGAUCAAUAGCUUGCGUUGUUGCUUCCCUAUGUUUUUAUAUGUGUUCCUAGAUAAAACUAAGUUGAAAGAUGAUAGUAGUAAUGAUGUGGUCUGGGUCCGUGAUCUGAGGUUUAUUCUCAUUGCUGCACAGAAGAAUUAUGUCCUUGAUGCACCUCUAGGUGACAGACCUAUUAAGGGAGUCCUGGAUUAGGGGGUAUCCGGACAGCCGGACUGUAUACAUCGUCCGGACUAUUGAAGCGUGAAGAUACAAGACUCAAGACUUCGGCCCGUGUCCGGAUGGGACUCUCCUUUGCGUGGAAGGCAAGCUUGGCGAUCCGGAUAUUGUGUUUCCUUCCUUGUAACCGACUCCGUGUAAACCCUAGCCCUCUUCGGUGUCUAUAUAAACCGGAGAGGUUGGUCCUUAGAAGGCCGAUCACGAUUACAAUCAUACCAUCAUAGGCUAGCUCUUAGGGUUUCGCCUCUACGAUCUCGUGGUAGAUCUACUCUUGUACUACUCAUAUCUUCGAUAUUAAUCAAGAAGGAAGUAGGGUUUUACCUCCAUCGAGAGGGCUCGAACCUGGGUAAACAUUGUGUCCCUCGCUUCCUGUUACUAUCAGCCUAAGACGCACAGAUCGGGACCCCCUACCCGAGAUCCGCCGGUUUUGACACCGACAUUGGUGCUUUCAUUGAGAGUUCCUCUGUGUCGUCGCUGCAGGGUCUGAUGGCGCCUUCAAUUGUCAACAACACGUUCCAGGGGGAGACUUUUUCCCGGAUAGAUCUUCGUGUUUGGCGGCUUUGCACUGCGGGCCAAUUCGCUUGGCCAUCUGGAGCAGAUCGAUAGCUACGCCCCUGGCCACCAGGUCAGGUUCGGAAACUUGAACUACACAGUGGAUAUUCACGGAGACUUGAUCUUCGACGGAUUUGGGCCUGCGCCAGGAGCACCGAAUAGUCACGAUGAGCACGGCUUAGACCUGCUGUCGGACGAAGCUCGGGAUAUCACCCCCGCAGUAGCCUCGGAUCUAAAUCUGGAGCAGGUUGCAUUGCCUAAGGACGGAGGGGUGGACCCCACCCCGCAGGACGCACACUCAUCGGCGGAGGAGCCGAACACAGGUCCCACCUCUGUGGAGGCCUGUAACCCUGGGCCCCCGAACUCGUAUCCGGUUGUUGGUUCCGGUCCGCACAUCCUCGAACCAGUCGAGCCAGGUUGGGCUCUGGUAAUGGAGUUUACCGCUGUGGACAUCUUCCAUCACUCGCCCUUUGGCGACAUGCUGAACUCAUUAAAGUCUCUCUCUUUGUCAGGAGGCUCUGGGCCGAACUAUGUCCAGCUUGAGUGGGAAGCAAGCGACGAAGGAAUUCGCUGCCCACCCAUCACCCACUUCAUUGCCACGAUCAAUGAUUUAACUGACGUGCUUGACUUCGACUCCGAAGACAUCGACGGUAUGGACGACGAUGCAGGAGAAGUACAGGAGCCACCGCUCGUUGGGCGGUGGACGGCCACCUCGUCACACGAUAUAUACAUGGUGGAUACGCCCAAGGAGGACGACGGCGGCAAUUCGGAAGAUAAAACCCCCGGGCAAAAGCCAAAACGGCAGCACAGACGCCGCUCAAAGUCCAGCAACAGUAAAAAUAGCGACAAGAGCGCAAGAAGGAUCGACAUACCAGCAAACUCCGAAGGCAAUAAUGACCACAUGGACCCAGCGAUGGAGCAGGAUAAGCCAUGUCACGCCGAACUGAGUUUGGAGCAGACGCCCGACCACAGUGAUCCAGAGGGACGAGUCCAUCAAACCGCCGCAGGACAAGAACACAGUUCGGACGAUGAUGCAUUCAUCAUUCUGGAAGAACACGUGGAACGAGAUAACCUCCACAGAAAGCUUAUGGCCAUAGCGAGAAGUCUAAAGAAGCAGAAGCAACGGCUCAAAGCCGCACAGGAAACGCUCAAUCGCAGAUGGAAUAAAGUGCUAGACACCGAAGAAAGAUAUGGCGAUGAUCGCCAUACAAAGAGCUAUCCCAAACGCAAGCUACUGCCAGAAUUCGACGACGAGGCCGUUCCACCAAAGAAUAAUACGACCAGGAGACCAGACGUACCACUUCACAACCGCAACAGAACGGCUACUGACGUCGCACACGAUCUACAUGAGCAUCUGGAUAAGCAAGCCGGUGCGGCCAGGUCCAUCUACGGAUCUAAAGGACAAAAGGCGGCGUCGGACUAUGGUCACCAGAAUGAUCAUACAAACCAAAUACCAAUUCGAAAUAAGCUCCGAGCACAUCAACAGCCAGCUGCAUGCCACAGCGCGUCCAGAUACAGAGGGGCUGCUCACCCCCUGUGCUUCACCGAAGAAGUACUGGACCAUGAAUUCCCACAAGGUUUCAAACCUGUGAACAUAGAGGCAUACGACGGAACGACAGACCCAGGGGUCUGGAUCGAGGAUUUUAUCCUGCAUAUUCACAUGGCUCGUGCGGAUGACCUCCACGCCAUCAAAUACCUUCCCCUCAAGUUGAAGGGACCAGCUCGACACUGGUUGAAAAGCCUCCCCGAAAAUCCAAUUGGGAGUUGGGAGGAACUCGAGGACGCUUUCAGGGCCAAUUUUCAAGGGACUUAUGUCUGGCCUCCGGAUGCGGACAAUCUAAGUCACAUAAUCCAACAGCCUGGAGAGUCCGCCCGCAAGCUUUGGAACAGAUUCCUCACUAAGAAGAAUCAAAUUGUCGAUUGUCCGGAUGCCGAAGCCUUAGCGGCAUUCAAACACAGCAUCCGCGACGAAUGGCUCGCCAGACGCCUCAGCCAAGAAAAGCCAAGGACAAUGGCAACCUUAACAAGCCUUAUGACCCGCUUUUGCGCGGGUGAAGAUAGCUGGCUAGCCCGUAAAGGCACCAGCGACCCCAGCACAUCCGAAAUAAGGGAUGGCAAUGGGAAGCCACGGCGUAAUAAACACAGACGCCAAAACAAGGAAGAGAGCAUGGACAAUACAACGGUCAAUGCCAGAUUUAGGGGCUCUCGACCUGAUCAGCAAAAUAAGUCAUUUAAAGGCAGUAGAGAGGGACCGUUCGGUCUGAACAGAGUCCUGGACAGACUGUGCCAAAUUCAUGGCACCCCGGAGAAACCUGCGAACCACACGCAUAGAGAAUUUUGGGUCUUCAAGCAGGCCGGCAAAUUAAAAGCCAAACACAAGGGGAGGGAAACUCCAAGUGAAGACGAGGAUGAACCUCGCCAGCCGAACACUGGGGGACGGAAAAAAUUCCCGCCAGAGGUUAAAACAGUAAACAUGAUCCACGCGACUCACAAAUCCACGAUAGGGCACGAACGCGCGCUCGGAGACGCGCACGAUAUAGAGCUCAUUGUACCCACAUCUAACUACUGGACGUCUUAUCCGAUCACCUUCGAUCACACGGACGGUUGAACUAGUAUUCGGCGCGGAGGAUCAGAGGCCUUGGUGCUUGACCCAAUAAUCGAUGGAUACCGUCUCACCUGUGUCCUCAUGGACGGCGGAAGUAGUCUCAAUCUAAUAUACGAGGACACUGUCUGCAGGAUGAGGAUAAACCCAUCCAGGAUUAGCCAAAGCAACACCACCUUUGAAGGGGUGAUACCAGGCAUUGAAGCCUACGGCAGGGGCUCCGUCGUACUGGAGGUAACAUUUGGCUCCUCAGGCAACUCCAGAAGCAAAGAACUACUCUUCACCAUUGCACCCUUCCAAAGCGGCUAUCAUGCACUGCUUGGAAGAACGACCUUCGCCCGCUUCAACGCAUUGCCGCACUAUGGCUACCUUACACUCAAGAUGCCUGGUCCACGUGGCGUCAUCACCAUUAGCGGAAUCAUAGAGUGCUCUUCACGCGCAGAGGAACACAAGACGGCCCUGGCGGCCGGACUAUAAGCGGCCUCCAAUAUCAGAAAACAUGACUGGUCAUUAAGACCACAGACACGGUUAGACGACUCCGAUAGCCCGGAUAAAAUUAAACCAGGGCACCGUAUAUGUAAUCCCAUAGCGGACACCAGGGGCUAUAAAUAUUUAAUACAGCCCCAUACUUGGCUCAACCUUAUUGGCAGGCCAACAUCUUACACUUUUACUAUCCAUCGCAUAUUUACGUUGUACUCUCCUACGAGUUUUCCUUUUUCCACAGACAACGUUCGCGCGAUACCCUUCUAGGAUACGGCACAACAGAGACAAAGGCGCAGACGUGCAGCAGGGCCCCGUUCAACAGGUUUCUUUUUAGAUUAAGCCCCUGUGUAAACCUUUUCUAUUGCCUCUUGUUGUUUAACCAUCCCAUGGGUUCCAUACCCACAGAGGAUACUACCAUUAUUGGCAUUUCGCCACGACAGAUUACCGCACGUACCUGGAACACAGGGUUCAUAAUGAAUGGGCAUUCUUGAGCCCAUCUUCUGUUAUAAAGCCCGAAUACCUUCGGGAGUGUUCGGCGUCACGAGUUUGGCCUUAUAUGCAUCAGCUCCGAAUCAUAUCUUUGGUCAAAUAUUGGGUUUGCCCGACUCCUGGGUUUGCCGCCUUACGUUCCGUUAUUAUCAGCUAAGGCGGCCAAAGGAGAACUACUGCGAUUGUGCCCUGGUUAUUCUGGAUGAGCACCUCAGUAGAGAAAACCGAAAACUGACUGUCAUGAUGCAGCGAGAGACUGUUUAACCACUCGAAGACUCACCGGAAUCUUUAGGAUUCCUCCGCAUUAACGAAGGGCCGUUUCCGGGCCAUGUACAUACGUGCCCGUAUUCGGAUGCACGCGAAGGUACGAGGGGCUACAUAGUAGCCCCACCUUUAGACUUCCACGGCUAAGCGAAAGUGUUACAGCUAUAUAGUCCGGUUGCCUAGUUCGACGUGCGAUCACCUCCUUAAUGGACCAAGACGUUGGAUCAAGUGUGAUUAAGCAUAUUUUUCACGAACACCCCCGCAUUGUAUGCGUGGGGGCUGAAGCCAACGACUGCUAACUUUCGGAUUACUUAUAUACAUAUAUAAAAACGGACGCACAGGGGACACAAUCAUCUUUUCAGGAAAAAAGUAUAAAUAUAGCCUCAUAGUCAAAAUAAACAUUGUUUUACAAUGAUUCGAUUUAUCACUCGAACAAGACAUUCUUCGAGCACUGCGCCUCUAUUAGCCGGGCACCUUCCGUGACCUGCGCCAAGUAGUGCUCGGCCGGAUAUUGGCCUCCCGCCGGAUCCUGGGUCGCUACAAUGGUGGCCUUCAUAUCCGUCCAAUAGGCUUUAACACGGGCAAGAGCCAUUCGUGCACCCUCUAUGCACGCCGACCUCCUCAUGGCAUUGAUCCGAGGCACGACCCCAAGGAAUUGUUGCACCAAACCAAAGUAGUUGUCCGGCUUAGGCCCCUUCGACCAAAGAUGGUCUAUUACAGACCGCAUUGCAAGCCCGGACAGCCUGUGAAGCUCCGCCACAGCAGCCAUCUUCUCAUUUAACGGUAGAGGGCGAGUGGGAGCAUUGAAUUGCGAACAUAAAAGCUUCUCCACUUCCUUAUCACCUUGAUCCUUGAAGAACUUGGCAGCGUCAGCCGUGCUAUUCGCCAAGUCCGCAUAUGCGUCGGCCGGACUCCAGCGUCCAUCCAGGGGAGCAUCCUUCGGAUCCAAAAACUUCGUUCGUAGUAAGUAGGAGCCCCCAGCCACGAUUUUGUUGGCCUGUUGGAGCUCCUCCCGCAUACCCCGGAUCUCAGUCCGCAUCUCCUUGGUGGCAUUAAGUGCCUUGUCCAGCUCGGCCGAGCUAGCCUUAUUCUCCUUUUCAAGGAGUACAUACCGGUCGGCGGCAUUUUUUUAACUCCACAGCCAUUUCGGCUAUCUUUUCCUCGCUUCGGCGAUGAGCAGCCUGUUCGGCUCUCAAUUCUUCGGCCGCCUUUAGGGCAGCCGCAUUGCUAGCCCGAGCUUGUUCCUUGGCCUGAGCAAGUUCCUCCCCCAGGGCCUCCACAGCAGCAGCAGCAUCUGCAGUACAAACACAUUGCAUUAAUAUUAUGCCCCUCUCACAUUUUCCUAUACAACAUAAUAAGGGAAGCAGAGCGCAUACCCUGUGACUCGUCCAGCCGUUUGUUCACCAGCAUGAUAUCGGCAUCGAUAGAUCUGAUCUGCCUUCUUAGUUCGGCAACUUCAACAGACUGGUCGGCUGCCGGAUCAUUAGAUACCUGCGCACAUGUACAACACAGCCAUUACUAUAUGAUCCCCCGUUUGCCGCCUAUGGUGGGCAACCAGAGUCUCAGGGGCUACUAUCCAUAUGGAGCACACCUAGCGCAUGCCACACAGCCAAAAAAUAGUGCAUUUUUACUAAAUACCUCAAAGCCUCUGAGCAGGCUCGUAAAUGCCUCAUUCAAACCGCUUGUAGAGGAUGAAAUCUUCUUAAGCACCGCACUCAUUAAUGAGCGGUGCUCCGCCGAGAGCGCAGCUCGCUCCAGAAGACCUGUCAGUACGUCCGGCCGGGCAUCGAACUGUGUCGGACCCUUCUCAUCGCCCCCCGUGGGAGCCAAACGCUCCGGGCUCAGGGCGACUGACGUAAUGGCCUCCGGCUUCGGUAGAUCCGAACUCCUCCGUGACGACACCUCAGUGUCGCCCGCUUCAUGAGGCGGAGAGGUGGGUGGGGUCUCGCUCUCCAUCAUCUCCGGAGGAAGAUCCCCCGAAGACGAAUUCUGUUGAGGAGAGCUGCUAGCCGGACUGCAAAAGACGAAUCCUGGUUAUUGAUCUUGGAGAAACGCAGUACCCUCGGAAUAGUGAUUAACUUACAGCUUGGUCGAGGGCUGGCCCGUUGGCGGGCGUGACAUGGUGAGAACGCCCAUCGAGAUAGAGCCCCCCGGGGACACUUUCUUCCCCUGUUUGGGCAUCUCCGUCUCCAAGUCUUCGGAGGCGGCCCUUUUCUUCCCGCGCGGGGAGGUGGCCUCAGAUUCCCCUCCCCGACUAUCCUCCUUUGGGGAGAAAUCAAUUCCCUCGGUCUGAAUGCGUAGUGUGUGAAGUCCGGCUUCGCUGCCCUUUCCUUUGCCUUUCCCUGAGGGAAUUUUGCUAAGCACCCGGCCAAGCAUCUUGGCAACGGUUGGACUCGGCGAGCCUUCAGGAAGUGGCGCCGGACACCUGAUUCUCUUCGCCUUGUUGAGCCAUUCCUGGCCACGGAGGGUUUUUCAGAACAAUGGUUAUGGCAAAUAUAAACAGAGUGUUCGGCUUUAAGGUUACUUACUUGGGUAUCUAGGCGAUUGCAGCUUAGGCCUGCAUCCUCGGUGGUGUCCAGACACUUUACUUGUGGUCCAAAGAAUAAUUUACACAUCCCUUUGAGCUUCAGGCCGAAGAAGUGCUUAAUAGUCUGUGGACCCUCCAGAUUGAACUCCCACAUCCGGAGAGGCCGACGUUUGCACGGCAACAUCCGUCGGAUUAGAAUUACUUGAAUUAUGCUGACAAGAUUUAUGCCCCUCUCGAUAAGCUCCCGGAUAUGGCUCUGCAGUAUUGGAACAUCACUGGCGGGCCCCCAAUUCCGUCCUACGUCGGUCCAUGACGCCAACUGUGACGGAGGGCCCGAACGGAACUCGUGGGCGGCUACCCACUUUGUGCCUCUGGGAGCUAUAACAUACAACCACCUCCGUUGCCACACAUCAGAUACUUCCGGGAAAGAACCCUCCGGCCAUGGGGCAUCGGCGUUCCUGCUUAUUAUGGCCCCUCCGCACUCUGCAUGUCGCCCCUCGAUCAUCUUCGGCUUCACAUUGAAGGUCUUGAGCCAUAAGCCAAAGUGUGGGGUGACGUGGAGAAAAGCCUCGCACACAAUAAUGAACUACGAGAUAUGGAGGAUAGCGUCCGGAGCCAGAUCAUGAAAAUCCAACCCAUAGUAGAACACGAGCCCCCUCACAAAGGGGUCGAGGGUGAGGCCCAGGCCGCGGAGGAAGUGAGGGACAAACACAACGCUCUCUUUGGGCUCCGGUGUAGGGAUAACCUGCCCUGGAACAGGAAGCCUGUGCUGGAUAUCGACGGUCAGGUAUCCGACCUCCCUAAGCCUCGUAAUGUCCUCCUCUUGGAUCGAGGAGGCCACCCAUUGGCCUUUAGGGUUGGAUCCAGACAUAUUGGAGGAUCUGGGGUGUUGGAGCUUAGGUCUUGGGUGUUGAGCUUGAGGUGCGAGAAGGUGCAGGGGAGGUGGAAAAGAGGCAUAGGCCUUGAUCCCUUUAUAAAGGGGGUGAAUAUCAAGAGUCCUCAGCGUGACCACUUGAGACUUAUCCAAAAAUACACAGAGUCAUACCAACGGUCGUCGUGGGGUCACGCACGCCCAUAUUGAUGGAAAAUCCCGUAAUAAGAGGAACACAAUCUCUGCUUUGGCAGGACGUGCCAAUAAAACCGCCUCGCUGCGCGAGUCGAGGUGGGGAGAGAAAUGCCGGUUCGUGUUGGACCAGGCCAUGAUGCAAGGGCACGGUGUACGAAGAUCGCCAGUAGAUCAGAUUUACGCUAUGUUCCCUACAAUGAAAUGUGAAAAUCAUCUUGUGGAUCCGGACACGGUCUACGUGUUCGAUAAUUACUUUGGAGUAUUCGGAGAAGGAACCCGCCUUGCAAUGCUGAAGACAAGACUGCGUGCCGGACUCAUCGUCAUUGAAGCCUGGUUCAGGGGCUACUGAGGGAGUCCUGGAUUAGGGGGUAUCCAGACAGCCGGACUAUAUACAUCGUCCGGACUAUUUAAGCGUGAAGAUACAAGACUCAAGACCUCGUCCCGUGUCCGGAUGGGACUCUCCUUUGCGUGGAAGGCAAGCUUGGCGAUCCGGAUAUUGUGUUUCCUUCCUUGUAACCGACUCCGCGUAAACCCUAGCCCUCUCCCGUGUCUAUAUAAACCGGAGAGGUUGGUCCUUAGAAGGCCGAUCACGAUUACAAUCAUACCAUCAUAGGCUAGCUCUUAGGGUUUAGCCUCUACGAUCUCGUGGUAGAUCUACUCUUGUACUACUCAUAUCUUCGAUAUUAAUCAAGCAGGAAGUAGGGUUUUACCUCCAUCGAGAGGGCCCGAACCUGGGUAAACAUUGUGUCCCUUGCUUCCUGUUACCAUCAGCCUAAGAUGCACAGAUCGGGACCCCCUACCCGAGAUCCGCCGGUUUUGAUACCAACACCUAUUGCAGGAGCAGAUGCAGACGUUAUGAACGUUUGGCUAGCUCAAUAUGAUGACUACUUGAUAGUUUAGUGCACCAUGCUUUACGGCUUAGAACCAGGACUUCAAAAAUGUUUUGAACGCUGCGGAGCAUAUGAGAUGUUCCAAAAGCUGAAAUUGGUAUUUCAGACUCAUGCCCGUGUCAAGAGGUAUGAGACCUCUGACAAAUACUUCGCCUAAAAGAUGGAGGAGAAUUGCUCAGCUAGUGAGCAUGUGCUCAUAAUGUCUGGGUACUACAAUUGCUUGAAUCAAGUGGGAGUUAAUCUUCCAGAGAAGAUAGUGAUUGACAAAGUUCUCUAGUCACCAUCACCAAGUUACUGGAACUUCAUGAUGAACUAUAGUAUGCAAGGGAUGACGAAAACAAUUCCCGAGCUCUUCAUGAUGCGGAAAUCGACGAAGGUAGAACUCAAGAAAGAGCAUCAAGUGUUGAUGAUUGACAAGACCACUAGUUUCAAGAAAAGGGCAAAGGGAAGAAGGAGAACUUCAAAAAGAAUGGCAAUCAAGUUGUCACUCCCGUGAAGAAGCCCAAAGCUGGACCUAAACCUGAAACUAAGUGCUUCUACUGCAAAGUAAAUGGUCACUGGAAGCGGAAGUACCCCAAAUAUUUGGCGAAUAAGAGGGAUGGCAAAGUGAACAAAGGUAUAUUUGAUAUACAGUUUAUUGAUGUGUACCUUACUAGUGUUCAUAGUAGCCCCUGGGUAUUUGAUAUUUGUUCGGUUGCUAAGAUUAGUAACUCAAAACAAGAGUUACGGAAUAAAUAGAGACUAGUUGAGGGUGAAGUGACGAUGUGUGUUGGAAGUGGUUCCAAGAUUGAUAUGAUCAUCAUCGCACACUCCCUAUACUUUCGAGAUUACUGUUGAACCUAAAUAAAUGUUAUUUGGUGUUUGCAUUGAGCAUAAAUAUGAUUAGAUCAUGUUUAUUGCGAUACGAUUAUUCAUCUAAGACAGAGAAUAAUUGUUAUUCUGUUUACAUGAAUAAACCUUCUAUGGUCAUACACCCAAUGUUGAUGGUUUAUUGAAUCUUGAUCGUAGUGAUACACAUAUUCAUAAUAUUGAUGCCAAAAGAUGCAAAGUUGAUAAUGAUAGUGCAACAUAUUUGUGGCACUACUGUUUAGGUCAUAUUGGUGUAAAGCGCAUGAAGAAACUCCAUGAUGAUGGGCUUUUGGAAUCACUUAAUUAUGAAUCAUUUGAUACUUGCAAACCGUGCUUUAUGGGCAAGAUGACUAAAACUCUGUUCUACGGAACAAAGGAACAAGCUAAUAACUUAUUGGAAAUAAUACAUACCGAUGUAUAUGGUCCAAUGAGUGUUGAGGCUCGUGGCAGGUAUCGUUAUUUUCUGACCUUCACAGUUGAUUUGAGCAGAUAUGGGUAUAUCUACUUAAUGAAACACAAGUCUGAAACAUUUAAAAAGUUCAAAGAAUUUCAGAGUGAAGUGGAGAAUCAUCGUAACAAGAAAAUAAAAGUUUCUACGAUCUAAUCGUGAGGAGAAUAUUUGAGUUACGAGUUAUGCCUUCAUUUAAAACAAUGUGGAAUAGUUUCACAUCCCACGCCACCUCGAACACCACAGCGUACCGAACAUCGUAACCGCACUUUAUUGGAUAUGGUGCAAUCUAUGAUGUCUCUUACCGAUUUACCACUAUUGUUUUGGGGUUAUGCAUUAGAGAUACCUGCAUUCACUUUAAACAUGGCACCAUCAAAAUCCGUUGAGACGACUCCGAACUAUGGUUUAACAAGAACCUAAGUUGUCAUUUCUUAAAGUUUGGGGCUGCGAUGCUUAUGUGAAAAAGCUUCAACCUGAUAAGUUCGAACCCAAACCACAGAAAUGUAUCUUCAUAGGAUACCCAAAAGAAACUUUUGGGUACACCUUCUAUCACAGAUCUGAAGGCAAGUUAUUCAUUGCUAAGAAUGGAUCCUUUCUAGAGAAGGAGUUUUCUCUCGAAAGAAGUGAGUGGGAGGAAAAUAGAACUUGAUGAGGUAAUUCUACCUUCUUCCAAAUUGGAAAGUAGUUCAUCACAGAAAUCAGUUCCAGUGAUUCCUACACCAAUUAGUGAGGAAGCUAAUGAUGAUGAUCAUUAAACUUCUGAUCAAGUUACUACCAAACCUCGUAGGUCAACCAAAGUACGAUCCGCACCAGAGUGGUACAGUAAUCCUAUUCUGGAAGUCAUGUUACUAGACCAUGAUGAACCUACAAACUAUGAGGAAGCGAUGAUGAUCCUAGAUUCUGCGAAAUGGCUUGAGGCCAUGAAAUCUGAGAUGGGAUCCAUGUAUGAGGACAAAGUGUGGACUUUGGUGGACUUGCCCGAUGAUCGACAAGCCAUUAAGAAUAAAUGGAUCUUCAAGAGGAAGACGGACGGUGGUAGUAGUGUUACUAUCUACAAAGCUCAAUUUGUCGCAAAAGGUUUUCGACAAGUUCAAGGAGUUGAGUAUGAUGAGACUUUCUCAGUCAUAGUGAUGCUUAAGUCUGUCCGAAUCAUGUUAGAAAUUGCUGCAUUUUAUGAUUAUGAAAUUUGGCAAAUGGAUGUCAAAAAUGCAUUCUUGAAUGGAUUUCUGGAAGAAGAGUUGUAUAUGAUGCAACCAGAAGGUUUUGUCGAUCCAAAGGGUGCUAACAAAGUGUGCAAGCUCCGGCGAUCCAUUUAUGGACUCGUGCAAGCCUCUCGGAGUUGGAAUAAAUGCUUUGAUAGUGUGAUCAAAGCAUAUGGUUUUAUACAGAUUUUUCGAGAAGCCUGUAUUUACAAGAAAGUGAGUGGGAGCUCUGUAGCAUUUCUAAUAUUAUAUGUGGAUGACAUAUUGUUGAUUGGAAAUGAUAAAGAAUUUCUGGCUAGCAUAAAGGGAUGCUUUAUAAGAGUUUUUCAAUGAAAGACCUCGGUGAAGUUGCUUACAUAUUGGGCAUCAAGAUCUAUAGAGAUAUAUCAAGACGCUUGAUAAGAUUUUUCAAUGAGUAAAUACCUUGACAAGUUUUUGAAAGAGUUCAAAAUGGAUCAGUCAAAGAAGGAGUUCUUGUCUGUUUUACAAGGUGUAAAGUUGAGUAAGACUCAAAGCCCGACCAUGGCAGAAGAUUGAAAGAGAAUGAAAGUCAUUCCCUAUGCCACAGUCAUAGGUUCUAUAAAGUAUGUUCUGCUGUGUACCAGACCUAUUGUGCACCUUGUCAUGAGUUUGGCAAGGGGGUACAAUAGUGAUCUAAGAGUAGAUCACUGGACAGCGGUCAAAAUUAUCCUUAGUGAGGACUAAGGAAAUGUUUCUUGGUGAUGGGGGUGAUAAAGAGUUCGUCAUAAAGAGUUACGUCGAUGCAAGCUUUUUCAGCGAUCCAGAUGACUCUGAGUCUCAAUCUGGAUACAUAUUGAAAGUGGGAGCAAUUAGCUAGAGUAUCUCCAUGCAGAGCAUUGUAGACAUAGAAUAUUUGCAAAAUACAUACGGCUCGGAAUGUGUCAGAGCUAUUGACUAAACUUCUCUCACGAGCAAAACAUGAUCACACCUUAGUACUCUUUGGGUGUUAAUCACAUAGCGAUGUGAACUAUAUUAUUGACACUAGUAAACCCUUUGGGUGUUGGUCACAUGGCGAUGUGAACUAUGAGUGUUAAUCACAUACAGAUAUGAACUAUUUAUGUCAAAUCACAUGGCGAUGUGAACUAGAUUAUUGACUCUAGUGCAAGUGGGAGACUGAAGGAAAUAUGCCCUAAAGGCAAUAAUAAAGUUAUUAUUUAUUUCCUUAUUUCAUGAUAAAUGUUUAUUAUUCAUGCUAGAAUUGUAAACCAGAAACUUAGUACAUGUAUGAAUACAUAGACAAAACAUAGUGUCCCUAGUAUGCCUCUACUUGACUAGCUCAUUAAUCAAAGAUGGUUAUGUUUCCUAACCAUAGACAUGUGUUGUCAUUUGAUGAACAAGAUCACAUCAUUAGGAGAAUUAUGUGAUGGACAUGACCCAUCCGUUAGCUUAGCAUUAUAAUUGUAUCAGUUUCAUUGCUACUGCUUUCUUCAUGACUUAUACAUGUUCCUCAGACUAUGAAAUUAUGCAACUCCUGAAUACCGGAGAAACACUUUGUGUGCUAUAAAACAUCACAACGUAAAUGGGUGAUUAUAAAGAUGCUCUACAGGUGUCUCCAAAGGUGUUUAUUGGGUUGGCAUAGAUCGAAAUUAGGAUUUUUCACUCCGUGUUUCGGAGAGGUAUCUCUGGGCCCUCUCGGUAAUGCUUAUCACUAUAGGUCUUGCAAGCAAUAUGACUAAUGAGUUAGUUGCGGGAUGAAGUUUUACGGAACGAGUAAAGAGACUUGCUGUUAACGAGAUUGAACUAGGUAUGAUGAUACCGACGAUCUAAUCUCGGGCAAGUAACAUACCAGUGACAUAGGGAACAACGUAUGAUGUUAUGCGGUUUGCCGAUAAAGAUCUUCAAAGAAUAUGUGGGAACCAAUAUGAGCAUCCUGGUUCCGCUAUUGGUUAUUGACCGGAGAUGUGUCUCGGUCAUGUCUACAUAGUUCUCGAACCCGUAGGGUUCGCACGCUUAAUGUUCGAUGACGAUUUGUAUUAUGAGUUAUGUGAUUUGAUGAACCAAAGUUUGUUCGGAGUACCGGAUGAGAUCGCGGACAUGACGAGGAGUCUUGAAAUGGUCGAGACAUAAAAAUUGAUAUAUUGGAAGGCUAUAUUCGGACAUCGGAAUGGUUCCGGAGAAGUUCGGGUAUUUUCGGGAANNNNNNNNNNNNNNNNNNNNNNNNNNNNNNNNNNNNNNNNNNNNNNNNNNNNNNNNNNNNNNNNNNNNNNNNNNNNNNNNNNNNNNNNNNNNNNNNNNNNNNNNNNNNNNNNNNNNNNNNNNNNNNNNNNNNNNNNNNNNNNNNNNNNNNNNNNNNNNNNNNNNNNNNNNNNNNNNNNNNNNNNNNNNNNNNNNNNNNNNNNNNNNNNNNNNNNNNNNNNNNNNNNNNNNNNNNNNNNNNNNNNNNNNNNNNNNNNNNNNNNNNNNNNNNNNNNNNNNNNNNNNNNNNNNNNNNNNNNNNNNCACAAGGUGCUGAUGCGCCCCCCUUGGGCAGGAGGCUGAUUAGGACUAGGAGAAGGCCCACCCCUUUCCUUCUCCUUCUCCCUUCCCCCUUUCCUACUCCGUGUGGGAGGUGGAAUCCUACUAGGACUAGGGAGUCCUAGUAGGACUCCACACCUUGGCACGCCCUCCCUAGGUCCAGCUUACUCUCCCUCUCCCUCCUUUAUAUACGGGGGCAGGGGGCACCCUAGAACACACAAAUUGAUCUUUUAGCCGUGUGCGGUGCCCCCCUCCACAGUUACACACCUCAGUCAUAUCGUCGUAGUGCUUAGGCGAAGCCCUGCACUGGUAACUUCAUCAUCACCAUCGCCACGCCGUCGUGCUGACAAAACUCUCCCUCGGCCUCAACUGGAUCAAGAGUGUGAGGGACGUCGUCGAGAUGAACGUGUGCUGAACACGGAGGUGUCGUACGUCCGGUACUUGGAUCGGUUUGAUCGCGAAGACGUUCGACUACAUCAACCGUGUUAACUAGCGCUUCCGCUUUCGGUCUACGAGGGUACAUGGACACACUCUCCCCUCUCGUUGCUAUGCAUCAUAUAGAUAGAUCUUGCGUGAUCGUAGGAAAUUUUUGAAAUUACCGCGUUCCCCAACAGAAAGUCAAUAGUUCUGCAAUGAAAUUACAUCCUACUUAUGGUGCAUUAUUCGUUGUUACUUAUGCUUAAUGCUUGGGUAUGAGAUUUUUUGUUUCUUGGUUGGGCGCCUCUCAAUCUUUUUGCUAGCCUUCAUUUUGCACUAAGUAUGAUCACUACUUGUGCAUCCAAAACCAUUUAAACAAGUUUUGCCAUAUGAGUCCACUAUAUCUACCUAUAUGUGGUAUUUCCGUGCCGUUCUAAGCAAAUUUGCAUGUGCCAUCUCAAAUUUUCAAAAUAAAUUUCUCUUUUGUGUGCUCGUACCGCUCGCGAGGCGGUGAGGGGUGGCCGAUAUUUUCAAAUGUGUUAUUCUCACGAUGAGUGUUUAUUCACUUGCCAUUGCACGAGAGUACGACAAAGGUAUUAGGGAUGCCCAGUCCCGAAAUGAAAAAAAUGAAUUUACUUUAUGUUGUCAAAUAAUAAAUUCCUUGAAAAGUGUUGGUAUGGAGGGCACCCGUGGAUACUGACAAGCCUUGGAAAGUGAAAGUAUGGUGGAAAAAGUAAUAAACUUUAUUUUCUGUUUGGGAACCACCUAUGAUGUAUCUAGCAUGGAAAGUGUUGGGAGCUCUAAGUCGUUUUGUGGCACCAUUACCUGAAAGGGAUGACAACCCCUUUAACACGUCGGGUUGCGAGUAUUUGUUAUUUGUGUGCAGGGGUUGUUUGCGUUGUGUUUCUUGGUUCUCCUACUGGUUCGAUAACCUUGGUCUCAUCACUGAGGGAAAUACCUACCGUCGUUGUGCUGCAUCAUCCCUUCCUCUUUGGGUAAAUACCGACGUAGUUCAAGUAGACAUCAGUUGGUAUGCAUUUUCAUAUUCCUUUCUCCGAUAGAAAUCUUGGGAUACUUUUGAAGUUCUUUGUGUUGGAUUGAAUAUUAUGAAUCUGAAGUUGUUUGAUGCAUAUCGUAUAAUUGACACACGAAUACUAUUGGUUAUAUUGGAGUAUCUAGGUGACAUUAGGGUUGAUUGAUGUGUGUCAUAUGGUGUUAUUUUAGUACGAACUCUAGGGUUGUUUGUGACACUUAUAGGAAUAGCCCAAUAGAUCGAUCAGAAAGAAUAACUUUGAGGUGGUUUCGUACCCUACAAGCAAUUUCAUCUUAUGUUCUGCGCGAUAGGAACUUUGGAGUGAUUCUUCGUUGCACGUUGAGGAAUUGACAUAUGAUCUAAUUAUGUUAUCAUUGUUGAGAGAACUUGCACUAGUCAAAGUAUGAACCCUAGUCCUUGUUUCCAAGAAUUGCAAUACCAUUUUUGCUCACUUUUAUUACUAGUUACCUUGCUGUUUUUAUAUUUUCAGAUUACAAAAACCUAUAUCUACCAUCCAUAUUGCACUUGUAUCACCAUCUCUUCGUCGAACUAGUGGACCUAUGCAAUUUACCAUUAUAUUGGGUGUGUUGGGGACACGAGAGACUCUUUGUUAUUUGGUUGGAGGGUUGUUUGAGAGAGACCAUCUUCAUCCUACGCCUCCCACAGAUUGAUAAACCUUAGGUCAUCCACUUGAGAGAAAUUUUCUACUGUCCUACAGAACUCUGCACUUGGAGGCCCAACACGAGUCUACAAGAAGAAGGUUGCGUAGUAGACAUCAGCCACCGGCCCCUCCUCCUUCGCCCCUUCCCUCGCCGCCGCCGGUAGUCCCUACUGGACGAAGCCCUGACGUGUGUUGGCAGCGACGAGGACGCCCCACUCCUCCUUCCCCUUCCUCGCUCCCCGUGCCGCUCCUCCCGAACCCCAGCGCCUCAGAUGCACCGUCAUCGGUUAUCCUUGCUCUCCGUCAUCCAGCUUGGGUGGCCGGCCUGGAGUUCGCUGUCAGCGGCGAGGUAGGCCCACAUCUAGCCAUGCCCGUGGUGCGGGGCUACCAUCCCUCGAGCUCGUCUCUACCCAUAUCCAACUGGAGGUCGGUUCGUUGAUCCAAAGAGGCUACGACUAGGGGGUUGGCCGGUACUGCCCGUCCAGGGGGGAUGGGCCUGGUUUUCGGGGGGAUCUCAUGUCUCCUAAGAUAAAUCGGCCACGUGGUGGCCCUCGUGCUCUUCGCGUGAAGUCCCUGUUCUACAUGUGAUCAAUGCUCUUUGAUCUGGCCAUCAGUGAGUUCCGAACAUCUCCUUCGAAGGAAAACAAGGACUAGUAUAUAUGACGCUUUUUUGGACACCUUGAUUGCAUAAGGGCACAUCGUGACAUGUUUUUUUCUCUCUUAUUAUUUUAUUUUUUGGCCGUGCGCAUCCUGGAUGUUCUUACGAGUCUUGUUGGUGCAUAGGCUGAGCGUAAUUGGUAUCUACUUGAUAUUAAUAUAUUCCCCAUUAAAAAAAUCUUUAUCCAUUAGGCUUAAUAAGCUAUAAUAACAUAUACAAGCAAAAUUAGUAACAACUAGGCACUAGUUGGGAGAUUAGCACAUCUGGAAUUGUACAACUAGGAAGAAAUAGGCAAAGUGCCACAAUAUGGAAGUAAUGCAAAUGUUACUUUAAUUCGUGCUUAUGUUUAAGAAAACAUACAUGUCCUUUCGGUGCAUGUUACAGGGCAAAAAUAGGAACAAAAAUACGAUUUCUUGCACCUGCCAUCUAAACACUUACAUCCAAUACAAGAUCCUCAACUUUAAUUAAUUGGUCUCCUUGAUAAUAGUAUGUGUAGAGCCUUAGCUUCUUCACAAGGAUUAGUGUUAUUACUCGUUUGUUUAUCUCCUGAAAUAAAUGCACCAGUCUCUGUUUGACCCGCACACUUUGUAUUUUGAACAACAAAAACUAGUUGUUCAUCAUUGUAGCUUGGCCGCACGUACUCUAAUAUAUAUGCAGCAUAUUUUCGGACAACACCAACUUUAGGCGAAACAUCGACGAUCCCGGUAUUUAUAUUACAUGGGGUCAUAUCACAAUGAGAAGGCCAUGCCACUCUAGAAAAGUAUAAAUGACUCCUUUAACUUGAUGACUGCCAUCCUCAUGUGAAGUCAAUUAAAAAGAUUCCUUCCAUUUUUUCAGCCCAUAUGUAUUUUAUGUAAAUAAUAAUUCCAUGUAGAAUCAAACUUAUUUAAUUCUGGAUGGGCAAACUAUUUUCAAUAGCACUGCCAAUGAAUUAACAUAUCUGAAUAGUCUGAUCUAUCUUAGUUAACUGCUCAAAAUUCCGUGCAUACCCUGACCAAACUGCAUGCAAGGGUGAACUGAUUGUUAUCUUUAGCGGAGCAUCCAGCAUCUUCACAAAUGCAAUGGAGAAACAAAAACAACAUAAGAGAUAAUUACUCCCUCCGUUCCUAAAUAAUUGUCUUUCUAGUGAUUUCAACAAGUGACUACAUACAAAGCAAAAUAAAUAAAUCUACACUCUAAGACAUGUCUACAUACAUCCGUAUGUUGUAGUCCAUUUGAGAUGGCUAGAAAGACAAUUAUUCGGGAACGGAGGGAGUAAUUAACAAUCCGACAACUAACUAGCAAUACUUUUGUUGAAUAGCCGUUGCGCGUGAGUAAACAUGGCACAAGAGAUAGAAACACCUCGUUAUUUGUGGUUUGUACCAAUCAAAUAUUGAAGAAACUGUCGUGUCAGGAAAGACUUGCAAGCCGAGCGCAACUAAUCAAUUCGUUGAGAGAGCAAGGUAGUGGCAAAUUAUAUAUUUAAAGUUCAGGAUAUUUAAUGAGUGAUUACAAAAGAUCCACAUUUGCCACAACCAGAAUCACCAUCAGGAUUCAAGAGGACGCGGCAUCAGGAAUUGACCAAGACUUAAUCAAACCUUCGCAAUUGCUCACCUACUUUGAUCGUUGCCUCAUCUUUUGGCACUUCCUCUUGAGCCUCGUCAUUCUCUUGUUCUUCCACUGCACAUUAUUUCAAACGCAAUGUACAAUAUAAUUUGCAUGUAAAUAGUGCAAGGCAGGACACCAAAUGCAAUGUACUUUAUUUGUUGGAAACAAGAGUAUUGGGUGUUCGGAUUUAAUUCUCAUUGUGUGUGGUCAGUUUUGUUAAAUGAACAAACAAAAAGCAAUAAUAAAGAAAAAUAAUAAGGACAUGUCCUGCAAUCUAGUAUUUGGCAAAUGACAAGAUUGUAACAAUGUGAUGAAUCUUUGCAACAAAAGGGAGUACUUAUAUAUGCAUUUGACAUUCAAGAACAUGAGUUAUUAAACCAAAAAUGGAAUAGUAAAGUUAAAAGACUAAGGGCUAGUUCUUUUGGAGCUUAUGGCUGGCUGUGGAAAUAAGUUGCCCCUCCUUACUUAUAGCAGGCUUAUAAAAUGAAAUUUUAGGUUGAGCUUCUAGGGGCAGCUUAUUUCCACACCCAGCCAUAGGCCAAAAAAAAAACUAGACCUAAGCAUGUUCCCUGAGAAAUGCUUCAAUCGUCCACAUGGUGUAAUAGAAUGGAUUAAAUCAGACUCAUCGUCUGUGAAAUAGCAGUAAAUACAGAGAAGCUGAAAGUGACAAUAAGUGGUAGAACGAAUACAUUGUUGCCAUCAGUUCUUGGAGCCAUGAUGUUCAUCAGUUGGUAUUUUAUUCAAACUGACCACCAUUGUUAAUCUCAACCAAUUCAUUCCCAUGUCUAAGAUCAAAUUACCGCAUGGUGCUUAAGCAAUAAAUCAAGUUCAGUUGUUCAACUGAGGCUCCAAUUCACUGGCAGCUACCAAUGCUGGAAGUGUCACUGGUUCAACUUUUGUUUCCCUUGUGAGGUAAAAAGAAAAUUAAUGAACCUGCAAAUAUCUGCAAUGUUCCUGGUAUUUGUUCAUCUCGGAGCAAAGAAAAGGACCUGUCACACCGCAAAAAGAUAAAAUAACUGACACAACAAAUGCAGGGCCAAAAGGCACAUUUCAGAGUACCUCAAGGAUAAUAGGUGCAUAAAAUUCAGUCACAAACACAUAUAAUCCUCACAUUACAUAAAACUCAGUACUGGAACAUAGCCAGACUAGUAUUAAACAACUAAAUUUGACCAAACACAGGUAAAAGCAACUUCCACAGCCAAAACAACAGAACAAAUCAAGAAUCACUAGACAAUGCCAUCACCCCUCAGAGUUCCGCUGCCUGGAUGCAAGAUGAUGCUUACGGCCUACUUGGAUCGCUGCCUCAUCUUUCGGCGCUUCCUCUUGAGCCUCCUCAUCCUCUUCUUCUUCCACUGCAAAUUACAGCAACAAUGCCUAGCAUCAGCAUAAAUUGCAUGGGUGCUAUAGAAGAUGCUUAGGAACAUAACAAGUUUUCCAGAUGAAAAGGAACAGAAAGUACAACUUGUUUUGGAAUCAGAAGAUUGAGUGUUUCAUUGGAUAUCAUCACGUGAUUUUCAGAAACACGGACCAAUUGUUCUUCAUCAUUUCCCAGACUAAAGUCGAUUUCAAAGGCAAAUAGGAAUCAAUUAUGCUAAGAUAUCCAAAGAACUAGCUAAGCAAAGUAUAGAUCUGCAGUCGGUUUGACAUUCAGAAUGAGUAGGAGGAUUUUAUCAUCAAAUAGAUCGGACAACAAUUGUCUUCCUCAUCAUGCCAACGACGCAAUUAUACCCAAAAAAACAGUGGAAAAAUGAGCUAAACAAUCAGAGUUCUCUCAGACAAAUGCCUCGAUUGUCCACAUGGUGUAAUAGAAUGGAUUACAUCAGACUCGUAAUCUGUUUUAAUCAUCACAGAGACUAUGGACAAACUAAAACAGCCAAAAAAACACAUAAAUCUGGCUAACAUAACUAGAGGCAGUAAUUAGAUCUAAUAGAGGGAGCAAAUCUGGUCGAAAUAGCAGCGGUUCCCUCAGACAAAUGCCUCAUUUUUGUCCCCACGGUUGGAUGGCAUGGAUUGGAUCUGACAUCUAAUCAGUGUUGAUCAUCACAGAAAACCACUAAUCACGCAAGCAACAGCGAGAACGAACACUCUAUAAACACUAGCACAUGUCCAGAUCUAACGCGGUCGCGAAGCAGCUAACAGGAGAGAAAGGUAGACGAAGGGCAGUAAGAACCUUGGCCCUCAUCGCGGCGGCGGUGUCGGCCUCGCUCUCCGGUUCGCGGCGGUGGUGGCGGCGGGAGUGUGUGGACGAACCCGAUCUCCGUAGAUUGUUGGCGGCGGGGCUCUCGCCUCGUACUUAUACGGGCUGGGUGCUGAAGAGGGGAAAACCCUAGCGGGAUCGGACGCGUGGACGGCUCGGAUCAGCCAGUGAACGGCGUUCUGAUCCGAUUAGUUCCUCUGGUUUCUGGGCCUGUUGGGCCUCCAAACAACGCAUAGGCCCACGCUAACAUUUGACUGGACUUGAUUUCCUGAAUGGGGAAAAAAGAAACUUGACCAGUCUUUACUUUUAUUCUCUUUUUUUUUACUUAAAAAAAAGAGUAGCGUUCCUUUUUCUGCCAGACGGAGUGAUUCGUCCAACAUUUUUUUAUAACCAUUCCUUGGGAACCGCCUUAAUCAUCUCAUCUUUUUGGUUCAAAAAUAUCGUCUCAUCUUUUAUUGACUUAUCAAAUAAAUUAUAUUUUCUUUCAUAAGUCAAAAUAAGUGAUUACAAAAUAAAAUCAUGAGCAAGAUUUGUUAAGUAUUUAUUUACACAAUCACGUAACAUAAAGUUGUAAAUUAUGGGAUAAUGAUGGCGCUGGUGCGCAACUGUUGGUGCAGCACAUUCACCAUUAAUUAUACUAUUUUUAACACAGUAUAAACGUAAGCGCUCGUAUAUAUAUGCGCAUAUAUUCAUCCAUAUGAACACACACACGCACACCCUAUCCCUAUGAGCAUCUCUGAAAGACUGAGUCAGCAUAUUAUCUAAAUUUUACAAAGUCAUCAUAGGCGUUUAUCCAGAAUAAAUGCAAGCACCAGGACUUGAAUACUAAUAGGCUGAGAAUACUAUUGUCCUUCUAACCAUUCAACCACAUAUUGUUUCGCCAGGACUAAUCAUACUGAUGUAGCCAAGUCUUGUUUAAAAACUAGGGACCAAACUUCGUCCCAUAUAGUUGAACAACCCGUUGCUGCGGUCUGAUGUAGUUGCUACUCGUUUGCUUCUAAAGUAACUUGUAAUCAACUACUUCUGAUGAGAACAAAUCGAUAAAGUACCUUGUAACAAACUACUGAGAUAAUUUGUACCUUCUCUCCGUACCCAUGUAUUAUCAAGUAGCCUCUUAAUGUACUUUCCCUUUUUUCUUCUUUGAAGCAAGUUUAUGAAAAAAAUGAUGUAUUCCGAUCUCCAUGAAGCAACCAAUUAGCUCGUCCUCUCUAUAACCAAAUCAAUUCUUGUUGAUACAGAAGAUUCUCAAUAUCUAGCCUAACAAAAAGAAGAUUCUCAAUAUUUGAAGAUCUUUUUUAUCCCUAAUCUCCCCGUCAGAUCACUUUGUCUCCAUUUCUGAAGGUAUUUACUUAGCUUCGAUAUCCUCUUAUUUGGGCCUUUCAGAACCUCCAGAUCCCUCUUGUGUAGAUCUUUAUGAUCAGGCAAGGGUGGCCUAGCUUGCUCGCUCCCAAGCCAAUUGGACUACCGCAUUAACGGUUUCUUCACACAACCAACGGGCUUCAAACUUUUUUCGGGCCUUCGGUUGUUGAGACAAAACAUAUUUUUUUAAAAUAUGAAGGAGAAUAGAUCAAUGGUCUGAAUGGACAUGGUGCUCAUGAACCAACCCAACGCAUAUGGCAAUUUAUCCGCACACGCCUCAUUACUUAGUGAUGCCUUGGCUCUAGGUAAACUGAUCACCAAUAACCGUGGUCUAUUGAAGUCCACACAACCUGUGAAAUUAUGCAUCAACUGUUGAGGUCGAACAUCACCACCCUCCUUCUCACUUUCCACCAAUCUCUCAUUAAAAUCACAAAAACUAACCAUGGACCAGCCGCAUUACGUUGCACGAGUAUGUCCAGGACAGGUGCUUCCUAUCCCAAGUAGGUUGUCCGUAAUAUCCCGUCAAGCACCAUGAAGCAUUAUUUUCACCAUAACAAUUCCACCAAUAAAGUUUGGAGAAGAAUAAUUCAACACCACUUCAUUAGACUGGUUAUAAAAAAGGACAAGGCUCCCCGAGCGACCAUCACUCUCAACAAUAUGACUAAAUCAACCCUAGCUUAACUCUCAACUCAAUUGCACUCGCUUUGUUCAUAUAAGAAAAUCACAUCUCCUCUCACACUCCCUUGGAGGUCCAAGGGCUCACUGUCGUGGAUGAAAGCAUCCCACGUCAGUUCCAAUCUAAGAUUUCCAUUGUGCCCGGCUGUCCUUCUCGUCUGAGGCCACCAAUCCAUCAUUAGCAUUGCAGUCAAUUUCCGUCCAUCACUUCCCUUUAGUUUAAUUUGCUUUGCAUUUUUCCGAGGCCCACAAACCUUUUGUCUAGUAUGUUUGAACCAAAAAGGAGUUAAUAUACAUGGUUUGGUCCACACUACGAGAAAGUGGCCCAACCAAAAUAAGCUACCUAAUUUUGAAAUUUCUCCAAGUGCUUUAGGGUGACUUUUGUGUCCUUACAACACCAUCCUUCGUGCCGUCUUGUCCAUGUAUCUUGCUUCCAUGAUGUACAUAUCCUCUUCUCCAAUCUCCACAACCUUCAGUUCUGUGGAUUUAAUUGUUGAUUGAUCCUUGUGGGAUUACGGUUGUAUGUGUAGCAGGGGCUGUAAUGGUAGAAGAGGUGCCCCCAUCACUUGAUUUUGGGGCAGGUGCUGGUGCUUUUUUUAACACAGUACACAUGCAUGCGCUCAUAUAUAUGUGCAUACAUUCAUCCCUAUAAUAAACACAUACACGCAUACUCACUAGUAGAAAACCGGGUUUCAGUCCAGCCACAUAAGCCCAUUAAUCCCGGGUCAGUCACGAACCGGGACCCAUGGGGGCAUAGGUCUCGGUUCGUGAGGCCAGGAGGCCGGCCGAGCCUCGUGGGGCAUUGGUCCCGGUUCGUCUCGCCCCUUUGGUACCGGUUCCAAACACGAACCAGGAUCAAAGGGCCUCGUUCCUGGCCCACAACCUUUAGUCCCGGUUUGUGGCUGGAAUCGGGAUUAAAGGACCACCUUUUGUCCUGGUUCCAGCCACGAACCGAGACCAAUAAGAUGCCUAUAUAUACCUCCUUGCCCGCGAGCAGAGCAAUGGAGUGCUCUGGUUUUUUUGGCCGGUCGUGGGAGAGAGCUUUGUGGUGCUCUAGCUCACCUCCUAUGCACACGAGGUGUUCGAUAAAAUGUUGAGCCGCACUUAAGCUUUCUCCUCUCGAAGUACUUGUCCAAAGUCCAUUUUCCUCUAGAUUUGUUUAGGUUUAGCGGUAUGUCAUGUCACGUCCCCAUCCUCCCAGCCGUCGAUUGCCCGCGCCGAUCUCGUCGCCGGCACCAUCAUGGUGAGCCUCUUGAUCUUAUCUUCUUUCUCAAAGAAAAAAGUUCUUACUUGUAUGAUUUAGAUAGAUACUUGUGUAAUUUUCUUACUUUUAUUAUUGUUUGUUAUUAUAUAGUGCGAUGGUUUUGGUAUCCGUCUCCAUCGGCCCUCGUCCUGUUUAUGAUUCGGAUGUGGUAUAUAUUAUCUUUUAUAACUAUUUGGUCCAUUUAGUGUUUAUGACAAUUAUGCCGACCAACGUGACAUAGAUUUUUUUAUCUAGGAGGUAUGUGAACCGGAAAUCCCAACCGACCCUAUUGUCGAGAGGUUAAAUUUAGUUGAAGAAGAAAACAAUUACUUGAAGGAAAAAAUGGAAAAAAUUGAGGAGGAGAAGAUGAUAUUGGAGUUGCAUGUUGCAGAUGUCGUCGAUGAUCACAAGAUCAAGAUGGAUGCAAUGCGCUUGAAGAUUAGAAAGAUUAGAAAAUAUGUCAUUCAUACUGAGGCUUAAUAUCAUUAUGCCGUUGGAUCAAUUGUUAUCUUAGUUGCGAUUAUGAUCGCAUUUGUUGUUGCAUUGAAAUGUUUUACAUAGUUUCAAUGUAUGUUUAAUUAGAUGCUGUGGAGAGCUAUAUGUUGUUCAAUGAGAACUAUUUAUGUACUUUGGCUUUAAUGUGAUGAUGAACUUCUAUUAAUUUGGUCACUUAUUUAUUCAUGAUGCAUGCAGAUGAACCGGCAAUGGAUGUACGGUAACAGACGCACCUCCGAGUACAUUAAGGGCGUGAAUAAUUUUCUCGUAGUGGCUGAGGCAAACAAGCAGAAUAGUUUUAUGUGUUGUCCAUGCCCUAUAUGUGGGAAUAUGAGGUCUUACUCUGACUCGAAAACCCUUCACACCCACCUGCUUUAUAAGGGUUUCAUGCCACACUAUAAUGUUUGGACCAAGCACGAGAAAGAGGGGUUAUGAUGGAAGACAACGAAGAAGAAGAGGAUGA
rnacentral:lncRNA from 1 species